UAGCACCUACAAGUACUUCGAGAUCAUCCUGGUUGAUGUGGCUCACACCGCCAUCCGCAACGACCCAAGAAUCAACUGGCUAUGCAAUCCUGUGCACAAGCACCGUGAGCUCCGUGGUCUCACCUCUGCAGGCAAGAAGUUCCGUGGUCUGCGUGGCAAGGGCCACACUCACCACAAGAACAGGCCGUCCAGGAGGGCCACCUGGAAGCGCAACCAGACCCUUUCCCUCCGCCGCUACCGUUGAGCACACACAUCUUGAUGCUCUGCUACUGUGGAACCCGCCCCAUGCAGGCUCUCUGAUAGUAUUUGGUAUAUUUGUUUCAUUGUUAAAUUUUGCUACAUGUGUUACUUUUGAGCCCCUUGAACUCCGUUGUCUGUACCAUGGAGCAAGUGACGCGUACGAGUCGAUGAAAAUGAUUGUUUAGUAGUGCAUUGCUGUGUAUUCUGUCUGGCACGAUUGAUUUAGGGCAUGUUUGGGAACACUUCUUUCAAAACCACGGUUUAUAUUACCAUAGUUUACCGUAUGUUAUGACAUGAACAUAUUGUAUUUUACAUCAUUCUAAUUCAACAUCUGUUUGGAGCCGGGAGGAGAAAGGCCAAGACAAGGAAGGAGAAAGGGGCUAGACUGCGCCUGCGGAAAACUUUGUUCAGACCAAAAUUUGUUAGAUCCUAAAAAUACUAUGGUAUAAGUGAAACCAUGGUUUAAAACUUAAAGUUUUUAAAUAUGCAUGUAAACACCUUUAGCCUAACAAUACUAUGGUAAACUCAAAUAAUAUAGUAUUGUCUUGGAACUAGAUGUGUCUCCCGUCUAAAAGAUUUUAGUUGUAUCCUAGGUGUACACUCCUUGCAUUUGGGGUGCGUUUUAAAACUACGUUUGAUGCUUGUUGUCUCUUCUGGGGGCUCCCUAAAUCAGGGUGUUUGCCUUACGGAGAACUUUAGAUUCGCUUUUGUAGAUGAACGUUCGGGUGCCAUUUGUUUGCGAUGAGUAUGUUUAUCGGAUUUUUCUGUUAUCUUGUCUUCUGUUGUAUUUUUGUUAUAGAAAUAAUAGAAAUGAGAGAAUCCUCUUAUCAAAAAAUAUCACUAUCAUCCAAAUAUGAAAUUGAAAUUAAAUCCCUUCAUAUGGAAGGCACAAAUAAAACAUUAUCUAACGUGAGAGUGAAACAACUAUAUAAUUGUAAUACAAUAUCUCUAAUGGUUUCAACAUCAGCUUCAAAUCCAUUGGUGACUCUAAUACUUCUUUGUCCUUUUAGAAUAUUCCUCUUCCUAUAAAAUUUGGUGGCAUUACUAGAACUAGAGUCGAUCCAUCAAGUAUCAAUUGACAUAUCUAAAUAUAGAGACUCAUCUAUGAAUGUAUCUUUAUUCUUAUUGUCCUUAUUCGGCCAUUUAAGGGACUGAACAUAGUAUUUCAUGUGAUGUCCUUUCUAGCGGCAACAUGUACAUGUGUCAUCAUCCAACUCCCCUAGUUGAGCUAUAGAGGUUGAAGCUAGAGGUGAACAAUACACUUAAGUGUUCUAGUGCCUUUUCCUCUUUGUUUCCUUCUCAUCAUGUUAACUAAUCUUAAUAGCAUUAAGAUCAUUGCAUAUCCCAAAGAUAGAAAUGAAGAACUUACACAUGGGCCAAGAACCCAAGACAGGGGAUCUAGGCCCUAGGGUCUGGGCUAUAGUCGGGGCAUGGUCCAAACAUUCUUUUAAUAGUUUCUUUGUCUGAUCUAAGAUAUUCCAUAAAAAAUACAGGGCCGUCUCUGACGGUGGGCAAGCAAGGCGGUUAUCGAGGGCUCCCAAAUUGUUAGCCCCCACUCAAGUAUAUGUUUAAGUAUGGUACUUGGUUGUUUAAUCAUCUCAAUCAUUGUUGGCUUGGUUGGUCCAAUGAUAUAGUAGUACAACCCCGCUAUCAAGCACAGUACACGAACAUUGGCCUGCCGCGCGUGUACGUAUUAUCAAAUCUGGCCAAAUCGAUCCCAUUUCCCAAAUCAAAACAAAAUAUAUCGAGAAAAUCAAUUCUCGCCGCUACCACGUCGUCAAAGGACUGGACUACAGACGCGUCAUCAAUGACCGACUUUGCACGUACGUGUACGCGUAUACAACAACUAGACAAGGCAGGAGCUAGCUAACUACAUUUGGUCUGUCGUUUGCUUCGGAAUGCUUGGUUCUACAUAUUCAGGUUUGUGAAUUUUAAUUAAGUAUUUUUCUUACUCCUUAAUAAUGUAGUAAUCAUUUAUUAUACAUUUUAAAAUGUUUGUAUAUAACUUAAUAUAGAUUUAUUAUAUAUAUAUAUAUAUAUAUAUAUAUAUAUAUAUAUAUAUAUAUAUAUAUAUAUAUAUAUAUAUAUAUAUAUAUAUAUAUAUAUAUAUAUAUAUAUAUAUAUAUAUAUGGAUCAAAAGAACCUCGAUAUAAGCUCUCGCCCAGGGCCCUGAAAUCUCAGACACGACCCUGCAAAAAUGUAUAUUUAGCCCAUUCAACAUGGUCAAGAAAUCUCUUACACUUUUUAGCAUCCUUUUGGGUUAUUUUCAGAUCCACCACUAUGUGAAGGCAGACUACCACAAAAGGAAGAAGAUCAUGAGUGAGUUCAUGGUAGAGAACCUGUUGGACCGUAGUUUUGUACUCCUAUAAACAAAAACAAGCUAUGAUAUAAGCAAAUUUAUUUGAUUGCAUGCAUGCUUUCCAUGCUUCAUCAGCUAAGGCUAUCUACAACAACAUUUCUAUCUCACCUCCUAUCACACACCCUAUUUUAAAUUCCACUCUAUAAACAGUGUGGUCUACAGUGUAAAAACAAUGUUUUACACGUCUGUAUACAUGGUCUGCUGGAGAUGGCCUAAGUCUCCAACCAGUCAGACAACGUAUGGUUGGACCAUAAAAAGGAAAGAAUGAGAAUUUAGAGUUAGUACUGUAAAAAUAUUUGUGUUUGUUUCAUAUCAGUGGGAGUUUUGGUGACAAGAAGAGCAAGUUUAGAGAGUGAACUCUCUUUAAUCAAUUCUCCUCUAGGGAGGGAUGGAAAUUGAGUCACAAUUAUUACGCUUUUAGGGCUUGUUGCAUUCAAAUAGAAAGGAGAUUUUAGCCCUCUAAUCCCCUCUAAUUUUCUUGACUCCAACAUGCCCUUAAUAAAUAUAUGUGAUCAUCGUUUAUCAUAUAUUAGAGAUAUGAAUUACCUCUUCAUCCUCAUUCAUAUUCUCCUCUAAUAAACAAACAAUAGAUUAAGGGUAUGUUUGUUUAGGAUUAUAAUCAGUUAAUCUAACUUUUUUUUGAACUAACACUUAGUUUAGAAUAAGUUGGAUUAUAUAAUCUGGACAAACUAUAAUCCCAAAUAACCGCCCCUAAGUCUAAUAACUAAAUUUUCAUCUUCAUUCUCUCCAUCAGCUCAUACCGCUGUGUUGGCGCCGAUCUAGGCACCAAACACUAGAAAGAACCAUCUAGCGGUUCCCUCUGCGGAGGCAUGGACGACCUGGCAUAGGAGCGGCUCCUCCUAUGCGUACGUUCGGACGAUCCGCGCCUAGGGCUCGGACGGUCCGCGAUGGCGUAGAGGGUCGUCUUCUUCGCAGCAGACCUAGAUCUCGCCUCCCGGGAAGGACCCCGUCGGGGAGGAGAGAUCCUAUUGUGCGUCUUGGUGUCGGUAGGCCACCCAAGACGUCUCUAUUCGACGUAGAGCCGAAAAGAGGUGAAGAUUUGAGGUAGAGGGAGGCUAAACUAGGGCUAAACUAGAGUUACUCCUAAUGCAUAAGGUAAAACGAUAAGUAGAGUUGAUUGGAUCGAUUGUGGGAGGUUCAAUCGGUCGUAUCCCUUCAACUAUGUAAAGGGGAGAUCUAGAGCUGUUAUUAGUCUGUUUUCGAGUUUAUCCCACAGGUUUAGCUAACAAAUCCUGCAAGACAUCUAGAACCCUAACUAAUUCUAUGCAUGCGCGGACGGUCCACGCCGGUACGGUGGACAGUCCGGACCGUGGACCGUCUGGCCUCAGGGUCAGACCGUCCGCCGGAACAUUUUUGGAGCUCAGCAUGUGCCCCUGCCUUUUGGUGGAGGUUGACGAUCCAAAAGGAUAUGCACUGCUAGCAUCAUUCGGGAAACAAUAGAUCUCACAAGUCACUUCGUUCCCGAAGUAAGAACUAAGCCUGAUGCAAGUCACCAGCUUUUCAAACUAAUAGGGUGAUCAUUCAAUACAACUCUAAUGCAAAAAUGUCGUUUUGGGUUGCGUCUUUCUCGGCCAUGACCAUCUGAUCAACGGAUCAAAAUGUAUAGAAUGGAGGUGCCCUCUAGCUUGAAUAGACAAAGAGACUAUGCAUGUACCAUGGGUUCAUUGUCGCACAAUUCCAUAUUUGAAUAGGACAAUAUAUUGACGAUGAGUAGGCGGGUGGAAAGUAUCCUGGCAUCACAGGAUGAAUAGGCGAGGCUUGUUGCGUCGCCUUUCAGGCUGUUUUAUUCAGCCAUUUUGUUUUAGAGGGUGACCAGGGUUUCUUUAUUGGUCGAUCGUGUAGAACGGCCUCCUUGCUAGCAUAUUUGGAGAGCAAUUGAUAAAAAGUAGGGCCGGCUUAAGAGGAUGAGCCAAAGACAAGCUUCAUAACUCCUAGUGGUACCUAUUGUUACCUUCGGAUGCCUGAGGGGCUCAAAAAUGCUAGAGGAAGCUUCAACAGAAUGACUGCCAAGGUUCUUCACUCUCAAAUAGGCAGGAAUGUGCUGACUUAUGUCGAUGAUAUCAUAGUGAAAAGCACAAAACAAGAAAAUCAUGUUACCAAUUUGCAAGAGACGUUUGCCAAUUUCAGACAAGCUGGUCUCAAGUUGAACCCAGAAAAAUGUGUUUUCGGAGUGAAGAUGGGUAAGUUUCUUGGUUGCCUGGUAUCAACAAAAGGCUCCAAUGUGUUUUCGAACCAAAUUCAAAGAAGGGGGCUCAACGGUUGGCAGGAAGGCUGGCAUUGUUGAAUAGAUUUAUAUCAAGAUCAGAAGAGUGGAAUUUACCAUUCUUUGAAAUACUAAAGUCAGCCGAAGUAUUUCAGUGGGGUCCGGCUCAACAGAAAGCCUUUGAAGAGUUAAAACAAUAUCUGAUGGACUUGACAACUCUAACUCCACCUUUAUAGGAACUCUGCUACUUCUGUAUGUGGUUGCUUCCCAUGCUGCGGUUAGUGUGGCACUCGUACAGGAGAAGCAAGAUGGCCAAGUAAAAAAGACAAGCACCAGUAUACUUUGUCUCCGAAGUACUCAGCCUAUCAAAGAAAAAUUACACAGAAUUGGAGAAGGUACUGUAUGAUGUAUUGAUGGCCUCCAGGAAGCUUCGGCACUACUUUCAAGCAUAUCAUAUAAUAGGCCUUCAUCACAACCCCUAAAAGACAUAAUGAGGAACAGAGAAGCUAUAGGAAGAAUCGGAAAAUAGGUCAUGGAACUUAAUGAAUUCACCAUUGAUUAUGUACACAGAUCCUCAAUUCAAUCCCAGGCGUUAGCAGACUUCAUUGCUGACUGGACGCCAGGGGCUCAGAGUGAAGAAGCAACAAAAGAUGCCGAAGCUUGGACGAUAUUCUGCGAUGGAUCUUGGGGAACCUUUGGUGCAGGAGCAGCUGCUGUUCUAGUGGCACCCUCAAAAGUCAGAACAUGUUAUGCAAUAAAGCUAGACUUCAGUUGUACAAAUAACAUUGCCGAGUACGAAGCUCUUCUUUUAGUGCUUCGGAAACUAAAGGCAAUGGGAAUAAGAAGGGCAAUCCUUAAAACUGAUUCACAAGUUAUUUCUGGCCACGUGGAUAAGAGUAGCAAGGCAAGAGACCCGAAGCUUGAAAAGUAUCUGGAUGCAGUCCAAAGAUUGGAAGCUUCUUUUGAGGGAUUUUCUGUAAAAAAUAUCCCAAGGGGAGAAAAUGAGCAUGCGGAUUUGCUAGCUAAGUCAGCGGCACAGGGGCUCCCUUUGCCUUCGGAAGUAUUUUUUUGAAACAAUAAAAGCACCUUCAGUCGAGCUCAUGGAGAGAGCAGUGCUCACAAUCUCGCAUGUACAUAGUGAAGACUGGAGGACCAAAAUAAUAUCCUUCCUCCAAGGCAACCGCCUCUCAGACGAUGAAGCUUACAAUAAGAGAAUGGAGGCAAGAACAAGACCAUAUGUAAUAAUUGAGGGAGAGUUAUACAAGCAUGGAGUUUGUUUCCCAUUGCUUAAAUGUCUUUCCAGGAAUGAAGGACAAGAACUAAUGAAGGAAAUACAUGCAGGACUGUGUGGAGCUCAUAUCGGAUCCAGGCCUCUACUGGGAAAGGUUUUUAGACAAGGUUUUUAUUGGCCGAAGGCAGCUUUGGAUGCAGCGGACUUGGUCUAGAAAUAUGAAAACUGUCAGAAGUGUGCCAGAGACCAGAAACAACCUUCGUCUUUAACACAAUUGAUCCAACAUACUUGGCCAUUGCAAAGAUGGGGCCUAGAUUUGUUAGGACCGCUCCCACUAGCACAAGGAAAUUUAAAAUAUGUUGUGGUAGCGGUGGAAUAUUUCUCAAAAUGGAUCGAAGCUAAACCUCUAGCUACCAUAACUUCGGCCACUGUCCAGAAGUUCUUAUGGCAAAAUAUUGUUUGUCGUUUCGAUGUGCCGAAGGCUAUUACAUUCGACAAUGGAACUCAAUUCGAUGCUGAAACAUUCAAGGUUUUUUGUGACCAGAUCGGUACAAAAAUACAUUUUGCAUCAGUAAGGCAUACAGAGUAAAAUGGGUUUGUAGAGAGAGCAAAUGGAAUUAUAAUGACAGGUAUAAUGAAGUUAAUCUUCAAUCAGCCUAGAGGAAAGUGGCCAGAUGAGUUGAUCAAAGUGGUGUGGAGCCACAACACUUAGGGAUGGCAACGGAUAAAUUAUCCGCGAAUAGUGUCUCUGGACAUCCAUAUCCGUGACUUAUAUCCGAUAUCCAAACCCAUACCUGUUACCCGCUACGAAUAAAAAACAGUAUCCACAUCCGUUACCCGCGGAUAUAUCUGUUUGCCCACUACACAUACAACAUAUUUAAAUCCAGCAAAUUCAAAUAUGAUAACAUAUUUGUCCAGCAAAUUUAAAUAUGAUAAAAACAUACAACCAUACAAAAUUUGUCCAAGAAAUCAAAUCUGAUACAUGUAUUAAGGCAUACAGCGAGCAAUAUAAAAUUGUCUAGCAAAAUCAAAACUGAAUUGUUCAAAUUGAUAAAACUACAAACACACAAGCCACAAGUAACUAGGAUCAGGGUAUUUCCAAUCUAAAAAGCCUACAAGAAUUUGAAAAACUACAAGAAUCUAUAAAGAAACUGGACCUGCUGGGCGAGCUGGACCCCACAUGUCAGGUUACUUUAACGGAUAUUUGGGUAUUCAGGUAUGGAUACUGAUUUUUGGUUCCCGUUUUAAAAAUAUCCACGAAUAUCAAAUGCUACCUGUAUCCGUAUCCACGGGUACAAGAUCGUACCCAAAACCGUGCCCAAUGGGUUUUCUAUCCAUGGGUACGCGAAUAAAUCAGAUCCAUUGCCAUCCCUAACAACACUGAUGUCUCAAGGUCAACAGGUUUUACUCCCUUCAAGCUCCUAUUCGGUGACGAAGCAAUAACACCGGAAGAAGCAAGAAUAGGAUCAAUAAGAACCACAGCUUCAGCGGAGGAUGAAACUGAUUCUCAAAUAACAAAAUACACCAUAGAAGGGACCAUACUUCAGGCCAUAGAGCACAUUAAUAAGUAUCAGGCCAAAACAAUAAAAUGGCAUGAUAGGAAAGUUCGAUUGAAAAAUAUCAAGCCAGGCCAUUUGGUGCUUCGAAGGAUAGCCAACCCAGAUACGGUGGAGAAAGCUACAGCUGAAAUGGGAAGGUCCUUUUCUAGUAGUAUCUUUGUCAAGACCCGGUUCUUACAGAUUGAAGGAUAUGGAUGGCAACGACAUACCCAGAUCUUGGAAUGUGGAUGAGCUUCGACAAUAUUAUGUAUAAUUGAUGUAACCUUUUUUAUUUUUCCUAUGGCACCCUUUUCCUUUCAGGAGGGGAGAAAGGUUUUUAAUGGGGCUAUAGUUUGUAAUUUUCAUUCUUGUUUAGCCCUAUGCAAUACACGAGCCAAGAUCCCCCAAAAAUGUAACAUGUAAUAUCAGAAUCCGCACCAUCGAGUGCAAAGAGAAUAGGGAAAAGCUCAAAAGACGUCCCUAGGGGGAUGCAGAGUUGUAAUCACUCAAAGGGUGACGAAGCUACCAAAGUCGUUCCUAAGGGAGCGCAGAGUAAGUCUCGAAGCUCAAAAGUCAUCCUAAGGGAAUGCAGAGCCAAAUACCACCGAAAUAGAAGGUGAAGAAGCUCCAAAGUCGUUCCUAAGGGAAUGCGGAGCUUAAAUGCCACCGAAAUAGAAGGUGAAGAGACUCCAAAGUCGUUCCUAAGGGGAUGCAGAGUCUGGGUAUGGUUUCGUGUGUGUUUGGGUCAUACAUUUGCAUAUUACAUCGCAUCAUUAUUUGCAUCCAUACAAACAUUCAUUAGACAUUUGUAGGAUCAUCAUUAUCAUGACAUGAAACAUGAACGAUAAUAUGAACAGAAAUUGUCCAGCUUCGGCGACAAAGUGCUUCAUUGAAUACAAAGAAGCUUCGUUUCAAACAUGUACACAUGCAUUUUAUGCAAGGAAAUGCUUCGAUGUGUACGAAAAGAAGGGAAGGUGUUUUUCACCUUCGGCUCAAAGGUCACACAUGGGUUUCGUCCACAGCAAAGCAAUUCGCACAUGGACGGAAAGGUAAAAUUAUAUUACAAGGUAUGGACCAAUAUAUACAGUAUUGAGUUCAACUCUCAAUUACAAUUUUUUGCAAAAAUAAUGCAAAUAUUUCCUAGGCUCUAUACAGGAAGUCGUAAAAGGAAGCUUCAGCCCAUCAACCUUCGGAAUACGCUUCGGAUUACUAACCCUACAGACAAACAACAGUAUAAGGUAAAAGCGAUGGUAAUAAAGAAAAAUCAAGGCAAAUAGCCAGUACAAGUUUUGUAUCGAUUUAAGCAAAUUCCGAGCUUCGUCUCCAGCCAACUCUCGUCCACCUUUAUCCCAAAUUUGAGUAAUAAAUCUAUUUCCGAUACUUCGGGCCUCACUAGGAAUAUUUAUCAAGUCUGAUGGCGACAGGCUGAAGUUUGGCUUGUUCACUGUCUUAGCAUGCGUGCAUCCGGCCUUCAAAAAUGCAGCAGUCGUGCCACGAGAAGCUAACAGAGCACAGAAAUCACCAUGCCCAGUUAUUACUUCGUCGAGUGCAUCAACUUCAUUCUCAAUGUGUUUGAAGGUAUCUGAUAUAUCUUCAACUGAAGGGGCAAUUUCUUCAGAACUGGCCCCAACCGAGCUGAAGACUCCUUUUAACCCAUGCACGCAGCGAGUAGCAAACUCUGAGCAUUUGUUCCGAAGGUCCCUCAGUGAUUCAUGCAGCUUCGUGUUCUUAUCAGCUUUGGCUUUGUAUUUCGCUUGCAGUUCCUUUUUCUCUUGUUCGAAGCACUCUGGUUUUUCCUUUAAGGUUGUUUGAGUUUUGAGAAGCUCCUUGUUUAAUCUAGCAUUUUCAGCUUGAAAUUCCACAAGGGAACCUUCGGUUGCUUGAAGCAAGAAGUCUUUCUUUUCAAGAGAAGCUUUGCAAUCUUUGAUCUUGCUUUCCAAGCCUUCAAUUAUUUUCUCAUUUUUCUUAUCUUGGAGGUCUUGUUGCAUUCUUAAUGCUUUGCUUAGCAGCAUGCUCUGCGAAAAUAAGCUGACUUUAGAAUAUUUUAAUUCAUCACAAAAAUAACAAGAAUCUAGGCAAAAGAAUUUUACCUUGAAAUUGGAGUAAAAUAGGCUGCCAAUGAUAUGUUGCCGUCGGUAACCACUAAUAUCAUACUCUAGUUUCGGGAAACCGACACUCUUUGACAGAGUGCUGAUUAUUUUUGCCCUAGCUCGGUCGCGGAUACAUCCCAGGAUUUCCACCUCAACUCCGCCAAAGAGCAUGGAUCCCGGCUGGUAGCCACAAGAUUUUCCAUAUUCUUGUAGCUCCUUUUUCUCUGCCUCAGACAAUUCUUGAACUCCAAGGUGCCGAAGGUCAAAUUCUUUUUCUUUUGAUGAAGUAUCAGCAACUUCUUUCCCCUUGCCAGGCACCACGGCCACGUUUUCCUCUACGGUCGCAACUGUCUCCUCUGCGACCAUAUCUGAUAUCAGCUUAUCAAUUCCUUUUAGUGUGCUCACAAGAUUAGCAGCUUCGGCAGCAGCUGCAGCUUCGGUAGCAGUUUCAGCUUCGGCAGCGGCCUCAGCCUCGGCACUUGCAACAGGCACCAUUCUGGGCGCCGAGGCUAGAGGUGGUGUCCGCUCAAUAGCUUGCAUAACACUGACAAUUCUCGUCUCUUCUGACCUUCAGUCUUCUCCUUCAUGGCCGAAGGUUGAUCCUUCUUCUGUAAAAGUUUCGUCAGUUCUAGUCCCAGAGGACUUAGCAUCUUGAUGGGCAAUGAUUCAGUCAUUACCUUUAGAAUUUCUGCUAUUUCAGCAGCAGGGGGCGUUGAAGGAGCUUCUUCUCUUGCCUCAGCUACCUUCAGCUCAGCUACUUCAGGCUUCCUCUUUUUGGCGACUGCCGCCUUUGGCUCAGGAGCAGAUUUUGCCUUCUUUGAAAUCUUCUCAUCCUCCUUUACCAGUCUAGCAGCUUGUCUGUUUAAAAUACUAACAAUCCUUUUCCUUUUCAAACCUUCGGCACCCUUGUCAAAUCUUUCAUAGUCUAGAUAUUCAAAAUUUAGCGCGUCCAUCACGUGAUUCAGCCUUCGUUUUAGUCGGGUGCCGAAGGAAGCAGUCAUUAGCUGGUCCUCCUUCUUGGUGUAGUUGCCAAGGAUUUCAGUGCACAUAGUUUCAAUCAUUUCUAGCCACUCUUGGCAUGGCUUUUUGAACUCUUUCUCAAACUUGAAACGGUAGGGGAGCCAAACAAGUUCGUGCUUUUUUCUCCCAUCCUUCUUCUUGGUCAUCCCCAACCACUAGAGGUCGGGAAUACUCUGUUUGCCAAGAAUUCCUGCACCAGAUCCUGUAACAUCCCAUAAUUUCAACCCAAGGUUUGGAACCCUAAUCUUCCCCCCUUAUCUUACCUCCCCCCUUAACUCCACCCUUUAGGUCAUCUCAUCAUAUGCAUACACUUUGAUUGUUAGAGCACCUCACAUAGAUUAUUUUUUUUCAGCACCUAAGAUUAUUUAGCUACUUGUUUGUCAAAGAAAAAGGAGAUAAAAAGGAAAUAGAAAUAGAAAAUAGAAAUGAGAAAUAGAAAAAGAAAAAGGAAAAACAUUUUCUCUCCCCCCCCUCGGCUGGGCCGUUUCUGGCCCAAGUCGCGCCCGCGCCCUCUUCCCCCCUCUCCUCCCACGGCCCAAGUGGCCGAGCUGCGCGCGCCCGCGCCGCGCCUGACAGCCCGACCCCACCGGUCAGUGGCUCCUCCCCUCUCCCUCUCGCGCCACUCUCUGGCUGGCAGCCCGGGCCCGCUUGUCAGGUCCCUCGUCCCGCCCAUGCCUUCACCGGCGUGUUCGCCGCCCCGUCUCCUCGCCAUUAACGCGCACACCGGCCUCAACUACCUCCCCGCCACUGUACCCGAGCCGUCCCCUCACCCCUCGCUUGCCCGAGCUAUCCUGUCACCGUUUGCUCCAUCACCGCCAUCAUGGCAAGCUCGUCGGCGCUCGCCGUCCCCCCUUCCUUUCCCCCCCAGCCGCCUAUAGAAGGGACCGCCCGAGCCCCUUGUUCCACCACACCAAACCUCAGCCACUCCACCUCCCUCCCUCGAGCUCAAUCGGACUCGGCGCCGUCGUCUCUCCCCUCUCUGGUGAGCUCCGACCUCCUCCCUUUGCUAAGUCCAAGUCCAAUUCAUAUGGUUCUUGAGCUUCGCCACUCCCUCACGAACGCAAUGCGCCCAUCCCCACCUCCUAUUGCGCCCGGCUGCCUCGCCGGCGACCUCAUCGCCACGAGCGCCCGCCACCGCGCCAUGGAUCAGCCACCCUAGGCCUCCACCGGUCAAAUUGACCCCACCCCUGUGACCCCCUACCCCCACCCGUGCCUCGCCACCACUUCCCCGUCGCGAAACCGGGAUCCCGGCGGAGAACCGCCGCGGGCAUCACCGGUGGUCGAGCCGACCGGUUCACCCCCCUCCAUCGCCCGCUCCGCGUCGUUAACCCCCCUCCUCUCGCUGACGCGUGGGCCCGCGCCCAUGGCGUCUGCCUGCGCCACUCCUUCGUGGGCCGGCUGGGCCGAACCCCCUCCCCCCCCGGCCCAGCGAGCAGGAAAUCCCUUUUCUUUUUCUUUUCCCAUUUCUUUUCCCAUUUUCAUAUAUAUAUAUAUAUAUAUAUAUAUAUAUAUUUAUAUGCUGAUAUUUUAUGCACCAAAAGUAGUUUAAAUAAAUUAUAGGGCACAGAAAUAAUAAGGUAUAAGAAUUGGCACACCCCACUAAAGUCACCAUGAUUGAUGUAUUGUUCUUAUCUGUGCUUGUUAGCGGAAGAGGGAUCCGAUCCUCCGGAAUUUGUAGCUCCGGAAGAAGGGCAGGAACCCGACCCCUCCGAGAUAAAUAUUUUGUGCCAGGAAAGCUUCGACGAAGGCAAGUCCAUCCUUCCCUUGAUGCAUAAUUUACCUAUUCUCUCUACCACUACCUAAACCGGGAUUAAGGGAUGGAAUCUAUUUUGCAUGGUGAGCAUGAGAUAGCCCGAAUUAACUAAUACCUUUUGAUCACAAGAUAUGGGAUGGGCAAUGGUUGUAACCAAUGAUGUUUUCAAAAAGUGUGCGAUGAAGGGUAUUCACCCUCAUCACCUGGUGAGUGGGAUGAUCAGGGACUCCCUGGUUUAGGGGAGGGCCUAAGGUGAUGGCUCAGCUGGUUUAGGCGUGAGCAGAAGGAUUGUCCUCUCAUAUAAGGACCGGUUUGUCAUCCUUCACAACCUGUACUCAUGAAAAGUACAACCACUCGAGGCUGUGUGGGCAGUCACUCGAUCUGAACUCGUACGGUCCAACCCUAGGGUUAUGAAGGAUGGGGAGCACCGGGAGGAUAAGGAGGGGGAAUGUUUUGUCCGGUUUGGACAUGGCGGUGGGUUGACUCCUUCCGGUAUAACCGUUAAGGUUAGGACGUGCGAGGAAGGAAAGAGAUUCAUAUUCGGAUCUCAUGGGCCAUGAGAUCGCAGAGCCGGACUAGUGGGUAAAGUGUACCCCUCUGCGCAGAGUUUAAACCUAUUCGAAUAGAACGUGUCCACUGAUAUGGACGAGUCUGGUGUGGUAUGACAAUUAGUGUUUCUACAACAUCCGGGAACAGGGAAAUACGUGUGUGUGGGUAUGUCUCUGGAAAAUAAAAUGGAGCCACUGGAGCGGGAAGCUCAGUGGUGGAUAAGCAGCGUGUUAUUUCUAUUUCUUCGGGAAAACCCUAAAUAAACAAGUACUGCCUUUAUCUAAGAAAAAGAAGAGUGACUUCAACUCCAUCAUAUGAAGCAUGUAUGAUAUAUGUCUCUUUCUCUUUAUGAGAGCUGGGUGGGCUUACGGAAUACCUAGUGUAUUCACCCAGAUUUAUUUAUGUUUUUCAGCAGCUGAAGACUUCUUUUCUGCUAUGCUUGAUUGAGAGGGUUGUGUCUUCACCUAGAUCUGCCUGUGGCCUGGGCUAGUUUAUCUUCCACUGCGUUUUAUAUUUCUGGCUCUCUCGAGCUUGUACCCUGGUAUUGUAAUAACAUUUACUCAAACUCUGUACUAUUUGAAGUAAGGAAUGUGGUUACUAGCCUCCUGGGACUAGUAAUUGUAUCACAUUUGAGUCCCAAAGGAUUGGGACGCUUCAGGUGGUAUCGGAGCCCAUUGGACUGGUCGUAGACCGCAGCCCUGACCUUAAAAGUUGUCUUAACAAGAAAACACCUCUUACCCCUAAGAAACACCUUCUCUCCUUUCCCCGAUAUUAACGAACCCUUCUUUUCUCCUACCAGAUGGAAGGCUCUUGGGUCAUUAGGACAUCCUACUACUCAGAGGAGGAAGGAUUUCCUCACCUCCUACGGAGUUGCGCACUACGCAUGGGGAUCCGCAAGAAGCCCAAAUAUGUCUGGAAGGAAUACCGUGAAAAUGGAAUGGAGAAGUGCUCUAUGGCAGUCUACCUGGGAGAAAGCCGAAGUUACCCAAACCACCCUCCCUUCCAAGUCACCUUCAUCGGGCUCCGCUUUCCAGACACUUGCCAAAGUGUUGCCUGAAAAGCCCUUAAACAACUAUGCCAAAACUACAGCAGAGAGAUCUUUGAAACCCCCCUUCGUUACUUCCCACCUAGCAACAAAAAUACACCCACCUGGAGGAAAAGACUUUAGGCCCUGUCAGGGAGAGACCCAACCGAGGAUGACCCCACCAUCGUCUACAUGGCCGGAUACCUCCACACCCUCGAUAACCACUACGAUGAUCUUUCCUCCCACUGCACCCACCUAACCUCCCGGGUGGAAAGCUUAGAGCAGCAGGUCAAGGAACUUAAGAAGGAGAAUGCAUCCCUCCAAGAGUGUCUCGAUAUAGCAGAAGGCGAGGAGGCCAACACCCGUGAAGCCUACCGAACCCUGAAGAUGGAUUAUGAUAAGAAGCUGAAGAAGCUCGCUCCCACGAAGAAAAUCCAAAAGAAGACCAAGAACCAAGGAGGCCAAGCUGAGCGGAGAAAGAAGGCCCCUCUAGCAGCAACUCCCGCCAGGAUAGAGAAUUUGUCCGACGUCGAGGAUAUGUCCCUAGCUAGCCUUGAUGACCUUCUCAAGGAAUUUGGGGACACUUUAGAACAAGAGUUCGGUAGUACCUCAGAGAACGCUCGCGUGUAGUACGACUUGUAGUAGCUGUAUGCUUGUAAUGUAUUGGUGUAAUGAAUAAAAUAACUUGGUUGAAAACAAUUGGCAUGUGCAUAAUAGUGACUCUCUCCCCCUGGCAGAUGGAUUCAGAUAAAACCACGCCUACCGCCUCCGGGAUUGGAGCAGGGUUUCCCCUAAGAGCUGAAAGAGAAGCCGGUAGAGAAGAAAGUGAGACCCACCUCCCCGCACCUCCAGAACUACCCUUAGAUUUAGCCCAGGUUCUAGCCAACCAAACCCGACUCAUCGAGGUCCUCACUCGAAGUCUGGAAAAUCAAUGCCCGAAUGGUGGAAGACCACAAGACAGGAUGGGAGAUUUCCUGAGGCUCAAGCCUCCCACGUUUGCCGGAUCUAGCAAUCCCCUCAAUGCUGACGAUUGGCUGUGCACGAUUAAAAGAAAGCUGGAAGCCAUCGGAUGCCCGGAAAAUCAGCGUGUUCAACUGGCUGCUCAUCAACUUUCUAGAAUGGCCUUAGCCUGGUGAGAUACCUUCAAUGUUACCAUCAGAGAUGCUACCUGGGCGGAGUUUGAAACGGCUUUCCGGGAGCACCAUGUGCCCCAAGGGAUCGUUCAGCUCAAGGAAGAUGAAUUCCGGGAACUGACUCAAGACGGAAGAUCUGUCAGUGAGUACGUGCACAAAUUCACAGAGUUAGCCCGCUACGCGCCAGAUGACGUCAGCACCGAAGUCAAGAAGAUGGCCCGCUUCCUGAAGGGGCUCAUACCAGAACUCAAGACCAUCCUAGCCAGCCAAGACUUCCUUAGUUUCUCACACCUCUCCAACAAAGCCAUGCAAGUGGAAAGGGCAAAGGAAGAAGAAAAAGGCCACCUCAAGAGGAAAUUCCAAGUCCUCCGAGCUCAGCAGCAAGACCGGCACCAGAAAACUCGAUCCUUUGGAUUUCCACCCAAGGGACCAAGCUUCAGUAGACCAGCUGGACCCACCCCAUCACGGUUCAGUCAGUAGAGUCAGAGCUCCUUUCAUGCCCCCUCAGUUGCAAGCAACCAACCACCAGCGAAUGCGUGUUGGCACUGCAGAGAUCCCAGUCACUUCAAGAACAACUGUCCCCAGCUGAAGCCAUCAGGACCUACUUACUCCAAGUCGGUGAAUGGCCCCAAGAAUACCUCGGCACCCGCUCCUAAGGCGCCCUCCUCCAUCAGCCAGCAGAACAAGACCCAGUAUCAAGGAAGGGCACGAGUAAAUAACGUCGAUGCUCAGGAGGCUCAGCAAGCUCCGGGAGUAGUGCUCGGUGAGUUCCUUGUUGAAUUUACUCCCGCUACUGUACUUUUCGAUUCAGGAGCAUCCCAUUCUUUUAUAGCCACUAGUUUUGUGGAAAAGCAUGGUAUCCCCUCUACCCCUUUAGAGAUUCCCUUGGUCACCCGAACCCUAGGGUCGGACCUUCUAUGCGAGCACAAAUGCUCCCAAGUCAGAAUUCUUUUAAGUGGGGUAGUAUUCUCAGCAGACUUAACCGUCUUGCCAUCCUAAGGGAUUGAUGUGAUCUUAGGAAUGGAUUGGUUGACCAAGCACAAAGGUAUCAUCAGUUGCGCAAACAAGACAAUCCUUCUCACAGACCACCAAAGAAAGUCAGUCUCUUGUCAGGCUCAGCCACCCGCCAAUGAUCCAAUGAUGUUUAAUUUAGCAACAAAAAGCAUAUCAGUGGUAGAAGAAUUCAUGGAUGUGUUCCCGGAAGAGUUGCCAGGAAUGCCACCAGAAAGAGAAGUGGAAUUCUACAUAGAUCUGAUUCCUGGAACAGCGCCCAUCGCAAAGAGACCAUACCGCAUGGCUCCUACCGAUUUAGCAGAAUUGAAGCUCCAAAUCACAUAUCUUCAACAAAAAGGGUACAUUCGUCCCAGCUCAUCCCCUUGGGGAGCACCCGUCCUUUUCGUCUCUAAGAAGGAUGGAAGUAUGAGGGUGUGUAUUGAUUAUCGAUCGUUAAAUGAAGUCACAAUCAAGAACAAGUAUCCACUCCCUCGGAUCGACGACCUCUUCGAUCAACUUGAAGGGGCCAAAUACUUCUCCAAGAUAGACCUAAGAUCUGGUUAUCACCAGUUGAGAAUCAAGGAAGCAGAUAUUUAGAAGACUGCAUUUGUCACCCGGUAGGGACAGUAUGAAUUCACAGUGAUGCCUUUCGGACUGACAAACGCACCCGCAUUUUUCAUGAACCUCAUGAAUAAGGUGUUUAUGGAAGAGCUGGAUAAGUUUGUCGUAUUCUUCAUUGACGACAUCCUUAUCUACUCUAAGAACCGCGAAGACCAUAAGCGUCACCUCCGGACCGUCCUUGGAAAACUCAGGGCACACCAACUUUAUGCUAAACUCAGUAAAUGCGAAUUCUGGUUGGAAAAGAUAGCCUUCCUUGGGCAUAUCUUGACUGCAGAAGGAAUAGAAGUAGACCCUUCCAAGGUAGAAGCAGUAUCAAAAUGGAGGCAGCCAUCCAACGUCAGUGAAGUUCGAAGCUUUCUGGGAAUGGCAGGAUAUUACCGCCGCUUUAUCAAGGGAUUCUCCAGCAUAGCAAGACCUAUGAUCGAACUCCUCAAGAAAGACCAUAAGUUUGUGUGGACCUCGAAAUGUGAAGGAAGUUUCCAGAUCAUAAAGGAGAAGCUCACGACCGCACCCGUUUUGACACUACCGGAUAUACAUCAGGAUUUCGUCGUCUUCUGUGAUGCCUUGAGGCAAGGCUUAGGGUGUGUGCUGAUGCAAAACGAGAAAGUCAUUGCUUAUGCAUCGCGCUUACUCAAGCCGCAUGAGCAGAAUUACCCCACCCAUGAUUUGGAAUUGGCAGCCAUAGUGCAUGCCCUGAAGAUAUGGAGGCAUUACCUAAUUGGGAACAAAUGUCACAUCUUCAUCGAUCACAAGAGUCUGAGGUAUAUCUUCACUCAACCAGAUCUCAACCUCCAUCAAAGAAGAUGGAUGGAACUGAUCAAAGAUUAUGACCUUGAGAUUCAUUAUCACCCCGGUAAGGCCAACGUGGUAGCAGACGGCCUUAGCCGAAAACCUUUCAGGAUAAAGGGAACCAACUUUUUCGAAGAUUGGAAGAAGGAAUCAGCUCAACUGAAUGCAUGUUUGGGAAACAACGACAGCCUCAAAGUCAAACCAAUGCUAGAAGACCUCAUAUGCAAAGCUCAACGCCUAGACUCAGAGACAACAAGACUUGUGGAAAAAGCUCGCAAAGAACAACUUCCGGACCUCAGGACAGAUGAACAAGGAGCCCUUUGGUUCAAGAAUCGUGUGUACCAAAAGAGGUGGCACGGGAAGUCCUGCUCGAGGAAGCUCACAACUCAGCCUACUCCAUCCACCCAGGGACUACCAAGAUGUACAUAGACCUCAAAACCAGAUAUUGGUGGAGAGGGAUGAACAAAGAGAUAGCACAGUAUGUGGCCCGGUGUGACACCUGCCAACGAACGAAGGCCGAGCACCAGAAGCCUGCAGGCCUAUUGCAACCCCUCCUAGUGCCUGAAUGGAAAUGGGAAGAAAUAGGCAUGGAUUUUGUAACCGGACUACCCCAGACGCAAAAAGGGAAUGACUCUAUCUGGAUGAUAAUAGACCGUCUUACCAAGGUGGCCCAUUUUAUCCCAAUAAAAACUACCUUUGGAGGAGCCACCCUUGCCUGAAUUUAUCUCAAAGAGAUAGUCAGACUCCAUGGCAUUCCAAGAAAGAUAGUGUCAGACAGAGGAACCCAGUUCACCUCCAAAUUCUGGACAAGCCUUCAGAAAGCUAUGGGCACCAAGCUAGACUUUAGCACCGCCUAUCACCCUUAGACAGAUGGGCAGACAGAAAGGGUCAACAAGGUCCUCGAAGGUCUAUUAAGAGCCUGUGUGUUAACCUUCGAUAGAAGUUGGGAAUCCAGUUUGCCUUAUGCAGAGUUCUCGUAUAAUAACAGCCAUCAGGCCAGCAUCAAGAUGUCACUGUUCGAAGCAUUGUAUGGACGAAAAUGCCAGACCCCUCUCAUGUGGUCCAACGUAGGGGAAAAGGCACUGGAAGGACCUGCCUUUGUCAAAGAUGCUGAGGAGAAAGUUGCCCUGAUCCGCAGAAGAUUACUUGAAGCUCAGAGUCGGUAGAAGAGUUAUGCGGACAACAGGCGGAGAGAACUCAGAUUUGAGGAAGGAGACUUCGUCUACCUCAAGGUCUCCCCGAUGCAUGGUGUCAGAAGAUUCCAGGUGAAAGGGAAGCUAGCACCGCGAUUCGUUGGCCCCUAUCCCAUCAUUGGCAGAGUAGGACCCGCAGCAUACCGUCUUGAUUUACCAGAAUCCAUGUCUGACAUCCACAAUGUGUUUCACGUGUCCCAGCUCCGCAAAUGCCUGCAAGCACCAGAAAGUCACAUCGAAGAAGAGGCAAUAUAGAUUCAGAAAGAUCUUCAGUACCGUGAGAAGCCAAUAAAGAUUCUUGAUUCAGCAAUCCGGAAGACCCGCAACUCAGAAGUGAAACUCUGUAAAGUUUAGUGGAGCAGAGAAGGAGAAGAGGAAGCUACCUGGGAGAGUGAGGACUCUUUGAGGAGGGAAUACCCUUAUAUUUUCUCAAAUCCGGUCUAAAUCUCGAGGGCAAGAUUCCUUUAAGUGGGGUAGGUUUGUAACUCCCAAAAUUUCAACCCAAGGUUUGGAACCCUAAUCUCCCCCCCUUAUCUUACCUCCCCCCUUAACUCCGCCCUUUAGGUCAUCUCAUCAUAUGCAUACACUUUGAUUGUUAGAGCACCUCACAUAGAUUAUUAUUUUUCAGCACCUAAGAUUAUUUAGCUAAUUGUUUGUCAAAUAAAAAGGAGAUAAAAAGAAAAUUGAAAUAGAAAAUAGAAAUGAGAAAUAGAAAAAGAAAAAGGAAAAACAUUUUCUCUCCCCCCUCGGCUGGGCUGUUUCUGGCCCAAGUCGCGCCCGCUUCCCCCCCCUCUCCUCCCACGGCCCAAGCGGCCCAGCUGCGCGCGCCCGCGCCGCGCCUGACAGCUCGGCCCCACCGGUCAGUGGCUCCUCCCCUCUCCCUCUCGCGCCACUCUCUCGCUGGCAGCCCGGGCCCGCUUGUCAGGUCCCUUGUCCCGCCCAUGCCUUCACCGGCGCGUUCACCGCCGACCACCGCCGCCCCGUCUCCUCGCCAUUAACGCGCGCACAGGCCUCAGCUACCUCCCCGCCACUGUACCCGAGCCGUCCCCUCACCCCUCGCCUGCUCGAGCUAUCCCAUCGUUGUUUGCUCCAUCACCGCCAUCAUGGCGAGCUCGUCGGCGCUCGCCGUCCCCCCUUCCUUCCCCCCCGGCCGCCUAUAAAAGGGAUCGCCCGAGCCCCUUGUUCCACCACACCAGACCACAGGCACCCCACCUCCCUCCCUCGAGCUCAAUCGGACUCGGCGCCGUCGUCUCUCCCCUCUCCGAUGAGCUCCGACCUCCUCCCUCUGCUAAGUCCUAGUCCGAUUCAUAUGGUUCUUGAGCUUCGCCACUCCCUCACGAACGCAAUGCGCCCAUCCCCACCUCCUAUUGCACUCGGCUGCCUCGCUGGCGACCUCACCGCCGCGAGCGCCCGCCACCGCGCCAUGGACCGGCCACCCUAGGCCUCCGCCGGUCAAAUUGACCCCACCCCUGUGACCCCCUACCCCCACCCGUGCCUUGCCACCACUUCCCCGUCGUGAAACCGGGAUCCCAGUGGAGAACCGCCGCGGGCAUCACCGCCGGUCGAGCCGACCGGUUCACCCCCCUCUCCGUCGCCUGCUACGCGCCGUUAACCCCCUCCUCUCGCUGAUGCGUGGGCCCGCACCCACGACGUCUGCCCGCGUCGCGCCGCUCCUUCGUGGGCUGGCUGGGCCACCUGCCGCGCCCGCGCUCGGCUGGGCCGAACCCCCCCCCCCCACCCCAGCCCAGCGAGCAGGAAAUCCCUUUUCUUUUUCUUUUCCCAUUUUCAAAUAUAUAUUUAUAUGCUGAUAUUUUAUGCACCAAAAGUAGUUUAAAUAAAUUAUAGGGCACAGAAAUAAUAGGGUAUAAGAAUUGGCACACCCCACUAAAGUCACCAUGAUUGAUGUAUUGUUCUUAUCUGUGCUUGUUAGCGGAAGAGGGAUCCGAUCCUCCGGAAUUUGUAGCUCCGGAAGAAGGGCAGGAACCCGACCCCUCCGAGAUAAAUCUUUUGUGCCAGGAAAGCUUCGACGAAGGCAAGUGCAUCCUUCCCUUGAUGCAUAAUUUACCUAUUCUCUCUACCACUACCUAAGCCGAGAUUAAGGGAUGGAAUAUAUUUUGCAUGGUGAGCAUGUGAUACCCCGCAUUAACUAAUACCUUUUGAUCACAAGAUAUGGGAUGGACAAUGGUUGUAACCAACGAAGUUUUCAAAAAGUUUGCGAUGAAGGGUAUUCACCCUCAUCACCUGGUGAGUGGGAUGAUCAGGGACUCCCUGGUUUAGGGGAGGGCCUAAGGUGAUGGCUCAGCUGGUUUAGGCGUGAGCAGAAGGAUUGUCCUCUCAUAUAAGGACUAGUUUGUCAUCCUUCACAACCUGUACUCAUGAAAAGUACAACCACUCGAGGCUGUGUGGGCAGUCACUCGAUUUGAACUCGUACGGUCCAACCCCAGGGUUAUGAAGGCUGGGGAGCACCGGGAGGAUAAGAGGGGGAAUGUUUUGUCCGGUUUGGACAUGGCGAUGGCCUGACUCCUUCCGGUAUAACCAUUAAGAUUAGGACGUGCGAGGAAGGAAAGAGAUUCGGAUUCGGAUCUCAUUGGCCAUGAGAUCGCAGAGCCGAACUAGUGGGUAAAGUGUACCCCUCUGCACAGAGUUUAAACCUAUUCGAAUAGUCCGUGUCCACUGGUAUGGACGAGUCUGGUAUGGUAUGACAAUUAGUGUUUCUACAACAUCCGGGAACAGGGAAAUACAUGUGUGUGGGUAUGUCUCUGGAAAAGAAAAUGGUGCCACUGGAGCGGGAAGCUCAGUGGUGGAUAAGCAGCGUGUUAUUUCUAUUUCUUCGGGAAAACCCUAAAAAAACAAGUACUGCCUUUAUCUAAGAAAAAGAAGAGUGACUUCAACUCCAUCAUAUGAAGCAUGUAUGAUAUAUGUCUCUUUCUCUUUACGGGAGCUGGGUGGGCUUACGGAAUACCUAGUGUAUUCACCCAGAUUUAUUUAUGUUUUUCAGCAGCUGAAGACUUCUUUUCUGCUAUGCUUGAUUGAGAGGGCUGUGUCUUCACCCAGUUCUGCCAGUGGCCUAGGCUAGUUUAUCUUCCACUGUGUUUUAUAUUUCUGGCUCUCUCGAGCUUGUACCCUGGUAUUGUAAUAACAUUUACUCAAACUCUGUACUAUUUGAAGUAAGGAAUGUGGUUACUAGCCUCCUGGUACUAGUAAUUGUAUCACAUUUGAGUCCCAAAGGAUCGGGAUGCUUCAGAUCCCUAGUGCUGACUUCGGCCGCUACCACCCUAGACUCCACUUCGGCUACUUGGCAUGGGGAGCCAAGCUGCAUAUGGCACAAGGGCCUUGUCAUUCCAAAGCUCAAAGUCAAUGGACUCAUAACCAUAGUCACUAGUUUAUCCUUCUUUUUCUCGUCUGCUUUCAUGUAAAACCAUUCACUCUUCCAACCAGUUGGACACUUGGUACGGUAGCUAAGAACUGGUGCCUUUGUAUCCUUUCGAUACGCAAAAUUGUAGCAACCAAAAUUCUCAUGAAGGCCUUAUGCCCUGGCCUUCGUCUGGUAAUGCAGUUCGUGCACCCGAUAGAAAGCUUCGGCAUUAGGACUCAUCCCCUGACUUCGGAGGGCCCAGAUGUAGACACUAAGUCUAACAAUUGCAUUGGGUGUCAAUUGAUGAUGGUAUAUUUCAAAAUUCUUCAAAACCUCUCCUAUUAUGUCAUAAAGAGGGAACCAAAGCCCCGCUCUGAAGAAGCUUUUAAACACAACAACUUCAUCAUCCUUCGGCUCUGGAACCACUUCCUCGCCAGCAAAACGAACAAGCUUACUCUUGGCUUCACCAAAGUAACCCCAAUUUCUUCAUUAUAACCAUAUCACCUGCCAUCAUAGUGGAUCUACCAAAGUCAAGGUGACUAGGUUUUUCUGGGCUCAGGAUGGUGUAAUCCUCUUCAUCUUUGUUACCACUUCCCUCUCUAAUUGUGAUUUGCUCAGCUUCAGCAAUCAAAGUACCUUCAGCAACAGUCUUUUCUGGCACAACAAGACCCGACUGCCUCAUCACCUCUGAUAUUGGUGCCAUCUCAGUUACUUCGGCCUCGUCUCCCUCGCGAGACACUCUAGCAGUCGAUCGCACUCUGGCCAUUUCAAUGUUUUCACUUUUUGACAAAGCUAAUCUAAAAUGAUGAAGCGUUCGCUCGAAAGCGCAAUACAUAAAGCUUCAGUUAUGGUUAAUUUUUUUAACAUCACGACAGUGCAAUGGCAAUGAAUGUUGUGGUAACUCCUCACCAACCCAUCUAUUUAUAUAGCAUUGCAGGGGGGAAGGUGAACCGCCGGGUCGCUCGCUCUCGCUGAACGGUGGACCGUCCGAUGCCUAGAAUAUUAUAAUCGUUUCUCGGCAACGAGCUUUGGGAAGGUGUUUUUCGAACCUUUAGCAUUCCAAAGCCUUCGUAUUUUUCGUGGAUCGAGCUCGUUACGAAAAACGAUCUAGCACCACGAAGGGGCUACUGUUGGGGGUCUUCUUCUCCACCGAAGGUCCUCUAAGCAAAAACACCUUCGGCAGGACAAUACAUAAGCAGGUGUGACAUGAAGAUAUAAGCCGAAGCUACAAUUGAAGGAACUUCGGCAUGGUGACAUGCUAAAGAUGAAGGACGAUACCGACUUAAAGAGGAAAAGACUGUAUAGUCCCUGAUAAUCUGUAUUAUGAUUAUAGUUAGUUAUCAGGGACACGGAUGUAAUUUUGUUCGGGCUGCGUCCCGUGCCUAUAAAUAGAUUAACAGUACCCUCGUACUGUUCACGCUGAAUUGUAAUCACUCUCGCUUUUCCAUCUUCUGUCAAGCCGAAGGUAUCAAUGUAAUAUAAAUAUUAUUGAUGUUCAUUCAUACUUAUAAAAUAAGAAUAUAAAUAAUCUAAUGAUCGCUAAUGAUUAUUCAUAUUCUUUUGUGUUUCAUAUGUCUUUAUUUACAUUUCUCCAUUCGUAUUCGUUCACUGUAUUGAUGAAGGUAUGCCCUUCAUGACCUUCGUCUGAAGAUCAUUAUAUCCUGAGGGAGAUAAUGUGAAGCGCCCCAAUCCUCAGGGACUCAAAUGUGAUACAAUUACUAGUCCCAGGAGGCUAGUAACCACAUUUCUUACUUCAAAGAGUACAGAGUUCGAAUAAAAGUUAUUACAAUACCAGAGUACAAGCUCUAUUGAGCCUGAAAUACAGAACACAGUGGAAGAUUCAACUAGCCCAAUUCACAGGCAAACUAGGUGCAGACACAACCCCCUUCUAGUCGAGCAUAACAGAAAAGAAUUCUUCAGCUGCUGAAAAACAUAAAUAAAUCUGGGUGAAUACACUAGGUAUUCCGCAAGCCCAUCCCGCCCGUAAAGAGAGAGGGACCUAUAUAAUACAUGCUUUAUAUGGUGGAGUUGAAGUCACUCUUCUUUUCCAGAAAAAGGCAAUAUUUUGAUGGUUUUCCACAAAGAAGGAAGUAGCACAUUUUCACACUCAACCACCACUGAGCUUCCUGCUCCCGUGGCAUUGUUUUCAUUUCCAAAAACACACCCACUCACACAUUUCCCUGAUCGCGGAAGUUAUAAACACUAAUUGUCAUACCACACCAAACUCGUCCAUUCCAGUGGACACGAACUAUUCGAAUAGGUUUGAACUCUGCGCAGAGGGGUACACUUUACCCACUAGUCUGGCUAUGUGGUCUCAUGGCCAAUGAGACCCGAAUACGAAUCUCUUUCUUUCCUCGCAUGUCCUUACCUUAACGGUUAUACCGGAAGGAGUUAGGCCACCGCCAUGUACAAACCGGACAAAACAUUCCCCCUCCUUAUCCUCCCGGUGCUCCCUAGCCAUCAUAACCCUAGGGUUUGGACCGUACGAGUUCAGAUUGAGUGACUGCCCAUACAGUCUCGAGUGGUUGUACUGGUCAUGAGUACAGGUAGUGAAGGAUGACAAACCGGUCCUUAUGUGAGGGGACAAUCCUUCUGCUCACACCUAACCCGGCUGAGCCAACACCUGAGGCCCUCCCCUAAACCAGGGAGUCCCUCACUAUCCCACUCAAAAGGUGAUAAGGGUGAAUACCCUUUAUCAUACACUUUUUUGAAAACAUCGUUUAGUAAAACACCGCCCUUUCCUCAUCCCACAUUUUGUAUUCAAAAGAUAUUCUUUAAUGCGGGCCAUCUCUCUCCUCACAAUGCAAAAGACCCAUCCCUUAUUCCCGGCUUAGGUAGUGGUAGAAAGAGUAGGUAAUUUAUGCAUCAAGGGAAGAAUGGACUUGCCUUCGUCGAAGUUCUCCUGGCAUGAAAGAUCUAUUUCGGAGAGGUUGGGUUACUGCCCUUCUUCUGAAGCUACACAUUCCGGAGGAUUGGAUCCCUCUUCUCCUAGCAAAAAUAGGUAAUGAACAAUACAUCAACCAUGGUGGCUUAGUGGAGUGUGCCAAGUUUUAAAUAUUAUUAUUUUGUGCCCUAUAAUUUAUUUAGACUAUUUUUGGUGCAUAAAAUAUCAAUAUAUAAACAUAUAUAUGAAAAAUAGGAAAAGAAAAAAGGAAAAAGAAAAGGGAUAUCCCUGCUAACUGGGUCGGGGGGAUUUCGGCCUAGCCAAGGCGCGCGCGGGGGGUGGGGGGGGAAGGAAAACGACGUAGGGACGACGUCAUGGGAGCGGGCCCACGCAUUAGAGGGAGGGGGGGUAACGGCGUCGGGCGGGAAAGGCGGUCCGAGGCGGUUAGAACCGGUCGCCGGUGAAGUUCCGCGGCGGUUCUUCACUGGUGGUCCGGUUCUGUGUCGACAGAAUGGUGGCAAGGCAUGAGCGGAGGUAGGGGAUUAUGGAGGUGGGGUCAAUUUGCCCGGUGGACGCUCGGGAUGGCCGGUCCACAGCGAGGUGGCGGGUGCCCGCGGCGGUGAAGUCGCCGGCGAGCCUACCGGGCGCAAUAGGCAAAGAGGAGGUGUGUGCUAGGCUUGCGACGCAGAGGCGGAGCUUAAGAGCUAAAUCAAUUUGACCAUAAGCCACCAGAGAGGGGAGAGCGGAGCUCACCGGAGAGGGGAGGGAUGAUGGCGUCGAGCUUGAUUGUGUCCGAGGGAGGGAGGUGGAGUGGCUAAGGCCUGGUGUGGUGAAGCAAGGGGCUCGGGGCGGUCCUUUUAUAGGCGGCCGGGGAGGGGAAGGGAGGAGAGGUGGCGAGCACCGGCGAGCUCACCACGGCGGUGAUGAUGGCACACAGUGGCGACGGGACGGCUCGGGCAGGCGGGAGUGAAGGGACGGCUCGGGCACAGUGCGCGGGGGCGUAAGGCGCCAAACCGAGCUAGUGAGCGCGUUAAUGGCAAGGCAACGGGGUGGACGGUGGCCGGCGGUGAACGCGUCGAUAGCCUGGUCACGGGUGAGGGGGAGAAGGGGCUGACAGGCGGGGCCCGCUUGCCAGAGAGAGGGCGGUCGCGAGGGAGCGAGGGCGGGCGCGGCUGACGGGUGGGGCCGGCCGAUCAGCGGAAGGGGAGGCGCGGCGCGCGCGCGGGUGGGCACGCGGGAGAUGGGUCGCGUGGGUCGCGAGGGAACGGCGCGCGCGGGAGAGAGAGGGGGUUGGGCCAGAUCCGACCCAGCCGAGGGGGGGGAGGAUUUCCUUUUCCUUUUUAUAUUUCUAUUUCUAUUUCUUUUUAUCUUUUUCUUUAAUCUCCUUUUUCUUUUGAACAAAUAUUUAUCUAUGUUUCUUGGGUGUCAAAAAUAUUCUAUGUGAGGUGCUACUAACAACCAUGGUGUACGCAUAUGAUGAAUGAGAUGUCUUAUGAGGUGGGGGCCUUAGGAGAUAAUUAAGGGGGGGUUUAGAAGUUUUAGGGUUUCUAACCUUGGGAUUAAAUUUGGGAUGUUACAAACCAACCCCACUUAAAGGAAUCUCGCCCUCGAUAUUUAGAGUGGGUUUGAGAAAAGGUAAGGGUAUUCCCUCCUCAAAGAGUCCUCACUCUCCCAGGUAGGUUCUUCUUCUCCUUCCCUGCUCCACUAAACUUUACAUAGUCUUGCUUCUGAGUUUCGGGUCCUUCGGAUGGCUGAGUCAAGAAUCUUUACUGGCUUUUCUCGGUACUGCAGAUCCUUCUGAAUCUGAAUCGCCUCUUAUUCGAUGUGACUUUCUGGCACUUUCAGGCAUUUGCGGAGCUGGGAGACGUGAAACACAUUAUGGAUAUCUGACAUGGAUUCUGGCAAUUCAAGGCGGUAGCUUACGGGUCCUAUUCUGCCAAUGAUAGGAUAGGGGCCAAUGAAUCGCGGGGCUAGCUUCCCUUUCACUUGAAAUCUUUUGACUCCGCGCAUUGGGGAGACCUUGAGAUAGACAAAGUCUCCUUCCUCGAACCUGAGUUCUCUCCGCCUGUUGUCUGCGUAACUCUUCUGCCGACUCUGAGCUUCGAGUAGUCUUUUGCGGAUUAGGGCAACUUUCCCUUCUGCCUCCUUAACGAAGGUAGGCCCUUCCAGUGCCUUUUCCCCUAUGUUGGACCACAUCAGAGGGGUCUGGCACUUUCGUCCAUACAAGGCUUCAAACAGUGACAUCUCAAUACUGGCCUGGUAGCUAUUGUUAUACGAGAACUUUGCAUACGGCAAACUGGACUCCCAAUUCCUGUCAAAAGUCAACACAAAGGCUCUCAACAAAUCCUCGAGGACUUUGUUGACCCUUUCUGUCUGACCAUCUGAUUGAGGGUGAUAGGCGGUGCUGAAGUCUAGCUUGGUGCCCAUAGCUUGCUGAAGGCUCAUCCAGAAUUUUGAGGUGAACUGUGUUCCCAUAUCAGACACUGUCUUCCGUGGAGAGAUGAUCGAGGACCCUUUAACUGGUCACAUGCCACGUCAUGGGUAAGCUUUGCCUCGGGCAGACUAAUACCAGAAUAAGAUAACAUGCAAUGGGAGUGGAGAGAUGGCGAGAGUAGCGUGUACCCUCCGUGGUAAGAGGCUGGACGGUGGUGUAUCUGUGCUCUCGGUUGGCGUGAACCUGAUUUGGUCUUAAGAACCCCGGUGGCGAGUUGACAUAUGCAAGGGUUAAGUGCUACAUAUGUCGUGUGAUUGGAGAUCCUCAGCUGAGUAUAAUCGAUUCGGAUCGCCGUAACUUCACGGACAUGAAGACUUGGUCACUGACCUACACGUAGCAUUCCAGUAAAUAAGAAGGGUUGUUAAGAAAUCAGCUAGUAUAGGUCAAGUGAUUGAACUAGGGUAGAAAGAACUCUAGUUGCAGGUAAUUUUACUUAACCUGACAAAUAAAACUGGAUUUUUAAGGAUCCACUAUUAGUAAGCAUUUCUGCAAACAGAGUCAUUGAUUAUUGAUAAGCCUUACCUUGACUCCCUUAAAGCCAGCAUAUCCUUGAGAGAAUUUUACUUUGUCGGGUAAGUCUUGCGAAAGUACACUUCGUACUCAGGGCUUUGUCCCAUGUUGUUUUAGGUGAAGAAGCAGCAAACUUUUGUUGCUUCUGUUCCAAGGUGGUACCUAUCGGCGUUUCGACCCCGGGGGGUCCCUGGACCGACGAGUAAAUUGUCGCUGCGUGUCCCAGCCCGGAUGGGUCGGCGCGAGACGGAACACAAAGGGGGGAAAAACAACGAGGGGAAACCGUGGCCUUCGUGUUGUCCUGCGCCCAGGGCGGAUGCGCUUGCAGUAGGGGGUUACAAGCGUUGGCGUGGGAGAGGGAGAGAGAGCGAGAGCCUCGUGUGCCAGUCCGUCCUCCCGCGCGGCCACCCUCGCGUACGAGAGCCCUGGACCUUCCUUUUAUAGACGUAAGGAGAGGGCCCAGGUGUACAAUGGGGGUGUAGCAAUGUGCUAACGUGUCUAGCAGAGAGGAGCUAGAGCCCUAAGUACAUGCCGACGUGGCUGUCGGAGAGGUGUUGCUACCCUGUUCAUGUGAUGUCGUGGCCGUCGGAGGAGCACUUGAGCCCUGUAGGAGCAUAGCUGUCGGAGCUGUCAUGUCCUUACUCACGUCUCCUUGCUUCCGUAAGGGGCUGAGAACCGCCGUCGUCAUGGAGCACGCGGGGUGCCAUCAUUACUUGUUUUACCGGGGCUAGCCAGAUGGGACGCCGGUCUUGUUCCCCGUAGCCUGAGCUAGCUAGGGGUAGGGUAAUGAUGGGCCCCCCUGUGACGUGGUCGGUCCGAGCCCGGGGUCGGGCGAGGCGGUGACUCCUCCGAGGUCGAGGCUGAGUCCAGGCCCGGGGGUCGGGCGAGGCAGAGACCGUCAUCCGAGGUCGAGGCUGAGUCCGAGCCCUGGGGUCGGGCGAAGCGGAGUCCGUCGUCCGGCGUCGAGGUUGAGUCCGAGCCCUGGGGUCGGGCGAGGCAGAGUUCAUCGUCCGGCGUCGAGGUUGAGUCCGAGCCCUGGGGUCGGGCGAGGCGGAGUCCGUCGUCCGGCGUCGAGGUUGAGCCUGAGCUCUGGGUUCGGGCGAGGCGGAGCUUCCUAUGGCGCCCGAGGCCGGACUUAGCUGCUGUCAGCCUCACUCUAUCGAGUGGCACAGCAGUCGGAGCAGGGCAGCGGCGAUGUUUUCCUGUCAGGUCGGUCAGUGGAGCGACGAAGUGACUGCGGUCACUUCGGCUCUGUCGACUGAGGAGCGCGUGGCAGGAUAAGGUGUCAGUCGAUCCUUGCAUUAAAUGCUCCUGCGAUACAGUCAGUUGGCGUGGCGAUCUGGUCAAGGUUGCUUCUCCGUGAAGCCUGCCCGAGCUGGGCCUCGGGCGAGUCGAAGGUGCGCCCGUUGUUUGAGGGGACCCUCGGGCGAGACGUGAAUCCUCCUAGGUCGGCUGCCUUUGCCCGAGGCUGGGCUCGGGCGAGGCGAGAUCGUGUCCCUUGAGUGGACAGAGCCUUGACCUGAAUCGCCCCAUCAGGCCUUUGCAGCUUUGUGCUGAUGGGGGUUACCAGCUGAGAUUAGGAGUCUUGGGGGUACCCCUAAUUAUGGUCCCCGACAGUAGCCCCCGAGCCUCGAAGGGAGUGUUGGUACUCGCUUGGAGGCUUUGUCGCACUUUUUUGCAAGGGGACCGGCCUUUCUCGGUUGCGUUUCGUUCCGGUGGGUGCGCGCGAGCGCACCCGCCGGGUGUAGCCCCUGAGGCCUCGGAGGAGUGGUUUGACUCCUUCGAGGUCUUAGCGCGUUUCGUGAUGCUUCGGCCGGUCUGGUUGUUCCCUCAUGCGAACUGGUCAUUGCCCGGGUGCAUAGUCAGGUUUCAAGUUCUUGGGCUGGUAUGUUGACGCUGUCAACGGUUUGGCCGGAGCCGGGUUUGCGAGAGCAGCCCCCGAGCCUCCGCACAGAGCGAGAGGACGGUCAAGGACUACCUCGGCUUUUUUCAUACGCCCCUGUGUCGCCUUUCCGCAAGGAGGAGGGGGGAAGCGCCAUGUUGCCCUUGGAGGGCGCCGAACAUGGUGUCUCCAGUGUGUUGCUAACGGGUGAUCCGAGUGGACGCCCGUGCCCCGUUUGAUAAGGGUCGGCUAGUGGCCCAGAGGCGUGCUCCAAAAGUACCUGCAGGUGAUUUGCCGGAUCCGGUCCCGUUUGGUAGGGUCUGAGGGCUCGAUGCCUCCCUCUGAUGGGAUUCCGUUACAGAAUCCUCCUGCUGGUCUCGGAAAUGUCCUAGGGUACCUCGGGAGCGUAGCCUGAGCCUCGGCCAUGUAUCGGAUGUACCCAGAGUCAUCCCUCGCUCUGCGUGCUCUGAGGCGGCUGUCGAACCCUUCGGGGGCCAGCCUACGAACCCCUGAUCAGUAGUGGGCGCGGAGCCCGAGUGGUCUGAGGCGGCCGUCGAACCCCUCCGAGGGGCCAGCCUUCGAACCUCUGACCAGUAGUGGGCGCAGAGCCCGAGUGCUCUGAGGCGGCUGUCGAACCCUUCCGAGGGGCCAACCUUCGAACCUCUGAUCAGUAGUAGGCGCGGAGCCCGAGUGCUCUGAGGCGGCUAUCGAACCCUUCCGAGGGGCCAGCCUUCGAACCCCUGAUCAGUAGGAGGGCUCGGGGCCCGCUUCCUUCACGGAGAAGGAUCCCUUUCGGAGUAUCCCCUUUCCCGAUCCCUGUAGCAAGAGAGAGAAAGAGGAAGAGGAAAAGGAUACGAAAUCGAACAACGUGGCGCACCUUUUUUGACGCGGUCAUUAUGGCGGAGGUGAAGCGUUGCCUGCUUCUCCUGCCAAAGGUGCCGCCUGUCCUGCCGCAGAGUUAAUGCGAUGGGACGAGUGGUUGGCGGGGUGGCCGUUGUGCGUGCGCGAGCCGUUCGAGGAACGGAACACGGGCGCGUCGUCUUCACGCCGUGGGAGAGGGCUCUCUCGCUAUCCCAGGAGGGGACGUGAGCCUGCGGACGACUUGACUGCUUCUUCCGCCUGCCAGCCACCGCCAUUACUGCCGGCCCACUUUUGGCCAUAUCGACCGUCGCGCCUUCUCCCGUGGCUGACUGACCCGUGACCGAUGUGCUCGGUUGGCACUGUUGGGCCGUGCGCAGGGUUGCCUCGAGUCACGGCACCGGUUCCGCAGUCGAGAAGGCGCGGUACUGGCGCAAGCGGCGGUGCAGUUUCUCGCACGUAGUAACCGGCGCGCCGAUUACAUGACAUGUGGGCCUGGACCCCCAUGCUGGACGCGUCGAAGUCGAAAGGGUGCACCCCCUCGGUGCAGUUGCAUGCCGCCUGUAUGGCGGUCCAUCCUUUCACCCGCUGGUCUGGGCGAAAGUGGAGGAGUGCUUGUAACCGCUGGGCAGUUGUGCGCUCCGCGCGUGGCGGUUUGGCUCCUUCUGUCCUGGGCCAGCUUGCAUGACGUGUGGGACCCAACCCCCAUGUCGUAGGGGGAGGACCUUGGAGCGUGUUGGUGAAGAUCCAGUCUGUGGCGGCUGAGGACGCAAGUGAGGAGAGUUGCCUUUAAAAGGAGGGCGAGCCCCUUGGAUGGCAACCAGGUCUUCGCACUCUCCUCAUGCAUCGCGCCCUUCCACCUUCCGAGCCCCCGGAUGGGGAGCGCCCACAUUGCUUUCGUCUCGUCGUCGUUGGAGGAACGCAACUUCGCGGAAGUUGGUACCUUUCAGCCAUCGUUCGGCUUCAAGGAUUUUCAUCAGGCAACCCGAUUGUAUCCCCUUGCCGGUGGUCACCCAAGACGGUGACCACCAGUUUGAUGGUGGGGAGAAGCAAGCCGGGCUGCAGCCUCUGCCCCUCCCUCAGCUUCAAGGAUGUUCAUCAUCAGUGCUGGGGAGGGGAGUGCGCCGAGUUGGGGCCUGUCUCCGCGCGGGCAACGGCCCGCUCCUUCCCUCAGUGAUUGGGGGGAAGGGCGUUCGCCGUCCGUGGCGCUGGCAGCUGCCGCGUGUCUGGCUCUCCGGCCUGAGCGGCUUCGGCGCUGCUUCUAGUGCCACCUCCCACCGAGGCAGCCGGAAGAGGUUUCUCCACCGACGAGAUAGUUGGUGCCACCCGUGGACUGACCUUUGGCUCUACGGCCUUGGUAGCUUGUCCUCGCCACUCGAGUGGGGACGUGGGCGAGGGCCUUGUCGCAGCAGCGUCUGCCCUAAGGUCAUCGCUGCUGCUGUUUGGCCACCCGGAGCGGAGGUCGUUGUCGCUGCUGCCGGAGUGGGCGGCGGCGAGCCACCUAGGGUUUUGUCGUCCCGCGGGCCCUCUAAAAGUUGCCUAGAGGGGGGUGAAUAGGCAAGUUAAAACUUUUUCAACAAAAACUAGAAGCAAACUGGGUAAAACUGAAUUGAUCUCGAAAUUCACCCAGUUAACUUUGGAAAUGAGAUGUUCUAAAUGAUCCACAGGGUUCAAAGUAGUAGAUCUGAGAAGGGCACUUCUCAAAAUCCACACACCAAAAAGAUAUAAACAAAUCUUCCACGCAAUGGUGAGAGAACGCAGAACACAAACAAACACAAUGAGCAAGAACACAAGAGACACAAGAUUUAUACCGAGGUUCGGUCACACCACCAAGGUGCCCUACUUCCUCGUUGAGGCGCCCACAAAGAGCCGGGUCUCUUUCAACCCUAAUCCUCCCUUUGCCGACCACAAAGGUUAAGCCCACACAAUAAUCUUUGCUCAAACGAGCGGGUAAUACAAACUUUCUUGUGGUCUUCCACAAGAUUUGGAGACUCACAAGAGACACCUAGUCGUCUAGGAGCUAGAAGCUCCAAGAAUAAUGAAUCCACAAAGAACUCGAUGUAGUACCAAAGCUCGAAUGAAGAAGAGCAAGAGAGAUUUGGAGAUGAAGCACAAAAACCGCAGCUUUCAAACUCACUCAAAGAUUUCUCUCCAAAGAUUUGAAAUGGGAGAGGCAAGAGAUGUGUGAGAGGGAGUGGGAGGUGUUUCUCAGGUUAGAAAUGGAGUUUUGUGCGUGCUCUUCUGUGGAGGAGAGAGGUGGGAGUGAGUAUAUAUAGGUGGGGCUCCAAAACUAGCCGUUUUUUACUUUUCUGCCCAAAAAACGGUUGAACCGGUCCCAAAACCGGUUGAAUCGGUUUUUCAAAAAGCUGCGCACAGCUUUUUAGCUGACACAGCAGACUGGCAGAAAAAAGUGAACAGUGCAAAAACCGGUUGAACCUGUUUUAAAACCGGUUGAACCUGUUUCCACCAGACAAAAACCGGUUGAGUGUCCGGUUGAGUGUCCGGCUGAACCAGUAUUUUCCAAAAAGGUGAACAGUGCAAAAACCGGUUGAACCUGUUUUAAAACCGGUUGAACCUGUAUUUUCCAAAAAGCAAUUUUGGCCAAGAUAUACUUAAAAAGGUUGUACUACGUACUUUCACUAAGGAUUAACAAGGGUAAAAUGGAAGUUUUAGAUCAAGGAUUUUGAGCUUUAGUACCAACACCAACCUUCUUUAUGGAUCCCCCUUGAUAGUACGACGAUUCCUAUACUCAAGUCAAAUAAAAUAUAAUUAAGUAAACUCCUUGAGUCAUUGGUGUCUCAAGUGUGAUUUCUCCAUGAUGUUGCUUCAUAAGGAUCACAAACAUCUUUGUCUCACCUUUUGAAGCAAACACAAAUCGAGCCUGUGACUUGUGCCAUUUCACCAUAUAUGAGUUCAAAUCAUGGCUUCAAGUCACCUUACUGAUGCAUCAACAUGUUGUAACUCUUCAUAGCUGAUUAGUUCAUCGACUUAGUGCAAGUACUCUCUUCUUCACCUUAGCCAUGGUACCUCGGUCUACAAGCCGUCGCUUGGCCUUCACCUUCGCUUAGUUCCUCGAAGCCCUUUCCUUGCUAUCUUCACCCUAUCAAGCCAUUCUUGAGUCACAUCCUAUUGAGCAUCAAUUGAGAGAAUCAUUUCUUCAAUAUUGUGAACCUUGCUUGAAUGUCAUCUAGAUAUAACUGCUAAGAUCAAUCAAGCUCUAGUUUGAUUCUCAUAUAUUCAUAUAUGGACUAAUAGUAAUAUGGUCAAGCCAAUUCACGAUUCCUCAUAUCUUAUUCACUUUGGCUUGACCAAUCCUCUUAAUCACUUCAACCUCUAUUAUGAUCAUAUUUAUGCAUAGUGAUUUCUCAGGACUUGUCCAUAUAUUCAAACCAAUAUAGAGACCAUAUUAUAUCCAUUUGCAUUGUCUCACUGAUUAUUUGACCUUGUGUUGAACCUUGUUCACUGAUCAUUAUACACUAUUCAAGUAUGUUCAUCAUACUGAAUUUCCUGUUCAACGCUUAGCAAACUUGUUAGACCUUUAAAUGUGUUGUUAUCCAAAUCACCAAAACUCACAAAAGGGAUGAAUGCACUUUCAAUCUCCCCCUUUUUGGUGAUUGAUGACAACACAUUUAAAGCUUACAUAAGAUUUGAUAAAUAAGAUUUUGAAUCCUAUGAUAUAGUUUCCUCCCCCCUAAAUAUGUGCAUUUCAGAAAAUACCAAUUUUGUACUCAAAUGCCAAAACCACAUAUUUGGGUCAAAGAGUGAAGACAACUUAUAUCAUACUAUUCAUAGGGUGCUUUGUGUCAUAAAUAAACGUGAUGCUCAUGACAUAUAAUGCACUCAUCAAUUUCCUUCAUCUUAUGUUUUACUUAUGAUUCAACCCCCUUUUGUUAAUUAUACUCCCCUUUUCAAAAGUCUUCUAACACUUAGUUACAUAGGACUAAAGGUAAGCUUUAAUGCACAAUUUCUCCCCCUUUGUCAUAAAUCUCCAAAAAGGAUACAAAGGAUAUAAAGGGAAGAAAUUUUGAUUAAGCAAGAUUUAAACACGCUAUCAUGAAAAGGGUCCUUAGAUGGCACAAAAGUAAUGGAGAAGUGUCAUAAGUGAUGUACCUUUGCGUUUUACAUUUUCAAAGGGGUGUUCCACACUUGUGUUGUAUUUAGAGUUCAUUUUGCAAUCUCUUGUUGGCAUAAUUGUGACAUAGGUCCAAGAUAUCAAAUGAAUAUUUUCAUACUAAUUGAAAGAUAAAUCUUGAUACCUGGAGUCUAGAUGUCACCUGGCAUUUUCUUAUCAUAACAAGAGGCAGCAUGAAAAUUGCACAAGUAUGAAUUAUGCAACUAGUGAUCAUGUACAAAAAAUAUCAAUUGAAAACCACCAAUUGAUACAAUUUGAUAGAUAAUCAGAUCACUAAUUGCAUAUUACACUAAGUUCUCCUCACGUUUUAGUGCACACAUAUAUAUGAAUUCAAUUGAUACCUGUUGAGAGUACUUAUUUGCAACUUAAAGUACCAUUGGCAUACAAGGAAUAUCAAUUGAACAUAAUCAUGCAACAUAAGGAACAUGUGCACUAUUUAAUCAAUUAAGUUCUAGACAACAUAAUUUAUUGAGAGCACCUAGAGGGGGGGUGAAUAGGUGAUCCUGUGAAACUUAAACUUAUAGCCACAAAAACUUGUUAAGUGUUAGCACAAUAAUCGCCAAGUGGCUAGAGAGGAGUCUCAACAAAAUACAAUAACCAACAAAGAUCAAUCACAGAGAUGACACGGUGGUUAUCCCGUGGUUCGGCCAAGACCAACGCUUGCCUACUCCACGUUGUGGCGUCCCAACGGACGAGGGUUGCAAUCAACCCCUCUCAAGCGGUCCAAAGACCCACUUGAAUACCACGAUGUUUUGCUUUGCUUAUCUUUAUCCCACUUGCGAGGAAUCUCCACAAAUUAGAGUCUCUCGCCCUUACACUUAAAGUUCACAAAGAAGCACGGAGUAAGGGAGGGAAGCAACACACACAAAUCCACAGCAAAAUGCGCACACACACGGCCAAGAAUCGAGCUCAAAAGACUAUCUCAAAGUUCUCACUAGAACGGAGCUCGAAUCACUGAGAAUGACAAACGAAUGCGCAAGGACUGAGUGUGGAUGAUCAAGAAUGCUCUAAGGUUGCUUGGUUAUAUCCUCCAUGCACCUAGGGGUCCCUUUUAUAGCCCCAAGGCAGCUAGGAGCCGUUGAGAGCAAAUCUGGAAGGCCAUUCUUGCCUUCUGUCAUCGGGCGCACCGGACAGUCCUGUGCACACCGGACACUGUCCGGUGCCCGAUUUCCUUCCUUAAAUGGCGAAGCCGACCGUUGGCGGCCAGAGAGCCGUUGGCGCACCAGACAUGUCCGGUGCACACCGGACAGUCCAGUGCCCCCUUCCGACCGUUGGCCCGGCCACGUGUCGCGCGCAGAUUCCGCGGCCGACCGUUGGCCCGGCCAACCGUUGGCUCACCGGACAGUCCGGUGCACACCGGACAGUCCGGUGAAUUUUAGCCGUACGCCGUUGGACGAAUUCCUGAGAGCGGCCACUUCACGCCGAGUCAGCCUUGCGCACCGGACACUGUCCGGUGCACCACCGGACAGUCCGGUGCCCCAGACCGAACCAGCCUUUUGGCUGUACACAGCCAGCUCUUCUCUUUUCUUCUUCUCUCUGUUUCUAAUACUUAGACAAGUAUAUUAGUACACAAAACCAAUGUACUAAGACUUAGAAACAUACCUUUACUCUUGUUUUGCACUUUGUCCACCCAUAAGCAUGAAUUCACAUUUAAGCACUUGUGUUGGCACUCAAUCACCAAAAUACUUAGAAAUGACCCAAGGGCACAUUUCCCUUUCAAUCUCCCCCUUUUUGGUGAUUUAUGCCAACACAACAUAAAGCAACUAGAACAAGUGCAAUAUUACUUCAAAUAAAAACUCAAGUUUAUUUUGAUUCAAUUUGGCAUAUAUGGAUCAUCCUUUGCCACCACUUGGUUUGUUUUUGCAAAUCAAACACAAAAUCCUAUCUCUAAGUCAAAUCCACUUGUAGAGACAUAAAGAGAGGUUUUCCAACAAAAAUUGAUUCAAGAUUCCAAAAACUCCCCCUUUUCCCAUAAUCAACACUUCUCCCCACAAGAGGCCAACUUUUGACAAAAGAGACAAUGCAAGAGUUUUGACAAAACAAAAAGCUCUAUUCUACUAUUUUCAAAAUCUCUCAAGUGUAUUCUACUAUUUUCAAAAUUUCUCAAGUGGUAGCUGAUCCAUUUAUUGCUUUGGCCUUUAUUUUCUCCCCCUUUGGCAUCAAGCACCAAAACGGGAUCAAUCUUGGCCCUUUAACCCCAUUGCCUCACCAAAAUCUUCAAUUAAGAGCAAAUAGGCAAUAAGAGUUUAAAGAUGAACUUGGAAUAAGUUACCCUCUCAUCGGAGUGCAGUGGAAGUCUUUCACGGUCCAAGUCCACCUUUUUCCCUUUCAAUUCUCCUUGGAGACUAAAACAACCAAACUCAAGUACAUGGUUAGUCUCAAAGGGUCAAGUUGUAGCACAGCUCCCCCUAAAUAUGUGCAUCACUUGCAAACAGGACUUGUGAGGUCCAGGGAGUGUUUGUACAACUUGAGCACCACAAUAAGCAACAAAAUGCAGAAUGAACAUGAUCAAAAGCAUAAACACAUGUAUGCUACAUUUCAAUCCAAGUUUCGCGAAUCUAAGAUAUUGAGCUCACUACGCAGCCUGCAAAAGGUCUUCUCAUCUAGAGGCUUGGUAAAGAUAUCGGCUAGCUGGUUCUCGGUGCUAACAUAAAACACUUCGAUAUCCCCCUUUUGCUGGUGGUCUCUCAAAAAGUGAUGCCAGAUGUCAAUGUGCUUUGUGCGGCUGUGUUCAACAGGAUUUUCCACCAUGCGGAUAGCACUCUCAUUGUCACAUAGGAGUGGGACUUUGCUCAGAUUGUAGCCAAAGUCCCGGAGGGUUUGCCUCAUCCAAAGUAGUUGUGCGCAACACUGUCCUGCCGCAACAUACUCGGCCUCAGCGGUGAAUAGGGCAACGGAGGUUUGUUUCUUAGAGUUCCACGACACCAGGGACCUUCCUAAGAAUUGGCACGUCCCCGAUGUACUCUUCCUAUCGACCUUACAUCCAGCAUAGUCGGAACCUGAGUAUCCAACCAAGUCAAAGGUAGACCCCUUUGGAUACCAGAGCCCGAAGCAAGGCAUAGCGACUAAAUAUCUCAGAAUUCGCUUCACCGCCACUAAGUGACACUCCUUAGGAUCGGAUUGAAAUCUAGCACACAUGCAUACGCUAAGCAUAAUAUCCGGUCUACUAGCACAUAAAUAAAGCAAAGAACCUAUCAUGGACCGGUAUGCUUUUUGAUCAACGGACUUACCUCCUUUGUUGAGGUUGGUGUGUCCGUCGGUUCCCAUCGGAGUCUUUGCGGGCUUGGCGUCCUUCAUCCCAAACCGCUUUAGCAGAUCUUGCGUGUACUUCGUUUGGGAGAUGAAGGUGCCGUCCUUGAGUUGCUUCACUUGGAACCCAAGGAAGUAGUUCAACUCGCCCAUCAUCGACAUCUCGAAUUUCUGCGUCAUCACCCUGCUAAACUCUUCACAAGACUUUUGGUUAGUAGAACCAAAUAUUAUGUCAUCGACAUAAAUUUGGCACACAAACAAAUCACCAUCACAUGUCUUUGUAAAAAGAGUUGGAUCGGCUUUCCCAACCUUGAAAGCAUUAACAAUUAGAAAGUCUCUAAGGCAUUCAUACCAUGCUCUUGGGGUUUGCUUAAGUCCAUAGAGCGCCUUAGAGAGCUUACACACAUGGUCGGGGUACCGUUCAUCCUCGAAGCUAGGGGGUUGCUCUACGUACACCUCCUCUUUGAUCGGCCCGUUGAGGAAAGCGCUCUUCACAUCCAUUUGGUACAACCUGAAAGAAUGGUGAGCAGCAUAUGCUAGCAAGAUACGAAUUGAUUCUGGCCUAGCCACAGGAGCAAAAGUCUCCUCAAAGUCCAAACCUGCGACUUGGGCAUAACCUUUUGCCACAAGUCGAGCCUUGUUCCUCGUCACCACUCUGUGCUCGUCCUGUUUGUUGCGGAACACCCACUUGGUUCCCACAACAUUUUGCUUGGGACGAGGCACCAGUGUCCAAACUUCAUUGCGCUUGAAGUUGUUGAGUUCCUCUUGCAUGGCCAAUACCCAAUCCGGAUCUAGCAAGGCCUCCUCUACCCUGAAAGGCUCAAUAGAAGAGACAAAGGAGUAAUGCUCACAAAAAUUAACUAAUCGAGAUCGAGUAGUUACUCCCUUGCUAAUGUCACCCAAAAUUUGGUCGACGGGAUGAUCCCUUUGAAUCACCGCUCGAACUUGGGUUGGAGGUGCCGGUUGCGCUUCUUCCUCCAUCACGUGAUCAUCUUGUGCUCCCCCUUGAUCACACGCCUCCUUUUGAUGAACCUGUUCAUCGUCUUGAGUUGGGGGGUGCACCGUUGUUGAGGAAGAAGGUUGAUCUCGUUCAUCUUGUUCCUGUGGCCGCACUUCUCCAAUCGCCAUGGUUCGUAUAGCUGCCGUCGGAACAUCUUCUACAUCUACAUCAUCACAAUCAACAACUUGCUCUUUUGGAGAGCCAUUAGUCUCAUCAAAUACAACGUCGCUAGAGACUUCAACCAAACCCGAUGAUUUGUUGAAGACUCUAUACGCCUUUGUAUUUGAGUCAUAACCUAAUAAAAACCCUUCUACAGCUUUGGGAGCAAAUUUAGAAUUUCUACCCUUCUUCACUAGAAUGUAGCACCUGCUCCCAAAUACACGAAAGUAAGAUACAUUGGGUUUGUUACCGGUUAGAAGCUCAUACGACGUCUUCUUGAGGAGGCGGUGAAGGUAGACCCUGUUGAUGGCGUGACAAGCCGUGUUCACGGCUUCCGACCAAAAGCACUCGGGGGUCUUGAACUCUACAAGCAUCGUCCUCGCCAUAUCAAUGAGUGUCCUGUUCUUCCUCUCUACCACACCAUUUUGCUGUGGUGUGUAGGGAGCGGAGAACUCGUGCUUGAUCCCUUCCUCCUCAAGGAACUCCUCCACUUGAAGGUUCUUGAACUCGGACCCGUUGUCGCUCCUGAUCUUCUUCACUUUGAGCUCAAACUCAUUUUGAGCUCUCCUUAGGAAGCGCUUGAGGGUUCCUUGGGUUUCAGAUUUAUCCUGCAAAAAGAAUACCCAAGUGAAGCGGGAAAAGUCAUCAACAAUAACUAGACCAUACUUACUUCCUCUUAUGCUUAGAUAGGCGACGGGUCCGAAGAGGUCCAUAUGUAGCAGCUCCAGAGGUCUUGAUGUUGUCAUCACAUUUUUGGUGUGAUGAGAGCCUCCCACUUGUUUCCCUGCUUGACAAGCUGCACAAGGUCUAUCUUUUUCGAAAUGAACAUUGGUUAGCCCUAUCACGUGUUCUACUUUAGAAGCUUGUGAAGGUUCUUCAUCCCCACAUGUGCUAAGCGGCGAUGCCACAGCCAGCCCAUGCAAGUCUUAGCCAUUAAGCAUGCAUCUAGACCGGCCUCUUCUUUUGCAAAAUCAACUAAGUAAAGUUUGCCGUCUAAUACACCCUUAAAUGCUAGUGAACCAUCACUUCUUCUAAAGACAGACACAUCUACAUUUGUAAAAAGACAAUUAUAUCCCAUAUUGCAUAGUUGGCUAACAGAUAGCAAAUUGUAGCCAAGAGACUCAACUAAAAACACAUUAGAGAUAGAGUGCUCAUUAGAUAUUGCAAUUUUACCUAACCCUUUUACCUUGCCUUGAUUCCCAUCACCGAAUAUUAUUGAAUCUUGGGAAUCCUUAUUCUUGACGUAGGAGGUGAACAUCUUCUUCUCCCCCGUCAUAUGGUUUGUGCAUCCGCUGUCGAUAAUCCAGCUUGAACCCCCGGAUGCAUAAACCUGCAAGGCAAAUUUAGGCUUGGGACUUAGGUACCCAACUCUUGUUGGGUCCUACAAGGUUAGUCACAAUUUCCUUAGGGAUCCAAAUGCAAGUUUUAUCACCCUUGCAUUUUGCCCCUAACUUCCUAGCAAUCACCUUUCUAUCCUUUCUACAAAUUGCAAAGGAAGCAUUCAAAGCAUGAUAUAUUGUAGAAGGUUCAUUAACUUUCCUAGGAACAUUUACAACAUUUCUCCUAGGCAUAUUAUGAACAACAUUUCUCCUACCAACAUUUCUAUCAUGCACAUAGAAGGAACUAGAAGCAAACAUGUCAUGAGAAUCAUAAACAUAUGUGUCGGCGUUUCGAGACAGGGGGGUCCCUAAGCCGACGAGUGAGUGUGCUGCGUGCCCCAGCCCAGAUGGGUCGAGCGCGUGGGCGAGCGCGAAGGGGGGAGAGGCGAGGUGGCCGGAGCCGAGCGUGAGAGAGGUGGAAGUCCCGCGGCCUUCGUGUUCGUCCCGCGCCCAGGUCGGGUGCGCUUGCAGUAGGGGGGUUACAAGCGUCCACGCGGGUGAGGGAAGCGAGCGGCCCCAAGAGAGCGCCUGUCCCGUCCUCGGUCCCGCGCGGCCAACCUUUUCUAAGAAGGCCCUGGUCCUCCCUUUUAUAGUCGUAAGGAGAGGAUCCAGGUGUACAAUGGGGGGUGUAGCAGAGUGCUACGUGUCUAGCGGAGAGAGCUAGCGCCCUAGGUACAUGCCAAUGUGGCAGCCGGAGAGGUCUUGGCACCUUGCUGGCGUGAUGUCGUGGCUGUCGGAGGUGCGACGGAGCCUGGCGGAGGGACAGCUGUUAGAGCGGUCGAGUCUUUGCUGACGUCGCCCUGCUUCCGUAAGAGAGCUGGGGGCCGCCGUCGUCACAGAGCUUGUGGAGUGCCAUCAUUGCCCAUCCGGCGGAGAAGGCCGGAUGGGACGCCGGUCUUGUUCUCAGUAACCCGAGUCGAUUCGGGGUAGGACGAUGAUGGCGCUUCCUGUUGACGUGGCGGGCCUGUGCCCUAGGCAGGGUGACGUGGGGCUCCUCCGAAGCCGAGGUUGAGUCUGUCUUCUGUUGCCGAGGCCGAGUCCGAGCCAUGGGGUCGGGCGAGGCGGAGGUCGUUCAGCCGAGGCCAGGGCGGAGUCCGAGCCCUGGGGUCGGGCGAGGCGGAGUUUCGUCGUCUUCCGGGUCUUAGCCUGAGUCCGAGCCCUGGGGUCGGGCGGAGCGGAGUUCGCCGUCUUCUGGGUCUUAGCCCGAGUCCGAGCCCUGGGGUCGGGCGGAGCGGAGUUCGCCGUCUUCCGGGUCUUAGCCCGAGUCCGAGCCCUGGGGUCGGGCGGAGCGGAGUUCGCCGUCUUCCGGGUCUUAGCCCGAGUCCGAGCCCUGGGGUCGGGCGGAGCGGAGUUUGCCGUCUUCCGGGUCUUAGCCCGAGUCCGAGCCCUGGGGUCGGGCGGAGCGGAGUUCGCCGUGGCGCCUUUGGCAAGGCCUGACUGCCUGUCAGACUCACUCUGUCGAGUGGCACCACAGUCGGAGUAGCGCAGGCGGCGCUGUCCUUCUGUCAGACUGGUCAGUGGAGCGGUGGAGUGACGGCGGUCACUUCGGCUCUGCCGGGGGGGCGCGUGUCAGGAUAAAGGUGUCAGGCCACCUUUGCGUUAAAUGCUCCUGCAACUUGGUCAGUUGGUGUGGCGAUUUAGUCAGGGUUGCUUCUGAGCGAAGCCAAGGCCUCGGGCGAGCCGGUGAUGUGUCCGCCGUAAAAAGGGGGGCCUCGGGCGAGACGGAAGUCUCUCGAGGUCGGCUGCCCUUGGCCGAGGCUAGGCUCGGGUGAAGCGUGAUCGAGUCACUCGUGUGGACUGAUCCCUGACUUAAUCGUACCCAUCAGGCCUUUGCAGCUUUACGCUGAUGGGGGUUACCAGCUGAGAAUUAGGCGUCUUGAGGGUACCCCUAAUUAUGGUCCCCGACAGUAGCCCCCGAGCCUCGAAGGGAGUGUUAGCACUCGCUUGGAGGCUUUCGUCGCACUUUUUUGCAAGGGGACCAGCCUUUCUCGGUUGCAUUUUGUUCCGGUGGGUGCGCGCGAGCGCACCCGCCGGGUGUAGCCCCCGAGGCCUCGGAGGAGUGGUUACACUCCUUCGAGGUCUUAAUACCUUGCGUAAUGCUUUGGCUGGUCUGGUCGUUCCCUCAUGCGAACUGGCCGUAGCCCGGGUGCACGGUCGGGGCCCAAGCUCUCGGGCUGGUAUGUUGACGCUGUCAACGGUUUGGCCGGAGCCGGUUUUUGCGAGAGCAGCCCCCGAGCCUCUGCACAGGGCGAGAGGACGAUCAGGGACAGACUCGACUUUUUACAUACGCCCCUACGUCGCCUUUCCGCAAGGAGGAGGGGGGGAGUGCGCCAUGUUACCCUCGAUGGGCACCGAACAUGGUGUCUCCGGUGAGCUGCAAGCGGGUAAUCCGAGUGGACGUCCGUGCCCCGUUCGUUGGGGGUCGGCUAGGGGCCCAGAGGCACGCCCAAAAGUACCUGCAGGUGAUUUGCCGGACCCGGUCCCCUGGCGACGGGGUCCGAGGGCUCGAUGCCUCCCUCCGAUGGGAUUCCGUUACAAGAUCGUUCCCGCUGGUCUCGGAAAUGUCCUAGGGUACCUCGGGAGCGCAGCCCGAGCCUCGGUUAUGUAUCGAACGUACCCCUGGUCAUCCCUCGCUCGGUGUCUGAGGCCACUGUGAACCCUUCGGAGGCCAGCCUUCGAACCCCUGAUCAGUAAUGGGCGCGGAGCCCGAGUAGCCUGAGGCGGCCAUGGGACCCUUCGGGGGGCUGGCCUUCGAACCCCUGACCAGUAGUGGGUGUCGGGCCCACGCGAUCUGAGGCGACUGUUGAACCCUUCGGAGGGCCAGUCUUCGAACCCCUGAUCAGUAGGGGGGCUCGGAGCCCGGUUCCUUCGCGGAGAAGGAUCCUUUUCGGGGUAUCCCCCUUUCCCGGUCCCUGUUGCAAGAGAUAGAGAAAGAGGAAAAAGGAAAAGGAUACGAAAUCGAACGACGUGGCGUACCUUUUCUGACGCGGUUAUUACGGCGAAGGUGAAGCGUCGCGCUCUCCUCCCGUCAGAGACGCCGCGUGUCCCACCGUGGAGUUAAUGCGACGGGGCGAGUGGUUGGCGGGGCGGCCGUUGCGCGUGCGCGAUCCGUUCGAGAAACGGGUCACGGGUACACCGUCUUCACGCCGUGGGAGGAGGCUCUCUUGCUGUCCCAGGAGGAGACGUGAGCCUGGCUGACGACGUGACUGCUGCGCCCGCCCGCCUGCCACCGCCAUUACUGCCGGCCCACUUUCGGUCGCUUUGACCAACGCGCCAGGUUGGCGCUGCUGGGUCGCCUCGAGUCGCGGCAUGGGCUCCGCAACCGAAGAGGCGCGACGGUGGCACAAGUGGCGGUGCGGUUGCCUGCAUGCAGCAACUGGCGCGCCGGUUGCUUGACGCGUGGGCCUGGGCUUCCAAGCUGUCGUGUCAGAAGUCGGAGAAGCGCGUCCACCUGGCGCGGUUGCAUGCCGCCUGCAUGGCUGCCCGCCCCUUCCGCCCGUUGGUCUGGGCAAAAGUGGGGGGUCGCUUGUAACCGCUGGACGGUCGUGCGCACCACGCGCGGCGGUUUGGCUUCUUCUGCCCUGAGCUGGUUUGCAUGACAUGCGGGACCCAGCCCCCGAGUCGCAGGGGAGGGCCUUGAAGCAUGUUGGAGAAGACUCUGCCCGUGGCGUCUGGGGGCGCACGUAGGGAGAGUUGCCUUUAAAAGGAGGGAGACUCCUUUCAGAAGGCAACCGUGUCUUCUUCCUCCCUUAUGCGUCGUGUCUUUCUAUCUUCCAAGCCCCCGGAUGGGGGGUAUCCGCCGCCUUUCCGCCUCCUCGUCGGAGGAACGCAACUCCAUGGGAGUUGGUACCUUUCAGCCAUCGUUCGGCUUCAAGGAUUUUCAUCAUGCAGCCCGGCUGCACCCCUCCACCGGUGGUCACCCAGGAUGGCGACCUCCGGCUUGAUGGUGGGGGAAAGCGAGCCGGGCUGCGGCCUCUGCCCCUCCCUCAGCCUCAAGGAUUUUCAUCACCAGGGCUGGGGAGGGAAGUGCGCCGAGUUGAGGUCGGCCCCCGCGUGGGCGGCGGCCCGCUCCUUCACUCAGUGAUGGGGGGAGGAGCGGUUGUUGUCCGUGGCGCUGGCAGCUGCAGCGUGUCCGGUCUUCAGACGCGAGUGGCUUCGGAGCCGCUCGCGGCGCCGGCGUCCGCCACGGCAGCUGGAAGAGGUUCUUCCGCCGGUGCGAUAGCCGGGGCCGGCCAUGAACUGACCUCCAACUCUACGGCCUUCUGCCCGUCCUUGCCUCACGAGUUUUGUCGUGGGCGGGGGCCUCCUGGCAGCAGCAUCCGCCCUAGGGUCAGUGCUACCGCUGUUCGACCCCCCGGAGCAGAAGUCGUCGUUGUCGCCGCUGCUGGGGCAGGUGACGGCGCGCCAUUCGUCGGCCUUCCGUUGCUCCGCAGGCCUUCCCCCUCGGAGUGGGGUCGUUCGUACCUGCGGAGGGGGAACCGGAGUUCCGUUUGUAAUGGCAUCUCGAAUGCCGGUGAGUUUGUUCAUUGCGGCUGUCGGGGCCUGAACAUGUAUGUAAUUUUGGCACGGAGCCGUGUUUUUUCCUCAUUUUCGAGCACUAAGUCUCGUCUGUUGAUUAUCUGAACCGCUUUAGCGAGCAUGAGUCGCCCCGUGUCAAGGUGACGAGUGAGGUAUCCGUAUCCCGGAGGCGUAGGAAUCCCCCGGCCCGAUCGGCCUUGUUGUCUGGGGCUCCUCUAUCUUAGUUAAAGAGACCCCUCGGCCGCCCUUCGAUGAGCCGAGGCCAGGGGUAGCGAUAUCAGUAUGAACAGAGGCGGAGUUGGCUCGAGAAUGGGAACCUGGUUGGCCGGAGCCUAGCCGUGUUGUCCGUCAGCGGAGCCGACGCCAAAGUCGACCAGCCGAGGCCUCGGGUCGGGCUGGUGCCCUUGGAAGCCGGUUGGCCGAGGCCCCAGGGGUAACCGGCCGAGCCGCCUGCUCGGGCCGGAUUCCCGAAGGAAUUCCUGGACCGCGUCGCCGUCCGAGGAUGGGUCGGACUUUGCUGAAGACGUCGUCGAUGCCGAGGGUGCUACGGCUCCCUUCAGCGUGAAGAUCCGAGCCUACAGGAUCAGAUCGUCUUGUAGCGUGUGCCUUCUGCGGUCGCCGAGGCCAGAAAAACACACCCUCGCCGUGCUUGCGAAGCUGCGUCUUUUUUCCUCUUGUUUCGAGCAUCUGGACUCUCUGUCGGUAACAGGGAUGUUUGUGUGAGCGAGAGUUGCUUCUCGCGGAAGGGACGAGUGAGGUAUCCGUAUCCCAGAGGCGUGGGAAUCCCUCGGCUCGGUCGGCCUUGCCGCUUACGCGUACUUUCACCCGUCCAUGAGGCCCUGUCCCCGACUCAGUCGAGAAAGCUUGAAGGACUGCUUCGGCAGGAGAGCUUCCGAACGUGAAGACUUGUUCGGUCCACGGAGUCGCUUUAUCCGAGCGCGAGUUACUUAUCGCAGAAGGUGAUGAGUGAGGUAUCCGUAUCCCGGAGGCGUAGGAGUCCCUCGGCUCGGUCAGCCUUGGCUGCUUACGUGUACUCCGUCGUUUCCAGGAUCCGCUUUCCGAAGUAGUCAAGAAGCACGAAAGUAAUCCUGCUAAAAAGAGAUCCUUUUUCGAGGAAAAAUUCGACGCAGAGGGGGUCUCCCCCCUUUUAGCCCCCGAGGGAGGGUCGGGCUUUGCCGAGGCUAGGCCGACCCUUCCUUGACGACUAAACUUUGUGUAGGUGCGAGGUAUAUGAACAACUUGGAAACAUCUUAAGGGUAGAAGCGACGUAGCUGUUUGAUGUUCCAAGCGUUGCCGUAGAUCUCGCCUUGAUUGUUGGCCAGCUUGUAUGUUCCGGGCUUCAGAACUUUGGCGAUGACGAAUGGCCCUUCCCAGGGGGGCGUGAGCUUGUGCCUCCCUCGGGCGUCUUGCCGCAGCCGAAGCACCAGAUCGCCCACCUGGAGGUCUCGGGACCGGACCCCUCGGGCGUGGUAGCGUCGCAGGGACUGCUGGUACCGCGCCGAGUGUAGUAAGGCCCUGUCCCGAGCCUCCUCCAGCUGGUCCAGCGAUUCUUCUCGGCUAGCUUGGUUGCUUUGAUCGGUGUAGGCCCUCGUCCUCGGGGAGCCGUAUUCCAGGUCAGUGGGCAAGAUAGCUUCAGCCCCGUAGACCAGGAAAAACAACGUGAAACCCGUGGCACGACUCGGCGUCGUCCUUAGGCUCCAGACCACCGAGGGGAGUUCCUUCAUCCACCGCUUGCCGAACUUGUUGAGGUCGUUGUAGAUCCGAGGCUUGAGCCCUUGUAGAAUCAUGCCGUUGGCACGCUCUACUUGCCCAUUCGACAUGGGAUGAGCCACGGCGGCCCAGUCCACCCGGAUAUGGUGAUCCUCGCAAAAAUCCAAGAAUUUUUUGCCGGUGAACUGGGUGCCGUUGUCGGUGAUGAUGGAGUUCGAGACCCCGAAGCGAUGGAUGAUGUUGGUGAAGAACGCCACCGCCUGCUCGGACCUGAUGUUGUUCAGAGGUCGGACCUCGAUCCACUUGGAGAAUUUGUCGAUGGCGACCAGCAGGUGCGUGUAGCCCCCGGGCGCCUUCUGCAAGGGACCGACGAGGUCCAGACCCCAUACAGCGAAGGGCCAGGUGAUGGGUAUUGUCUGCAGAGCCUGAGCGGGCAGGUGGGUCUGCUUCGCAUAGAAUUGGCACCCUUCGCAGGUGCGGACAAUUCUAGUAGCGUCAGCCACCGCCGUUGGCCAGUAGAAGCCUUGUCGGAAAGCAUUCCCGACAAGGGCUCAGGGCGCUGCGUGAUGGCCGCAAGCCCCCGAGUGUAUUUCUUGCAGCAGUUCCCGACCUUCGGCGAUGGAGAUGCAUCGCUGGAGGAUGCCCGAGGGGCUGCGAUGGUAGAGCUCCUCUUCAUCGCCCAGCAGGACGAAAGACUUGGCGCGUCGCGCUACCCGCCGAGCCUCGACUUGGUCGGGGGUAGCUCUCCUCGACGAAGAUAUUGCAGGUACGGGGCCUGCCAAUCUCGAUCUGGCGUGGCCCCGCUCUGCUCUUCCUCGACGUCCAGUGCCUCGCCCUCGGGGGCCGAGGGUACCUCGGGCUGUGCCGAGGGUGCCUCGGGCUGAGCCGAGGGUACCUCGGGCUCGGGCGCGUCGUCGAUCUUGACAGAGGGUUGAUGCAGAUCUUGGGAGAAGACGUCUGGGGGGACCGUCGUUCGCCCCGAGGCUAUUUUAGCCAGCUCGUCUGCGGUUUCGUUGUAGCGCUGAGCGAUGUGGUUGAGCUCGAGCCCGAAGAACUUGUCUUCCAGGCGCCGAACCUCGUCGCAGUAGGCCUCCAUCUUCGGGUCGCGGCAGUGGGAGUUCUUCAUGACUUGGUCGAUGACGAGCUGCGAAUCACCACGGGCGUCGAGGCGUCUGACCCCUAGCUCGAUGGCGAUCCGCAACCCGUUGACCAGAGCUUCGUACUCGGCCACAUUGUUGGACGCCGGGAAAUGGAGGCGCAGCACGUAGCGCAAGUGCUUUCCGAGGGGCGAGAUGAAGAGCAGGCCCGCGCCGGCUCCUGUCUUCAUCAGCGACCCGUCGAAAAACAUGGUCCAGAGCUCCGGUUGGAUCGGAGCCUGAUAGUCGCCUAGAGGGGGGGGGUGAAUAGGGCGAAACUGAAAUUUACAAAUAUAAACACAACUACAAGCCGGGUUAGCGUUAGAAAUAUAAACGAGUCCGCGAGAGAGGACGCAAAACAAAUCGCGAGCAAAUAAUGGAGUGUGACACACGGAUUUGUUUUACCGAGGUUCGGUUCUCGCAAACCUACUCCCCGUUGAGGAGGCCACAAAGGCCGGGUCUCUUUCAACCCUUCCCUCUCUCAAACGGUCCCACGGACCGAGUGAGCUUCUCUUCUCAAAUCACUUGGGAAUCAAACUUCCCGCAAGGGCCACCACACAAUUGGUGCCUCUUGCCUCAAUUACAAGUGAGUGUUUGAUCACAAGAAAGAAUCAAGAAAGAAGAAAGCAAUCCAAGCGCAAGAGCUCGAAAGAACACAAGCAAAUCACUCUCUCUAGUCACUUUGGCGUUGUGUGGAAUUUGGAGAGGAUUUGAUCUCUUUGGUGUGUCUAGAAUUGAAUGCUAGAGCUCUUGUAGUAGUUGGGAAGUGGAAAACUUGGAUGCAAUGAAUGGUGGGGUGGUUGGGGUAUUUAUAGCUCCAACCACCAAAAGUGGCCGUUGGGAGGCUGUCUGUUCGAUGGCACACCGGACAGUCCGGUGCACACCGGACAGUCCGGUGCCCCCUGCCACGUCAUCACUGCCGUUGGAUUCUAACCGUUGGAGCUUCUGACUUGUGGGCCCGCCUGGGUGUCCGGUGCACACCGGACAGGUACUGUUUGCUGUCCGGUGUGCCAGCAUGGGCGCGCCUGCCAUCUGCGCGCGCUGCGCGUGCAUUUAUUGCGCAGCAGGUAGCCGUUGGCGCCGAGAUAUCCGUUGCUCCGGAGUCACACCGGACAGUCCGGUGCACACCGGACAGUCCGGUGAAUUAUAGCGGACUAGCCGUUGGAGUUUCCCAAAGCUGGCGAGUUCCUGAGGCCGACCUCCCUUGGCGCACCGGACACUGUCCGGUGUACACCGGACAGUCCGGUGAAUUAUAGCCGAGUCGCCUCUGGGAAUUCCCGAAGGUGGCGAGUUUGAGUCUGAGUCCCCCUGGUGCACCGGACAUGUCCGGUGGCGCACCGGACAGUCCGGUGCGCCAGACCAGGGGUGCCUUCGGUAGCCCCUUUGCUCCUUUGUUGAAUCCAAAACUUGGUCUUUUUAUUGGCUGUGUGUGAACCUUUUACACCUGUAUACUCUAUACACUUGGGCAAACUAGUUAGUCCGAUUAUUUGUGUUGGGCAAUUCAACCACCAAAAUUAAUUAGGGACUAGGUGUAAGCCUAAUUCCCUUUCAAUCUCCCCCUUUUUGGUGAUUGAUGCCAACACAAACCAAAGCAAAUAUAGAAGUGCAUAAUUGAACUAGUUUGCAUAAUGUAAGUGUAAAGGUUGCUUGGAAUUGAGCCAAUAUAAAUACUUACAAGAUAUGCAUGGAUUGUUUCUUUCUUAUAUAACAUUUUGGACCACGUUUGCACCACAUGUUUUGUUUUUGCAAAUUCUUUUUGUAAAUCCAUUUCAAGGAUCUUUUGCAAAUCGUCAAAGGUAAAUGAAUAAGAGUUUGCAAAGCAUCUUCAGGAUUUGAAAUUUUCUCCCCCUGUUUCAAAUGCUUUUCUUUUGACUUAACAAAACUCCCCCUAAAGGAGAUCCACCUCUUAGUGUUCAAGAGGGUUUUGAUAUUUAUUUUUGAAAAACUAAUUUUCUCCUCCUUUUGAACACAAUAGGAUACCAAUUGAUAAAUACUUUUGGAAAGCACUAAGUUUUUGAAAUUGGUGGUGGUGCGGUCCUUUUGCUUUGGGCUCAUACUUUCUCCCCCUUUGGCAUGAAUCGCCAAAAACGGAAUCAUUAGAGCCCAUAGAAUUCCUUUCUCCUCCUUUGGACAUAAAUGAAUGAGUGAAGAUUAUACCAAAGACGAAGUCCUCUUGCUUUGGGCUUACUUUCUCCCCCAAAGACGAAGUCCUUUUGCUUUGAACUCUCCCCCUAAAGAUGGAGAAAAGCUUGGAGCGACGGCGAAGGAUGAGUUACGGAGUGGAAGCCUUUUUCUUCGCCGAAGACUCCAAUUCCCUUUCAAUAUACCUAUGACUUGGUUUAAAAUAGACUUGAAACCACAUUAGUCAUAGCAUAUAUGAUCAAAAGUAUAAAGGAGCUAUGUGUGCAAUCUAGCAAAAGAAGUUGCGAGAAUCAAGAAUAUUGAGCUCAUGCCUAAGUUUGGUAAAGGUUUGUUCAUCAAGAGGCUUGGUAAAGAUAUCGGCUAAUUGAUCUUUAGUGCUAAUGUAAGAAAUCUCGAUAUCUCCCUUUUGUUGGUGAUCCCUAAGAAAAUGAUACCGGAUGGCUAUGUGCUUAGUGCGGCUAUGCUCGACGGGAUUGUCGGCCAUUUUGAUUGCACUCUCAUUAUCACAUAGCAAAGGGACUUUGGUUAAUUUGUAACCGUAGUCCCGCAGGGUUUGCCUCAUCCAAAGCAAUUGGGCGCAACAAUGGCCUGCGGCAAUGUACUCGGCUUCGGCGGUGGAAAGAGCAACCGAAUUUUGCUUCUUUGAAGCCCAUGACACCAAGGAUCUUCCCAAGAACUGGCAAGUCCCCGAUGUGCUCUUCCUAUUAAUCUUACACCCCGCCCAAUCGGCAUCGGAAUAACCAAUUAAAUCAAAUGUGGAUCCCCGAGGGUACCAAAGCCCAAACUUAGGAGUAUAAGCCAAAUAUCUCAAGAUUCGUUUUACGGCCGUAAGGUGGGAUUCCUUAGGGUCGGAUUGGAAUCUUGCACACAUGCAAACGGAAAGCAUAAUAUCCGGUCGAGAUGCACAUAAAUAAAGCAACGAACCAAUCAUCGACCGGUAUACCUUUUGAUCCACGGACUUACCUCCCGUGUCGAGGUCGAGAUGCCCAUUGGUUCCCAUGGGUGUUUUGAUGGGCUUGGCAUCCUUCAUCCCAAACUUGCUUAGAAUAUCUUGAGUAUACUUCGUUUGGCUAAGGAAGGUGCCCUCUUGGAGUUGCUUCACUUGAAAUCCUAAGAAAUACUUCAACUCCCCCAUCAUAGACAUCUCAAAUUUCUUUGUCAUGAUCCUACUAAACUCUUCACAUGUAGAUUCGUUAGUAGACCCAAAUAUAAUAUCAUCAACAUAAAUUUGGCAUACGAACAAAUCAUUUUCAAGAGUUUUAGUAAAGAGAGUAGGAUCGGCCUUGCCGACUUUGAAGCCAUUUGCAAUAAGGAAAUCUCUAAGGCAUUCAUACCAUGCUCUUGGGGCUUGCUUGAGCCCAUAAAGCGCCUUAGAGAGCCUAUAAACAUGGUUAGGGUACUCAUUGUCUUCAAAGCCGGGAGGUUGCUCAACAUAGACCUCUUCCUUGAUUGGUCCAUUGAGGAAGGCACUUUUCACGUCCAUUUGAUAAAGCUUAAAGCCAUGGUAAGUAGCAUAGGCUAAUAAUUUGCGAAUUGACUCAAGCCUAGCUACGGGUGCAUAGGUUUCACCGAAAUCCAAACCUUCGACUUGGGAGUAUCCCUUGGCCACAAGUCGUGCUUUGUUCCUUGUCACCACACCAUGCUCGUCUUGCUUGUUGCGGAAGACCCAUUUGGUUCCUACAACAUUUUGGUUAGGACGUGGAACCAAAUGCCAUACCUCAUUCCUUGUGAAGUUGUUGAGCUCCUCUUGCAUCGCCAUCACCCAAUCCGAAUCUUGAAGUGCUUCCUCUACCCUGUGUGGCUCAAUAGAGGAAACAAAAGAGUAAUGUUCACAAAAAUGUGCAACACGAGAUCGAGUGGUUACCCCCUUUUGAAUGUCGCCGAGGAUGGUGUCGACGGGGUGAUCUCGUUGGAUUGCUUGGUGGACUCUUGGGUGUGGCGGCCUUGGUUCUUUCUCAUCCUCCUUUUCUUGAUCAUUUGCAUCUCCUUGAUCAUUGCCAUCAUCUUGAGGUGGCUCAUCUUCUUGAUUUUGCCCUUCAUCAACGUGAGCCUCAUCCUCAUUUUGAGUUGGUGGAGAUGCUUGCGUGGUGGAGGAUGGUUGAUCUUGUGCACUUGGAGGCUCUUCGGAUUCCUUAGGACACACAUCCCCAAUGGACAUGUUCCUUAGCGCUAUGCAUGGAGCCUCUUCAUUACCUAUCUCAUCAAGAUCAACUUGCUCUACUUGAGAGCCGUUAGUUUCAUCAAACACAACGUCACAUGAGACUUCAACUAGUCUAGUGGACUUGUUAAAGACCCUAUAUGCCCUUGUGUUUGAGUCAUAACCAAGUAAAACACCUUCUACAGUUUUAGGAGCAAAUUUAGAUUUUCUACCUCUUUUAACAAGAAUAAAGCAUUUGCUACCAAAAACUCUAAAGUAUGAAAUGUUGGGCUUUUUACCGGUUAGGAGUUCAUAUGAUGUCUUCUUGAGGAUUCGGUGAAGAUAUAACCGGUUGAUGGCGUAGCAGGCGGUGUUGACCGCUUCGGCCCAAAACCGGUCCGGUGUCUUGUACUCAUCAAGCAUGGUUCUUGCCAUGUCCAAUAGAGUUCGAUUCUUCCUCUCUACUACACCAUUUUGUUGUGGCGUGUAGGGAGAGGAGAACUCAUGCUUGAUGCCCUCCUCCUCAAGGAAGCCUUCGAUUUGAGAGUUCUUGAACUCCGUCCCGUUGUCGCUUCUUAUUUUCUUGAUCCUUAAGCCAAACUCAUUAUGAGCCCGUCUCAAGAAUCCUUUUAAGGUCUCUUGGGUUUGAGAUUUUUCCUGUAAAAAGAAUACCCAAGUGAAGCGAGAAUAAUCAUCCACUAUUACAAGACAAUACUUACUCCCGCCGAUGCUUAUGUAAGCAAUUGGGCCGAAAAGAUCCAUGUGGAUUAGCUCAAGUGGCCUGUCGGUCGUCAUGAUGUUCUUGUGUGGAUGAUGGGUUCCAACUUGCUUCCCCGCCUGGCAUGCGCUACAAAUCCUGUCUUUCUCAAAAUGAACAUUUGUUAAUCCUAAAAUGUGUUCUCCCUUUAGAAGCUUAUGAAGAUUCUUCAUUCCAACAUGUGCUAGUCGGCGGUGCCAGAGCCAACCCAUGUUAGUCUUAGCAAUUAAGCAAGUGUCGAGUUCGGCUCUAUCAAAAUCUACUAAGUAUAGCUGACCCUCUAACACUCCCUUAAAUGCUAUUGAAUCAUCACUUCUUCUAAAGACAGUGACACCUACAUCAGUGAAUAGACAGUUGUAGCCCAUUUGACAUAAUUGUGAAAUGGAAAGCAAAUUGUAAUCUAAAAAAUCUACAAGAAAAACAUUGGAAAUAGAAUGGUCAGGAGAUAUAGCUAUUUUACCAAUACCUUUGACCAAACCUUGAUUUCCAUCCCCGAAUGUGAUCGCGCAUUGGGGAUCUUGGUUUUUCUCAUAUGAGGAGAACAUCCUUUUCUCCCCGGUCAUGUGGUUUGUGCACCCGCUGUCGAGUAUCCAACUUGAGCCCCCGGAUGCAUAAACCUACAAAACAAAUUUAGUUCUUGACUUUAGGUACCCAAACUGUUUUGGGUCCUUUGGCAUUAGAAACAAGAACUUUGGGUACCCAAACACAAGUCUUUGACCCCUUGUGUUUGCCCCCAACAAACUUGGCAACUACCUUGCCGGAUUUGUUAGUAAGCACAUAAGAAGCAUCAAAAGUUUUAAAAGAAAUGGCAUGAUCAUUUGAUGCAUUAGGAAUUUUCUUUCUAGGCAGCUUGGCAUGGGUUGGUUGCCUAGAGCUAGAUGUCUCACCCUUAUACAUAAAAGCAUGGUUAGGGCCAGAGUGAGACUUUCUAGAAUGAGUUCUCCUAAUUUUGCUCUCAGGAUAACCGGCAGGGUACAAAAUGUAACCCUCGUUAUCCUGAGGCAUGGGAGCCUUGCCCUUAACAAAGUUAGACAAGUUCUUAGGAGGGACAUUAAGUUUGACAUUGUCUCCCCUUUGGUAGCCAAUGCCAUCCUUAAUGCUAGGGUGUCUCCCAUUAUAGAGCAUACUUCUAGCAAAUUUAAAUUUUUCAUUUUCCAAGUUAUGCUCGGCAAUUUUAGCAUCUAGUUUUGCUAUAUGAUCAUUUUGUUGUUUAAUUAAGGACAUGUGAUCAUGAAUAGCAUUAAUAUCAACAUCUCUACAUCUAGUGCAAAUAGUGACAUGCUCAAUGGUAGAUGUAGAUGGUUUGCAAGAAUUAAGUUCAACAAUCUUAGCACGAAGUAUAUCAUUCUUAUCUCUAAGAUCGGAAAUUGUAACUUUGCAAACAUCAAAAUCUUUAGCCUUAGCAAUUAAAUUUUCAUUCUCUAAUCUAAGGCUAGCAAGAGAUACAUUCAAUUCAUCAAUCUUAGCAAGCAAAUCAACAUUAUCAUCUCUAAGAUUUGGAAUUGAAACAUCACAAACAUGUGAAUCAACCUUAGCAUUUAAACUAGCAUUUUCAUUUCUAAGGUUGUCAAUAAUUUCACGGCAAGUGCUUAGCUCACUAGACAAUUUUUCACAUUUUUCAACUUGUAGAGCGUAAGCAUUUUUAACCUUAACAUGUUUUUUAUUUUCCUUGAUUAGGAAGUCCUCUUGGGAGUCCAAGAGAUCAUCCUUCUCAUGGAUGGCACUAAUUAGUUCAUUUAAUUUCUCUUUUUGUUCCAUGUUAAGGUUGGCAAAAAGAGUGCGUAAGUUAUCCUCCUCAUUGCUAGCAUCAUCCUCAUCACUAGAGGUUUCAUAUUUAGUGGAGGAUCUUGAUUUUACCUUCUUCCUUUUGCUGUCUUUUGCCAUGAGGCACUUGUGGCCGACGUUGGGGAAGAGGAGUCCCUUGGUGACGGCGAUGUUGGCGGCGUCCUCGUCGUCGGAGGAGUCGCUAGUGCUUUCGUCGGAGUCCCACUCCCGACAAACAUGGGCAUCGCCCCCUUUCUUCUUCUCCUUCCUCUUGGUGCGGGACUCUUCCGAUGAAGUGCUCCCGUGGCUUGUAGUGGGCUUUUCGCCGGUCUCCAUCUCCUUCUUGGCGUGAUCUCCCGACAUCACUUCGAGCGGUUAGGCUCUAAUGAAGCACCGGGCUCUGAUACCAAUUGAUAGUCGCCUACAGGGGGGUGAAUAGGGCGAAACUGAAAUUUACAAAUAUAAACACAACUACAAGCCGGGUUAGCGUUAGAAAUAUAAACGAGUCCGCGAGAGAGGACGCAAAACAAAUCGCGAGCAAAUAAUGGAGUGUGACACACGGAUUUGUUUUACCGAGGUUCGGUUCUCGCAAACCUACUCCCCGUUGAGGAGGCCACAAAGGCCGGGUCUCUUUCAACCCUUCCCUCUCUCAAACAGUCCCACGGACCGAGUGAGCUUCUCUUCUCAAAUCACUUGGGAAUCAAACUUCCCGCAAGGGCCACCACACAAUUGGUGCCUCUUGCCUCAAUUACAAGUGAGUGUUUGAUCACAAGAAAGAAUCAAGAAAGAAGAAAGCAAUCCAAGCGCAAGAGCUUGAAAGAACACAAGCAAAUCACUCUCUCUAGUCACUAUGGCGUUGUGUGGAAUUUGGAGAGGAUUUGAUCUCUUUGGUGUGUCUAGAAUUGAAUGCUAGAGCUCUUGUAGUAGUUGGGAAGUGGAAAACUUGGAUGCAAUGAAUGGUGGGGUGGUUGGGGUAUUUAUAGCUCCAACCACCAAAAGUGGCCGUUGGGAGGCUGUCUGUUCGAUGGCGCACCGGACAGUCCGGUGCCCCCUGCCACGUCAUCACUGCCGUUGGAUUCUGACCGUUGGAGCUUCUGACUUGUGGGCCCGCCUGGGUGUCCGGUGCACACCGGACAGGUACUGUUUGCUGUCCGGUGUGCCAGCAUGGGCGCGCCUGCCAUCUGCGCGCGCUGCGCGCGCAUUUAUUGCGCAGCAGGUAGCCGUUGGCGCCGAGAUAUCCGUUGCUCCGGAGUCACACCGGACAGUCCGGUGCACACCGGACAGUCCGGUGAAUUAUAGCGGACUAGCCGUUGGAGUUUCCCGAAGCUGGCGAGUUCCUGAGGCCGACCUCCCUUGGCGCACCGGACACUGUCCGGUGUACACCGGACAGUCCGGUGAAUUAUAGCCGAGUCGCCUCUGGGAAUUCCCGAAGGUGGCGAGUUUGAGUCUGAGUCCCCCUGGUGCACCGGACAUGUCCGGUGGCGCACCGGACAGUCCGGUGCGCCAGACCAGGGGUGCCUUCGGUAGCCCCUUUGCUCCUUUGUUGAAUCCAAAACUUGGUCUUUUUAUUGGCUGAGUGUGAACCUUUUACACCUGUAUACUCUAUACACUUGGGCAAACUAGUUAGUCCGAUUAUUUGUGUUGGGCAAUUCAACCACCAAAAUUAAUUAGGGACUAGGUGUAAGCUUAAUUCCCUUUCAGAGCCGUCGGCAACUGGGUGUCAACCCAUUCGGCCACGAAGUCCGCCAACACCUGGGACUUGAUGGCCUUCCGAGGGGCGAACGAGAUCGUUUCGCCCAUGAUUUCCACCGCCCACUUUGCGAUCCUGCCCGAGGCCUCUCGGCACUGGAUGAUCUCCCCCAGGGGGAAGGAUGACACCACAGUUACCGGAUGAGACUCGAAGUAGUGUCGCAGCUUCCGCCUUGUCAGGAUCACAGCAUACAGCAGCUUUUGAACUUGUGGGUAGCGGAUCUUGGUCUCGGACAGCACUUCGCUGACGAAGUAGACCGACCUCUGAACGGGCAAUGCAUGCCCUUCCUCUUGCCUCUCGACCACAAUCGCGGCGCUAACCACCUGAGUGGUCGCGGUGACGUAGACCAAGAGGGCUUCUCCAUCCGCCGGGGGCACCAAGACAGGCGCCUUCGUAAGGAGCGCCUUCAGGUUGCCGAGGGCUUCCUCGGCCUCAGGGGUCCAAGCGAAACACUCGGCCUUCCUUAAGAGGCGGUACAGAGGCAGACCUCUUUCGCCGAGGCGUGAGAUGAAGCGGCUCAGGGCCGCGAGGCAUCCCAUGACCCUCUGUACACCUUUUAAGUCCUUGAUGGGUCCCAUGCUGGUGAUGGCCGCGAUCUUCUCCGGGUUGGCUUCAAUGCCUCGCUCGGAGACGAUGAACCCUAGGAGCAUGCCUCGGGGCACCCCGAAGACACACUUCUCAGGAUUGAGCCUGACUCCUUUCGCCUUGAGACAUCGGAAUGUCACUUCAAGGUCGGAGAGGAGGUCGGAAGCCUUCCUUGUCUUGACUACGAUGUCAUCGACGUAGGCCUCGACUGUGCGACCGAUGUGUUCGCCGAACACAUGGUUCAUGCACCGCUGGUACGUCGCGCCCGCAUUCCUCAAACCGAACGGCAUGGUGACAUAGCAGUACAUGCCGAACGGCGUGAUGAAAGAAGUCGCGAGCUGGUCGGACUCUUUCAUCCGGAUCUGGUGAUACCCUGAGUAGGCAUCGAGGAAGGACAGGGUUUCGCACCCAGCGGUGGAAUCCACGAUUUGAUCGAUGUGAGGUAGAGGGUAGGGAACCUUCGGACAUGCUUUGUUGAGACCAGUGUAGUCUACACACAUCCGCCAUUUCCCCCCUUUCUUCCUCACAAGCACAGGGUUGGCAAGCCAUUCGGGAUGGAAUACCUCUUUGAUGAACCCUGCUGCCAUCAGCUUGUGGAUCUCUUCGCCAAUCACUCUGCACUUCUCCUUGUCGAAUCGGCGCAGAGACUGCCUGACGGGUCGGGCUCCGGCCCGAAUAUCCAGCGAGUGCUCGGCGGCAUCCCUCGGUAUGCCGGGCAUGUCCGAGGGACUCCACGCAAAGACGUCGGCGUUUGCGCGGAGAAAGUCGACGAGCACUGCUUCCUAUUUGGGGUCGAGCCCGGAACCGAUCCGGAUCUGCUUGGUGGUGUCGCCACUGGGGUCAAGAGGGACGGCCUUAACCGUCUCUGCUGGCUCGAAGUUGCCGGCAUGGCGCUUCACGUCUGGCACCUCCUUGGAGAGGUUCUCCAGGUCGGCGAUGAGGGCCUCGGACUCGGCGAGGGCCUCGGCGUACUCCACGCACUCCACGUCGCAUUCGAACGCGUGUUUGUACGUGGGGCCGACGGUGAUGACCCCGUUGGGGCCCGGCAUCUUGAGCUUCAGGUAGGUGUAGUUGGGGACGGCCAUGAACUUCGCGUAGCAUGGCCUCCCUAGCACGGCGUGGUAGGUUCCUCGGAACCCGACCACCUCGAACGUCAGGGUCUCCCUUCGGAAAUUGGAGGGCGUCCCAAAGCAGACGGGGAGGUCGAGUCGCCCGAGGGGCUGGACGCGCUUCCCAGGGAUGAUCCCGUGGAAGGGCGCAGCGCCUGCUCGGACGGAGGACGGAUCGACGCGCAGGAGCUUGAGGGUCUCGGCGUAGAUGAUGUUGAGGCAGCUGCCCCCAUCCAUCAGGACCUUGGUGAGCCUGACAUUGCCGACAACGGGGUCGACGACGAGCCGGUAUUUCCCCGGGCUUGGCACAUGGUCGGGGUGGUCGGCCUGGUCGAAGGUGAUGGGCUUGUCGGACCAGUCUAGGUAGACUGGUGCCGCCACCUUCACCGAGCAGACCUCCCGGCGCUCUUGCUUGUGAUGCCGAGCCGAGGCGUUCGCCGCAUGCCCUCCAUAGAUCAUGAAGCAGUCGCGGACCUCGGGGAACUCUCCUGCUUGGUGAUCUUCGUUCUUGUCGUCGUCGCGGGCCCUGCCACCCUCGGCGGGUGGCCCGGCCCUGUGGAAGUGACGCCGAAGCAUAACACAUUCCUCGAGGGUGUGCUUGACGGGCCCCUGAUGGUAGGGACACGACUCCUUGAGCAUCUUGUCGAAGAGGUUCGCACCUCCGGGGGGCUUCCGAGGGUUCUUGUGCUCGGCGGCGGCGACAAGGUCCGCGUCAGCAGCGUCGCGUUUCGAUUGCGACUUCUUCUUGCCUUUCUUCUUGGCGCCGCGCGGAGCAGACGCCUCGGGAGCCUCUUCCGAUGGGCGGCCCUGGGGCUGCUUGUCCUUUCGGAAGAUAGCCUCGACCGCCUCCUGGCCAGAGGCGAACUUGGUGGCGAUGUCCAUCAGCUCGCUCGCCCUGGUGGGGGUCUUGCGACCCAGCUUGCUCACCAGGUCGCGGCAAGUGGUGCCGGCGAGGAACGCGCCGAUGACAUCCGAGUCGGUGAUGUUGGGCAGCUCGGUGCGCUGCUUCGAGAAUCGCCGGAUGUAGUCCCGGAGCGACUCCCCCGGCUGUUGCUGGCAGCUUCGAAGGUCCCAGGAAUUCCCGAGGCGCACGUAUGUGCCCUGGAAAUUGCCAGCGAAGGCUUGGACCAAGUCGUCCCAGUUGGAGAUCUGCCCCGGAGGCAGGUGCUCCAACCAGGCGCGAGCAGUGUCGGAGAGGAACAGGGGGAGGUUACGGAUGAUGAGGUUGUCGUCGUCCGUCCCACCCAGUUGGCAGGCGAGGCGGUAGUCCGCGAGCCACAGUUCCGGUCUCGUUUCCCCCGAGUACUUCGUGAUAGUAGUCGGGGGCCGGAACCGGGUCGGGAAUGGCGCCCGUCGGAUGGCCCGACUGAAGGCCUGCGGACCGGGUGGUUCGGGCGAGGGACUCUGAUCCUCCCCGCCGUCGUAGCGCCCCCCACGCCUGGGGUGGUAGCCUCGGCGCACCCUUUCGUCGAGGUGGGCCCGACGGUCGCGUCGAUGGUGCUCGUUGCCGAGGUGGCCCGGGGCCGCAGGCGCGGUGUUGCGCGUGCGCCCGGUGUAGACCGAGGCUUCCCGCAUGAAUCGAAAAGUCGCGGCAUGAGGUUCCGAGGGAUAUCCUUGCCUUCGGGAGGCAGUGCUCUCGGCCCGUCGGGCCGCAGCGCCUUCCAGGAGAUUCUUGAGCUCUCCCUGGAUUCGCCGACCCUCGGUGGUUGAUGGCUCCGGCAUCGCGCGGAGGAGCGUCGUUGCGGCUGCCAGGUUCUGACCAACCCCGCUGGAUGCGGGCGGCGGCCUGACUCCGGUAUCGUUGGCGACGCGGUGCUGGAGACCUUGGGGCAGGUGACGUAUUUCUCCGGCCAAGGGUUGGCCCGCCCAUACCUGCCCGACGUCCCGACAGAUCGGCUCAAGCGCCCCUGUUCCCUCGUUGAGCCUGGCCUGCGCCUCGCGGACUUGCUCGAGUUGUGGGUCGUAACCCCCCACCGGAGCGGGGACCACAGCUAGCUCCCGUGGGAUGUCGGCGCGAGGCACCGGCCUAGGAAGAUCACCGUCCUCCGGCAUGCCGAGAUGGUUGCCUUCGGAGGGAUCCCCUAGCUCGAUGUGGAAACAUUCGCGGCUUGGGCCGCAGCUCUCGUUGCCAAGGCUGCGGCUUCCGUCGGAACAGUCGGAGAGGCAGUGGUCGCAUGCGGUCAUGAAGUCCCGCACGGCACUGGGGUUGCCAAGUCCGGAGAAAUCCCAACAGAUGCUGGGAUCGUCAUCUUCCUCGGACCCAGAGGGCCCGUAGGUCGAGACGUCCGUCAGCCGGUCCCAAGGCGACCGCAUACGAAACCCCAGUGGGGUUGCACUCGCCUCAAUGAGAGCGCCCGCCAAAACGAGGUCGUUUGGCGGGUUGAGGCCGAGUCGAAAUGACGCAAGAUGGGAGUUAGUCUGUACCUUUUGGUCGACGAGGAGCGACGUAGUCACAUCGGGGACUGGUUGCACCGUCAUCUCAGGUACGAGGGCGACGUCCUGCAGGCUUUCCGCGAGCGCGCCGGCGUCGUCUUCUUGCUCGGGGUCAGCGUGUCGCGGGGGACGGCGCUUGCCUUCGUCUUGAACGCGAGGUCGACGUCCGGCGUGCCUUUCGUCGGGGCGUCGGGGGCGUCGAUUCGCUCGACGACCAACGAAGCGCGGCCUCCCGCUUGGCCUUGAUGGCCCCGCCUCCUCCUCCGUUGGCGGGGGAGAGAACGGAGCGAGCUCGAAUGUUGCUCUUCCACCACGCGGGGAAGAUGUCGUCGAUUCCGCCGCCGGCGGGCGGGUUGUUGGCCGCCAUUGUCGUUGUCGCGCGGCGGUGGAAGAAGUAUCAUGUCGUAGCUGCCGUCGAAGGACAUGAACUCAAGAGUCCCGAAACGAAGCACCGUCCCGGGCCGGAGAGGUUGCUGGAGACUGCCCAUCUGGAGCUUGACGGGGAGCUGUUCGUCAGCACGCAGCAGGCCCCUACCUGGCGCGCCAACUGUCGGCGUUUCGAGACAGGGGGGUCCCUAAGCCGACGAGUGAGUGUGCUGCGUGCCCCAGCCCAGAUGGGUCGAGCGCGUGGGCAAGCGCGAAGGGGGGAGAGGCGAGGUGGCCGGAGCCGAGCGUGAGAGAGGUGGAAGUCCCGCGGCCUUCGUGUUCGUCCCGCGCCCAGGUCGGGUGCGCUUGCAGUAGGGGGGUUACAAGCGUCCACGCGGGUGAGGGAAGCGAGCGGCCCCAAGAGAGCGCCUGUCCCGUCCUCGGUCCCGCGCGGCCAACCUUUUCUAAGAAGGCCCUGGUCCUCCCUUUUAUAGUCGUAAGGAGAGGAUCCAGGUGUACAAUGGGGGGUGUAGCAGAGUGCUACGUGUCUAGCGGAGAGAGAGCUAGCGCCCUAGGUACAUGCCAAUGUGGCAGCCGGAGAGGUCUUGGCACCUUGCUGGCGUGAUGUCGUGGCUGUCGGAGGUGCGACGGAGCCUGGCGGAGGGACAGCUGUUAGAGCGGUCGAGUCUUUGCUGACGUCGCCCUGCUUCCGUAAGAGAGCUGGGGGCCGCCGUCGUCACAGAGCUUGUGGAGUGCCAUCAUUGCCCAUCCGGCGGAGCUGGCCGGAUGGGACGCCGGUCUUGUUCUCAGUAACCCGAGUCGAUUCGGGGUAGGACGAUGAUGGCGCUUCCUGUUGACGUGGCGGGCCUGUGCCCUAGGCAGGGUGACGUGGGGGCUCCUCCGAAGCCGAGGUUGAGUCUGUCUUCUGUUGCCGAGGCCGAGUCCGAGCCAUGGGGUCAGGCGAGGCGGAGGUCGUUCGGCCGAGGCCAGGGCGGAGUCCGAGCCCUGGGGUCGGGCGAGGCAGAGUUUCGUCGUCUUCCGGGUCUUAGCCCGAGUCCGAGCCCUGGGGUCGGGCGGAGCGGAGUUCGCCGUCUUCCGGGUCUUAGCCCGAGUCCGAGCCCUGGGGUCGGGCGGAGUGGAGUUCGCCGUCUUCCGGGUCUUAGCCCGAGUCCGAGCCCUGGGGUCGGGCGGAGCGGAGUUCGCCGUCUUCCGGGUCUUAGCCCGAGUCCGAGCCCUGGGGUCGGGCGGAGCGGAGUUCGCCGUGGCGCCUUUGGCAAGGCCUGACUGCCUGUCAGACUCACUCUGUCGAGUGGCACCGCAGUCGGAGUAGCGCAGGCGGCGCUGUCCUUCUGUCAGACUGGUCAGUGGAGCGGUGGAGUGACGGCGGUCACUUCGGCUCUGCCGGGGGGGUGCGUGUCAGGAUAAAGGUGUCAGGCCACCUUUGCGUUAAAUGCUCCUGCAACUUGGUCAGUUGGUGUGGCGAUUUAGUCAGGGUUGCUUCUGAGCGAAGCCAAGGCCUCGGGCGAGCCGGUGAUGUGUCCACCGUAAAAAGGGGGGCCUCGGGCGAGACGGAAGUCUCUCGAGGUCGGCUGCCCUUGGCCGAGGCUAGGCUCGGGUGAAGCGUGAUCGAGUCACUCGUGUGGACUGAUCCCUGACUUAAUCGUACCCAUCAGGCCUUUGCAGCUUUACGCUGAUGGGGGUUACCAGCUGAGAAUUAGGCGUCUUGAGGGUACCCCUAAUUAUGGUCCCCGACAAUAUGAAUCAAAAACAUUAUAACUUCUAUUUGCAUUUCUAGUAUGUCUCCUGUCAUGAUACAUAAAAGCAUGGUUCUUUUUAGCACUACCAGCCAUAGGGGCCUUCCCUUUCUCCUUGGCGGGAAUGGGAGCCUUAUGGCUUGUUAAGUUCUUGGCUUCCCUCUUGAAGCCAAGUCCAUCCUUAAUUGAGGGAUGUCUACCAAUCGUAUAGGCAUCCCUUGCAAAUUUUAAUUUAUUAAAUUCGCUUUUGCUAGUCUUAAGUUGGGCAUUAAGACUAGCCACUUCAUCAUUCAAUUUAGAAAUUGAAACUAGGUGUUCACUACAAGCAUCAACAUUAAAAUCUUUACACCUAGUGCAAACCAUAACAUGUUCUACACAAGAGUUAGAUUUACUAGCCACUUCUAGUUUAGCAUUUAAAUCAUUAUUAACACCUUUUAAAGUAGCAAUGGUUUUAUGACAAGAAGAUAAUUCACUAGAAAGCACUUCAUUUCUUUUAACUUCUAAAGCAUAAGAUUUUUGUGCCUCUACAAAUUUGUCAUGUUCUUCAUAUAAAAGAUCCUCUUGUUUUUCUAAGAGUCUAUCCUUUUCAUUCAAGGCAUCAAUCAAUUCAUUAAUCUUAUCUACUUUAGUUCUAUCCAAUCCUUUGAACAAACUAGAGUAAUCUAUUUCUUCAUCACUAGACUCAUCAUCACUAGAAGAAUCAUAAGUGACAUUGUUUUGGUUACUUACCUUCUUCUCCCUUGCCAUAAGGCAUGUGUGACGCUCGUUGGGGAAGAGGGAUGACUUGUUGAAGGCGGUGGCGGCGAGUCCUUCAUUGUCGGAGUCGAAGGAGGAGCAGUCCGAAUCCCACUCCUUUCCGAUAUGUGCCUCGCCCUUGGCCUUCUUGUAAUGCUUCUCCUUCUCCCUUUUGUUCCCCUUUUCCUGGUCACUUUCAUUAUCGGGACAGUUAGCAAUGAAAUGACCAAUCUUACCACAUUUGAAGCACGAGCGCUUCUCCUUUGUCUUGGUCUUGCUUGGCUGUCCCUUGCGACCUUUAAGCGCCGUCUUGAAGCGCUUAAUGAUGAGGGCCAUCUCCUCAUUAUUUAGCCCGGCCGCCUCAACUUGCGCCACCUUGCUUGGUAGCGCCUCCUUGCUCCUCGUUGCCUUGAGAGCAAUGGGUUGAGGCUCAUGAAUAGGACCGUUCAACGCGUCGUCCACAUAUAUUGCCUCCUUGAUCAUCAUUCGCCCGCUUACGAACUUCCCCAGAACUUCUUCGGGUGACAUCUUGGUGUACCUAGGAUUUUCACAAAUAUUGUUCACCAAAUGAGGAUCAAGAACGGUAAAGGACCUUAGCAUUAGGCGGACGACGUCGUGAUCUGUCCAUCGCGUGCUUCCGUAGCUCCUUAUUUUGUUGAUAAGGGUCUUGAGCCGGUUGUAUGUUUGAGUUGGCUCCUCGCCCCUUAUCAUUGCGAACCGUCCAAGCUCGCCCUCCACCAACUCCAUCUUGGUGAGUAAGGUGACAUCGUUCCCCUCAUGAGAGAUCUUGAGGGUGUCCCAGAUCUGCUUGGCAUUGUCCAAGCCGCUCACCUUAUGGUACUCGUCCCUGCACAAAGAGGCUAGCAACACAGUAGUAGCUUGUGCAUUUUUAUGAAUCUGUUCAUUAAUAAACAUGGGACUAUCCGUACUAUCAAAGUGCAUUCCACUUUCUACAAUCUCCCAUAUGCUAGGAUGGAGAGAGAACAAGUGACUACGCAUUUUGUGACUCCAAAAUCCGUAGUCCUCUCCAUCAAAAUGAGGAGGUUUACCAAGUGGAAUAGAUAAUAAAUGAGCAUUAGUACUUUGAGGAAUACGAGAGUAAUCAAAAGAAAAGUUCGAAUUGACCGGUUUCUUUCUCUCGUAUUCGUUGUGGUCGUCGUCCUUUUGGGAGGAAGUAGACUCAUCGCUGUCGUAGUAGACGAUCUCCUUGAUGCGUCUUGUCUUCUUCUUCUUCCCAUCUUUGCGUCUGUGGCCCGAGCCCGAGUCGUUGGACUUGUCAUCCCUUGGCUCGUUGACGAAGGAUUCCUUCUCCUUGUCGUUGAUCACGAUUCCCUUCCCUUUAGGAUCCAUCUCUUCGGGCGGUUAGUCCCUUUGUGAAGAGAACGGCUCUGAUACCAAAUGAGAGCACCUAGAGGGGGGGUGAAUAGGUGAUCCUGUGAAACUUAAACUUAUAGCCACAAAAACUUGUUAAGUGUUAGCACAAUAAUCGCCAAGUGGCUAGAGAGGAGUCUCAACAAAAUACAAUAACCAACAAAGAUCAAUCACAGAGAUGACACGGUGGUUAUCCCGUGGUUCGGCCAAGACCAACGCUUGCCUACUCCACGUUGUGGCGUCCCAACGGACGAGGGUUGCAAUCAACCCCUCUCAAGCGGUCCAAAGACCCACUUGAAUACCAUGGUGUUUUGCUUUGCUUAUCUUUAUCCCACUUGCGAGGAAUCUCCACAAAUUGGAGUCUCUCGCCCUUACACUUAAAGUUCACAAAGAAGCACGGAGUAAGGGAGGGAAGCAACACACACAAAUCCACAGCAAAAUGCGCACACACACGGCCAAGAAUCGAGCUCAAAAGACUAUCUCAAAGUUCUCACUAGAACGGAGCUCGAAUCACUGAGAAUGACAAACGAAUGCGCAAGGACUGAGUGUGGAUGAUCAAGAAUGCUCUAAGGUUGCUUGGUUAUAUCCUCCAUGCGCCUAGGGGUCCCUUUUAUAGCCCCAAGGCAGCUAGGAGCCGUUGAGAGCAAAUCUGGAAGGCCAUUCUUGCCUUCUGUCAUCGGGCGCACCGGACAGUCCGGUGCACACCGGACACUGUCCGGUGCCCGAUUUCCUUCCUUAAAUGGCGAAGCCGACCGUUGGCGGCCAGAGAGCCGUUGGCGCACCGGACAUGUCCGGUGCACACCGGACAGUCCGGUGCCCCCUUCCGACCGUUGGCCCGGCCACGUGUCGCGCGCAGAUUCCGCGGCCGACCGUUGGCCCGGCCAACCGUUGGCUCACCGGACAGUCCGGUGCACACCGGACAGUCCGGUGCACACCGGACAGUCCGGUGAAUUUUAGCCGUACGCCGUUGGACGAAUUCCCGAGAGCGGCCACUUCGCGCCGAGUCAGCCUGGCGCACCGGACACUGUCCGGUGCACCACCGGACAGUCCGGUGCCCCAGACCGAACCAGCCUUUUGGCUGUACACAGCCAGCUCUUCUCUUUUCUUCUUCUCUCUGUUUCUAAUACUUAGACAAGUAUAUUAGUACACAAAACCAAUGUACUAAGACUUAGAAACAUACCUUUACUCUUGUUUUGCACUUUGUCCACCCAUAAGCAUGAAUUCACAUUUAAGCACUUGUGUUGGCACUCAAUCACCAAAAUACUUAGAAAUGGCCCAAGGGCACAUUUCCCUUUUAUUUAUAAGCUAUGCUACUUCAGACAUUUGCAAUCCAAAAGGAUGUGAUACAUAUUUACCAAUUUUAGAUGACGUUGGAGUAGCAUAUACAAGAGAAACUCAUUCUCUUAUGAAAUGUAUAGAAGAUACAUUUAUUGGAGCAACGAAUCUUUGAUACCCAUCAAAAUUUGCAGUGGAAGCGAUUGUCUUUGCUUGAAGAUUCCUUUCUAAUUUGAGACUACACACAUAAUAGACUUGAAAAUGAAGUUAGUCUCAAAGAUUCAAAUUAUAGACCAUUCUCCCCUAAAUGUGUGCAUACAAGUGAUGAAUACUUGUUUUACCUUAUGCACUUGGACUUGUGAGGCCAUGUGAUUAAGUUCUACAAUUUGAACCUUGGUACAAAUAAAGUAUGAAAAUGUGAAAUUGUACCAAUUGAAGGAAUUACUCAUAAUCAAAAGGUAUACUAAUAGAUAUGAUAUGCAAUAUUUUAAGCCAAGAUUCAAGUGCAACCUUAUGAUGUGACUUAAGAUAUUGCAUAUACAUGCAUACACUAACUUGUAAGAGCCUAGAUACACAAAUGUAAUACAAUAGUUCAUGGAGUGACACACCUUUGUUCCAUGCCAUAUGGUCUUCAUUAUAAUCAUGAAUUUCUAUCUUAGCUUUUGAUAGGCUUGACAUUUCAAAGAGAAACUUAUCCUCUUUAAAUGAUCAAGAGAAACUCAUUCUCUUCAAAGAACUACACAAAUUCACUAAAAUAAAAUGUUAGUCUUUAAGGACACAAGAUAUAGAAUGAGCUCCCCCUAAAUGUAUGCAUCAAGUACUCGAAUUACUUGUAACAUGCACUUGAUUCAAUUAAGAUUCUUAGAGGAGUUCAUCAUAUAUCUUGGUCAGGGCAUAAUAUAUUUGAAACAAUUGAGUUUAUGCUAGAGAACACAUAUCGUUCCCCAAUAGAACUAAUCCAUGGGGUGACAUGUGGUAAAUAUUUGAUCAUUUCCUUGAAACCACUCAUCCUCAUUUGAUGUUCUCCAAGGUGUGAGACUACAAAACAUGAACUUGAAGAAAUCAUUAGCCUCACAAGAUAUAGGCUAAACUCUUCCUCAAUUUGUGCAUGCAAGAGUACACAAAGUACACUUAUGCACAUUAACAAUACGAGGUUAAAGGAGAUGUUUGCACUAUAUCUUGGUUUAACAUAACAUGUUUUACAUAGAUGAUAAAAAUUAAACCAAUUAAAAGUUUAAGAACUAAAAGUAUAUCAAUUGAAAUCUUGGAGGGUAAAGUAUGCUAAUAUGAACCUCAACCUCAUAAUGAAGGAUAUCAUAUAAAUAUGUCACUACAUCUUCAUUAUUUGGUUGACAAAAAAAUAUAACUCCCUUCUUGAUUCACUGUGAUCUCUUUUCUCUUUGUGAUUUCAUCCAACCAAGUGAUCUUGAACUUCAUUCAUUUUUUGUAGAUUUUGAAUCCAUCUUGAAAGCUCUUGGAAGGACCUCGUUGUAACACUUAGAAAAGAGAGCAUUAAAAACACAAGAGAGGGUUUCACAAAUGAUGAUCCUUAUAUGUGGAUGGAAAAUGAAUCAUCAUUAUUGAAACCCAAAAGGAUAGACUAAAUUCCUUUAAAUUAGUGCACACAUAUAGUUGAUGUCAAAGUUAUAUGCACUAUUGAACAUUUUAUAUUGCAAGAAAUUUAACCUAUACUAUGGUACAUCCCACUAAGGAUAGAAUACUAAAACAACUGAAGGAGAGGAAGUUUUCAUACCUUGGCCUCUUAUCAACUUCUUCUUACUUUAGUUGAAUAGUAUCCUUUAAGCUUGUGAUUUAUCCAAUUUAAAAAUAAGCACCAUCUCUAGAUUUUCUAUGGAUAAACUCAACACAAGAGAUGGCAUUAGUAGCACAAGCACUAGUUUCUUAUUUAGCAACCCUUUAUAUGUGAAAGUCAAACGAGUUGCUAAAAUAGAGAAACCUCAUAAUAUGGACUAAAUUUCCCUUGAACCUUCAUGCACAAUAUAUUUUGAAUGACAUGGAUAAUAUGCAUGGUUGUUCAAUGAAGUUUAAAGGGCUGAUUUAAUCCAUAUUGUGGUGGGUGUCUAAUAUAGAAGAUCAAAUCCAAAUUAACUAGAUAGAGAAUACGUCACAUAAUUUUGGAUUGUUCACCAUAUGAUAAUAUUCAUUCAACUUCCAAUUAGACCUUUAUUUCAUAAUCAACAUCUGAUGUAUAUCCUCAAGUGCUUCUUUUUCCUUAGUGGCUACACAAGUCACAAAAAGAUAAGAUUUGAAAAUAAUAUGCACUUGAGAUUCAGUUGUUACCACCCUAGCUACUAUCUCCAAAGAUGAUUUAUACAUUCAUUAUCGAGCACCCAACUUGAUCCAUUGAAGGAGUGAUCCUGCAAAACAAGUUUAAGCUUUAUAUCUUGGUACCCAAUUUGAAUUGGGUCCUUUGAGAUUAGUAGUAAGAGCCUUGAGUACCCACAUAUACGUGACAACCAUCUUACAUGGUUUCAAGUCAAUAUUUAAUCACAUAGAUAAAAACUAGAGUUAAUAAUAGGAGCCUUUUCUCCUUUUAUUAAUACAUCAUUGUGUUGCCUUCUUGAUGAUGAACCUACCUUGACUUUGGGUGCACCUAGCUUAUCAAGGUUAGUCGCACAAGCAUUCAUAUCAUAAAGACAAGUUAUGCAUGGAAUUUACAACUUAGUGAUCCAAUUCAAUGUGAAGCAUAUGGAUAUCGAUUGAAGUAGAUUGCUAAGAUAUCAAAAUAUGGGUUUCCAAAAUUUAGAGAGUAUGGAUCACUAAUUGUACCUUUUACAGUUUAAAAAUCGUAUCCAUGUUAGUGCAUAUGUAUGUGAUGAAUAUCAACAAAAAGAUUCUUAUGCACUUUUAGAAUUAACGAUAAGGGAAUUUUAAACUGCAUCAAGAGUAGCUAUUUAGAAAACAAAGAUUACAAUCCAUAUGAAUGAGAUACAAAUUUACCAUUUUGGAUUGUCUUAGUAUAGCUUACUCAAGUGAAACUUAUUCUCUAUGACACAAGAUAUAUAAUGUUCUCCCACUAGAUAUGUGCAUCAAGUAUUUGAAUGGCUUGCCACAUGCACUUUCAAUUCAGUUAAGAGUCUCAUGAGGAGUAUAUUACAUAUCAUGGUCAAGGCAUGACAAAUUUGCAAUAAAUUAACUUAUGCCUAAGAAUACUUACCACCAUAUAGAAUGUACCAUUUGUUAUACCAAUUUGAAAGAUCUUACUAUCUGUGGUGGUGUCACCUUAGUAUUCUUCUUUUCAUCAUUUGUGGAAACUUCCUUCUUUGUUAUCUCUUUUCCUUUUAAAACUAGUUGAUAAAACACUUUGAAAAGAGGUAUUAGUAGUACAAGGAAGUAUUUAAUGAAUGAUGAUAUCUAUAUAUGAAUGGCAAACAAAUCAUCAUUUAUGAGGCGUAAAGGCAUAAAUUAAAUUCCUUUUAAGUUAAUGCACAUGGAGCAGUGAAUUCACAAUAUGCAUUAAUUUACAAAUUUAAGCCAAAAGGAAUUUAACCUUCAUAUUGACAUUCCUUUCCAUACAAUAUAUUAUUACCAAUUGAAAGAAUGACACUUGGAAGGAACUACAUUGAUCAACUACCAAUUUAAGCAAUUUGUUCCAUACCUUUGCCUUGAGCAUUCCUAAUCUUUCUUUUAGGUGAAGAUUAACCUUUAAAGCUUGUGAUUUUACCAAUUGAAAGAGCACAAUCUCUACUUAUGAAUUUCCAUGAAAUAUCUUAAAAGAGAUUGUAUUAGUAACACAAGCAAUAGUUUCCUAUUUAGCAACCUCUAGUAUAUGAAUGACAAGAAGGUUACUAACACAAGAAAACCUCAUGAUAUGAACUAAAUUACCCUUACAAGCAUCAUGCAUAACAUCAAUUGUAAAAAAAGAUGAAAGUAGCAUGAUUAUUUAAUUAAGUGUACAUGGCAAGUUUAAUUUAUAGCAUGGUGAGUGAUUAAUGUAGAAGACUCAAAACCAAUUUAAACAAGAAUGAAUACUUCACAUAGUAUUGGUUCGAUCUUCUUUGAAUGUUGAAUGGCACACUCCAUUUGGGAAACACAUUCUCAUGUUGUGAGACUAGAUAAACACUUGGAUAGAAACAUUAGUCUCACAACUUUAGUCAUAUAGAGAAUUCCCCAUUUGGUAAGUGCUAUAAGAAUUUGAAUUUCUUACUUAGCACUCUAUUCAUUUAAGAACAUGGGAUAAUACUCUUUAUGUCUAGAUCAUGGAAAUAAUAUGAUGAUUACUUGAAAUAUGCCAUAAGAUACAUACAAUCAAUUUAAAGCAUGUAGAUUGUCACAAUAUAAAAGUAUGAACUUGCAAUCUACCAUAUAAUUACAUCCUUUCCAAAGCAAGGUAAAAUCUUUUAAGUUCAUUCUCAAGUGCUUCAUUUUUCCUAUGUGGCUACAAAAGACACAAAGGAAUAUACCAAUUAAAAGCAAUGUGAACUUAAGAAUUAAUUGUUACCAUCCUUUGGAUAUCACUUGGUUGUAGGCCUUUUGCUUGAUUCCCACAAAGGUUAAUCCUUAUUCCCUACAACACAAGUUCUUGCUAGAGAUGAAUAUGAAGUUAGUGAUAUAACAACUCAAUUCAUCUUUGGGUCAAUCUUAAAGGAUAGACAAUGUAAGAUUGAUAGCUUGAGAUAAGAAUUGAGUUGAACCGCUCAAGCACCCCCAAAGCUUCAUAUCAUCUCUAGGUACCUGCAAAACUUAUUAAGUACAUUUUGGUACCCAUUUUUGGAUGGGUCCACCAAGGUUAGCUAAUAAAUACUUAGGCACCCAAAUGGCCUUUGUGCUAGUUUUAGGUGAACUAAUUACCUUUCUAGCACAAGUGUCAUUUUUGGGUCUCCUAAGUGAAUAUGAAUGAAUUGACAUGGUAGGCUUAGGAUACUCACUCAUGGGACAAUCCUUGCAUAGGUGUCCCUUUCUUCGGCAAGUGUAGCAAAUCUGAUUUUUAAUUUUGCAAGACUCCUUUUUGCCUUGCUUCUUGUUUGCUACAUGGUUAGUGAGCCUCUUUCUUUCUAAAGUUAAGCCACUAUCCUUUGUGUAGGGACAUGACUUAAUCUCAUGUCCCUUCUCAUGACAUUGAUAACACUUUCUAGCGCAUCUUCUCUUAUUUGGAAGAGUGACUUGUUUGUUACCUUGUGUGGAGCAUGUGGAGGCGUGGUUGAGGCACUUGUCAUGAGCUUUGGCUUUCUUCUCUUGAUGUUUGCUCAUGUCCUUCUUGUAAAGCUUGAUAUUCUUUUGAAGGGGUUUUGUGCAUGCUACUAUUGUCCCCUUCUCAAGCUUUUUCACCAUAUUAUCACGGUUAUCUUGAGAAGGUUGAGCAUGACACUUUCCCUUCAAUUGAAUCAAGCUCCUUUUUAGCCUCUCAUUUUCUUCCUUGAGCUCAUUGUUUUCUUUUGCAUAGGAAACAUUACUUUUUCCUGAAAAUUCUAGCUCAAUGGAAGAUUGGCUUUCUUGAGAGCAACAUUUGUUAGCACAUGAUAAUAUAGUUUCUAUUUGAGUACAUGUGCAUAUGUGAGGUUGGUAUGAUUUCAAAUUAGUUAACAUAACCUCAUGAGCCAUUUCUAACAUGAUAUGUGAAUCCAUAAAUUUAUUAUGAGAGCACACAAGCAUAUCAUGUUUUUCUUGCAAAGCUAGAUUUUCAAUAUUUAGCUUUUCUAUCGUGUUCUUGAGCAUAGCAUUUUUAUUUUCUAAUUGAGCAAUAUAUGAUGAAUUAUUAACAGCUUUAAUUUGCUCAAUUGAAAUGUCUUCAUACCUUUGGACCAAAUCAUCAUGAGAGCACUUUAGCUUCUCAUGCUCUUAGGUCAACUUCUCUAAGUCUUCGAUUUUUCUGAUGAGGAAGUCUUCUUGCUUAUGAAGCAUUUCUUUUUGUUCUUCUGCUCUUUUCAUGAGUUUGAGCAAGCUCAUCCGAUGUUUCUUGCUUAGCUGAGCGAAGAAUUGUUGAAGAUCAUCCUCAUCUUCACUAUCACUUUCUUGCUCCUCCUCAUCCUCACUUUCGCUUUCACUGUCACUCCCAUUAGCAAUAAAGCACAUAUGAGAAGUGGAUUUGAAAGACGAACCUUGUGAAGAGGUGGAUUCGUCGUUUGGUCUCCAUCGAUCAUUUUCGUCUUCAAUUUUGUUCUUCGCCUCAUCUUCCUUCAUUUCGAGGAACAUCCUUUCGGCGAUUCUCAUGGCAAGAUAUAUUGCCCUAGGAUCAACAUCUGCACCAAAAGAUGAAGUCGAGACAAUCUCAACUUUUUCAAGUUUAGAAGCAUUUUCAUUUCUUAGACCCCCCGACAUGAUCUUUUUCUCACGCGGUUAAGCGUUAGAACGAGGAUUAGGCUCUGAUACCAAUUGAAAGUUGCCUAGAGGGGGGUGAAUAGGCAAGUUAAAACUUUUUCAACAAAAACUAGAAGCAAACUGGGUAAAACUGAAUUGAUCUCGAAAUUCACCCAGUUAACUUUGGAAAUGAGAUGUUCUAAAUGAUGCACAGGGUUCAAAGUAGUAGAUCUGAGAAGGGCACUUCUCAAAAUCCACACACCAAAAAGAUAUAAACAAAUCUUCCACACAAUGGUGAGAGAACGCAGAACACAAACAAACACAAUGAGCAAGAACACAAGAGACACAAGAUUUAUCCCGAGGUUCGGUCACACCACCAAGGUGCCCUACUUCCUCGUUGAGGCGCCCACAAAGAGUCGGGUCUCUUUCAACCCUAAUCCUCCCUUUGCCGACCACAAAGGUCAAGCCCACACAAUAAUCUUUGCUCAAACGAGCGGGUAAUACAAACUUUCUUGUGCUCUUCCACAAGAUUUGGAGACUCACAAGAGACACCUAGUCGUCUAGGAGCUAGAAGCUCCAAGAGUAAUGAAUCCACAAAGAACUCGAUGUAGUACCAAAGCUCGAAUGAAGAAGAGCAAGAGAGAUUUGGAGAUGAAGCACAAAAACCGCAGCUCUCAAACUCACUCAAAGAUUUCUCUCCAAAGAUUUGAAAUGGGAGAGGCAAGAGAUGUGUGAGAGGGAGUGGGAGGUGUUUCUCAGGUUAGAAAUGGAGUUUUGUGCGUGCUCUUCUGUGGAGGAGAGAGGUGGGAGUGAGUAUAUAUAUGUGGGGCUCCAAAACUAGCCGUUUUUGACUUUUCUGCCCAAAAACCGGUUGAACCGGUCCCAAAACUGGUUGAAUCGGUUUUUCAAAAAGCUGCGCACAGCUUUUUGGCUGACACAGCAGACUGGCAGAAAAAAGUGAACAGUGCAAAAACUGGUUGAACCUGUUUCCACCAGACAAAAACCGGUUGAGUGUCCGGGUGAGUGUCCGGUUGAACCAGUAUUUUCCAAAAAGGUGAACAGUGCAAAAACCGGUUGAACCUGUUUUAAAACCGGUUGAACCUAUAUUUUCCAAAAAGCAAUUUUGGCCAAGAUAGACUUAAAAGGUUGUACUACGUACUUUCACUAAGGAUUAACAAGGGUAAAAUGGAAGUUUUAGAUCAAGGAUUUUGAGCUUUAGUACCAACACCAACCUUCUUUAUGGAUCCCCCUUGAUAGUACGACGAUUCCUAUACUCAAGUCAAAUAAAAUAUAAUUAAGUAAACUCCUUGAGUCAUUGGUGUCUCAAGUGUGAUUUCUCCAUGAUGUUGCUUCAUAAGGAUCACAAACAUCUUUGUCUCACCUUUUGAAGCAAACACAAAUCGAGCCUGUGACUUGUGCCAUUUCACCAUAUAUGAGUUCAAAUCAUGGCUUCAAGUCACCUUACUGAUGCAUCAACAUGUUGUAACUCUUCAUAGCUGAUUAGUUCAUCGACUUAGUGCAAGUACUCUCUUCUUCACCUUAGCCAUGGUACCUCGGUCUACAAGCCGUCGCUUGGCCUUCACCUUCGCUUAGUUCCUCGAAGCCCUUUCCUUGCUAUAUUCACCCUAUCAAGCCAUUCUUGAGUCACAUCCUAUUGAGCAUCCAUUGAGAGAAUCAUUUCUUCAAUAUUGUGAACCUUGCUUGAAUGUCAUCUAGAUAUAACUGCUAAGAUCAAUCAAGCUCUAGUUUGAUUCUCAUAUAUUCAUAUAUGGACUAAUAGUAAUAUGGUCAAGCCAAUUCACGAUUCCUCAUAUCUUAUUCACUUUGGCUUGACCAAUCCUCUUAAUCACUUCAACCUCUAUUAUGAUCAUAUUUAUGCAUAGUGAUUUCUCAGGACUUGUCCAUAUAUUCAAACCAAUAUAGAGACCAUAUUAUAUCCAUUUGCAUUGUCUCACUGAUUAUUUGACCUUGUGUUGAACCUUGUUCACUGAUCAUUAUACACUAUUCAAGUAUGUUCAUCAUACUGAAUUUCAUGUUCAACGCUUAGCAAACUUGUUAGACCUUUAAAUGUGUUGUUAUCCAAAUCACCAAAACUCACAAAAGGGAUGAAUGCACUUUCACCCUCCGAUGUGGGGGGUUGUUCGUACCCGCGGGAGUGGAACCGGAGUUCCGUUUGUAAUGGCACCUUUAGUGCCGGUGUCUUGUUCACUGCGGCUGUCGGGGCCUGAACAUCUAGGUAUUUUGGGUGUAAUACCAUGUUUUCUCCUCAUUUCGAGCACUGGGACUCGCCUGUCGGCUAGCCGAACCGCUUAACCAAGUGUGAGUUGCCUCGUGCGGAAGGUGGCGAGUGAGGUAUCCGUAUCCCGGAGGCGUAGGAGUCCCUCGGCUCGGUCGGCCUUGCCGCCCGAGGCUUCUCAUGCUUAGUUAAAGAAACCCUCGGCCACUCUGCGAUAAGCCGGAGCCAAAGGCAGCGGUGUCAGCAUGGACAGAGGUAGAGUUGGCUCGAAAAGAGGCUUCGUCGGCCGAAGCCUGGCCGGGCCGUCCACUGGUGGGACCAGCGCCGGAGUCGGGUUGCCGAGGCCAUGAGCCGGGCUGAUGUCCUCGGGGGACAGCUGGCUGAGGCUACGGAGCGGCCGGUCGAGCCGUCUGCUCGGGCCGAGUUCCUGGAGGAGGCCCUGGCGGUGAUGGCUCAGGCGUGGUGCCGACAGGUUCCUUCGAGGCGGAGGUCUUCCGACCGUGUCGUCGUCCGAGGCCGGGUCGGAUUCCGCUGAAGGUGGAGUCGACGCCGAGGGUGCUGCUGCUCCCCCACUGAUGUCUGAUCCUGCAGGAACAGUUUAUCUGUAGUGUGCGUAUGUUUUUCGCGGCCGCCGAGGCCCAAACAUACCAUCGUCGUGUUGUAAAGCUGCGUUUUUUUCCCUUGUUUCGAGUAUCAGGACUUAUCUGUCGGUAACAGAAUCGUUUAUCCGAGCGAGAGUUACUUAUUGAGGAAGGUGAUGAGUGAGGUAUCCGUAUCCUGGAGGCGUAGGAGUUCCUCGGCUCGGUCGGCCUUGCCGCUUACGUGUACUCUUACUCGUCCAUUGGAUUCUGUUAUCGAUAUAGUCGAGAAGGCACGAAAAAUCGUUUCGGCAGAAAAGUUUUCGAGCGUUAAGACUUGUUCGAUCAGCGGAAUCGCUUAUCCGAGCGUGAGUUACUUAUCGCAGAAGGUGAUGAGUGAGGUAUCCGUAUCCCAGAGGCGUAGGAGUCCCUCGGCUCGGUCAGCCUUGCUGCUUACGUGUACUCCGUCGUUUUCAGGAUCCCACUUUCGAAGUAGUCGAAAAGCACGAAAGAUGUUCUGGCAGAAAGACUUUUUCCGAGGAAAAUUUUGACGUAGAGGGGGUUCCCCCCUUCUAGCCCCCGAGGGAGGGUCGGGCUUUGCCGAGGCAAGGCUGACCAUUUUUUGAUGGUUAGACUUUAUUUGUGUAUGUAAAUGAGGUAUAUGAACGACUUGAAAACAUCUUAAGGGUAGAAGCAACGUAGCUUUCGGAUGUUCCAAGCGUUGCUGUAGACCUCGCCUUGACUGUUGGCCAACUUGUACGUUCCGGGCUUCAAAAUCUUGGCGAUGAUGAACGGCCCUUCCCAGGGAGGCAUGAUCUUGUGACGCCCUCGGGCGUCUUGUCAUAGCCGAAGCACCAAGUCGCCCACCUGGAGGUCUCGGGACCGAACCCCUCGGGCGUGGUAGCGUCGCAGGGACUGCUGAUACCACGCCGAGUGUAGUAAGGCCAUGUCCCGAGCCUCUUCCAGUUGGUCCAGUGAGUCUUCUCGGUUGGUCCGAUUGCUUCGAUCGUCGUACGCCUUCGUCCUCGGGGAUCCGUAUUCUAAGUCUAUGGGCAAGAUAGCCUCGGCCCCAUAGACUAGAAAGAACGGCGUGAAGCCCGUGGCUCGGCUUGGCGUCGUUCUCAGACUCUAGACCACCGAGGGGAGUUCUUUCAUCCAUCGCCUGCCGAAUUUGUUGAGGUCGUUGUAGAUCUGUGGCUUGAGUCCUUGCAGAAUCAUGCUGUUGGCACGCUCUACCUGCCCAUUCGUCAUGGGGUGAGCUACGGCGGCCCAGUCCACUUGGAUGUGGUGGUCCUCGCAGAAGUCCAGAAACUUUCUGCCAGUGAACUGGGUGCCGUUGUCGGUGAUGAUGGAGUUCGGGACCCCAAAGCGAUGGAUGAUGUUGGUGAAGAACGUCACCGCCUGUUCGGACCUGAUGCUGUUUAGGGGUCGGACCUCGAUCCACUUGGAGAAUUUGUUGAUGGCGACCAGCAGGUGCGUGUAGCCCCCGGGUGCCUUCUGCAAGGGACCGACGAGGUCCAGACCCCACACAGCAAAUGGCCAGGUGAUGGGUAUUGUUUGCAUGGCCUGAGCGGGCAGGUGCGUCUGCCUUGCGUAGAAUUGACACCCUUGGCAGGUGCGCACAAUCCCAGUGGCGUCGGCCACCGUGGUUGGCCAGUAGAAACCCUGUCGGAAGGCGUUUCCAAUGAGGGCCCGAGGCGCUGCGUGAUGACCGCAAGCCCCCGAGUGUAUUUCUUGUAAUAACUCCUGACCUUCGGCGAUGGAUAUGCAUCGUUGGAGGAUGCCUGAGGGGCUGUGGUGGUAGAGCUCCUUUCCGUUGCCCAGCAAGACGAACGACUUGGCGCGCCGCGCCAGUCGCCAAGCUUCGGUUCUGUCGAGGGGUAGCUCUCCUCGGUGGAGAUAUUGCAGGUACGGGGUCUGCCAGUUUCGAUUAGGCGUGACCCCAUUCCGCUGUUCCUCGACGCGCAAUGCCUCACCCUCGGGGGCCGAGGGCGCCUCGGGCUCGGGCGUGUCGUCGGUCUUGACUGAGGGUUGAUGUAGGUCUCGGGAGAAGACGUCCGGAGGGACCGUUGUCCGCCCCGAGGCUAUCUUAGCCAGCUCGUCCGCAGUCUCGUUGUAUCGUCGGGCGAUGUGGUUGAGCUCAAGCCCGUAGAACUUGUCCUCCAGGCGCCGAACCUCAUCGCAGUAGGCUUCCAUCUUCGGGUCGUAGCAGUGGGAGUUCUUCAUGACUUGGUCGAUGACAAGCUGUGAGUCGUCACGAGCGUCGAGGUGUCGGACCCCUAGCUCGAUGGCGAUGCGCAACCCGUUAACCAGAGCCUCGUACUCGACCACGUUGUUGGACGCCAGGAAAUGGAGGCACAGCACGUAGCGGAGGUGCUUCCCGAGGGGUGAGAUGAAGAGCAGGCCCGCGUCCGCUCCUGUUUUCAUCAGCGACCCGUCGAAAAACAUGGUCCAGAGUUCCGGUUGGAUCGGAGCUGCUGGAAGCUGGGUGUCGACCCAUUCAGCCACAAAGUCCGCCAAGACUUGGGACUUGAUGGCCUUCCGAGAGGCGAACGAGAUUGUCUCGCCCAUGAUCUCCACCGCCCACUUUGCAAUCCUACCCGAGGCCUCUCGGCACUGGAUGAUCUCUCCCAUGGGGAAGGAUGACACCACAGUCAUCGGAUGAGACUCAAAGUAGUGUUGCAACUUUCGCCGCGUCAGAAUUACCGCGUACAGUAGCUUCUGAAUUUGCGGGUAGCGGAUUUUGGUCUCGGACAGUACCUCACUGAUGAAGUAGACCGGCCUCUGGACGGACAACGCGUGCCCCUCUUCUCGUCUCUCGACCACGAUCGCGGCGCUGACCACCUGAGUGGUAGCGGCGACGUAGAUCAAGAGGGCUUCUCCGGCAGCGGGGGACACCAAGAUGGGCGCGCUUGUAAGGAGCGCUUUUAGGUUCCCGAGGGCUUCCUCGGCCUCGGGGGUCCAAGUGAAGCGCUCGGUCUUCCUCAAGAGGCGGUACAGAUGUAGGCCUCUUUCACCGAGGCGCGAGAUGAAACGGCUCAGAGCCGCAAGGCAUCCCAUAACCCUCUGUACUCCUUUCAAGUCCUUGAUGGGCCCCAUGUUGGUGAUGGCCGCGAUUUUCUCCGGGUUGGCCUCGAUACCCCGCUCGGAGACGAUGAACCCCAGGAGCAUGCCUCGGGGGACUCCGAAGACACACUUCUCGGGAUUGAGUUUUACGCCUUUCGCCUUGAGACACCAGAAUAUCGUUUCAAGGUCAGAGAGGAGGUCGGAGGCCUUUCUCGUCUUGACUAUGACGUCAUCGAUGUAAGCCUCGACCGUUCGACCGAUGUGCUCUCCGAACACGUGGUUCAUGCACCUUUGGUAUGUCGCACCCGCAUUCCUCAAACCGAAUGGCAUAAUAACGUAGCAGUACAUGCCAAAGGGUGUGAUGAAAGAAGUCGUGAGCUGGUCGGACUCUUUCAUCCUGAUUUGGUGAUACCCUGAGUAGGCAUCGAGGAAAGACAGGGUUUCGCACCCAGCCGUGGAAUCCACGAUUUGAUCGAUGCGAGGCAGAGGGUAGGGAACUUUCGGACAUGCUUUGUUUAGACCAGUGUAGUCUACACACAUCCGCCAUUUCCCUCCUUUCUUUCUCACAAGCACAGGGUUGGCAAGCCAUUCAGGAUGGAAUACCUCUUUGAUGAACCCUGCAGCCAUCAGCUUAUGGAUCUCCUCGCCUAUGGCUCUAUGCUUUUCUUCGUCGAAUCGGCGUAGAGGCUGCUUCACGAGUCGGGCUCCAGCUCGGAUAUCCAGCGAGUGCUCGGCGACAUCCCUCGGUAUGCCAGGCAUGUCCGAGGGACUCCACGCAAAAACUUCGACGUUCGCGCGGAGAAAGUCGACGAGCACUGCUUCCUAUUUGGGGUCGAGCUCGGAGCUGAUCCGGAUCUGCUUGGAGGCAUCGUUGCUGGGGUCGAGAGGGACGGACUUAACCGUCUCAGCUGGCUCGAAGUUGCCGGCGUGGCGCUUCGCAUCUGGUGCCUCCUUAGAGAGGCUCUCUAGGUCGGCGAUGAUGGCCUCGGAUUCGACGAGGGCCUCGGCGUACUCCACGCACUCCACGUCGCAUUCGUACGCGUGUCGGUACGUGGAGCCGACGGUGAUAACCCCAUUGGGGCCCGACAUCUUGAGCUUGAGGUAGGUGUAGUUGGGGACGGCCAUGAACUUGGCGUAGCAUGGCCUCCCCAGCAUUGCGUGGUAGGUUCCUCGGAACCCGACCACCUCGAACGUGAGGGUUUCCUUUCGAAAGUUGGAGGGAGUCCCGAAGCAGACGGGCAGAUCGAGUUGCCCAAGGGGCUAGACGCGUUUCCCGGGGAUGAUCCCGUGAAAAGGCGCCACGCCGGCCCGGAUCGAGGACAGAUCAAUCUGCAGGAGCCCAAGGGUCUCGGCGUAAAUGAUGUUGAGGCUGCUGCCUCCGUCCAUGAGGACCUUGGUAAGCCUGAUGUUGCCAAUGACGGGAUCGACAACGAGCGGGUACUUUCCCGAACUCGGCAUGCGGUCGGGGUGGUCGCCCUGGUCGAAGGUGAUGGGCUUGUCGGACCAGUCUAGGUAGACUGGCGCUGCCACCUUCACCGAGCAGACCUCCCGGCGCUCUUGCUUGCGGUGCCGAGCCAAGGCGUUCGCCACUUGCCCACCGUAGAUCAUGAAGCAGUCGUGGACCUCAGGGAACUCCUCUGCCUUGUGAUCCUCCUUCUUGUCGUUGUUGUGGGCUCUGCCACCUUCCACCGGUGGCCCGGCCCUGUGGACGUAGCGCUGAAGCAUGACGCACUCCUCAAGGGUGUGCUUGACGGGACCCUGAUGAUAGGGGCACGACUCCUUGAGCAUCUUGUCGAACAGGUUGGCGCCUCCGGGAGGCUUCCGAGGGUUCCUGUGCUCGGCGGCGGCGACAAGGUCUGUGUCGGCAGCGUCACGUUUCGCUUGCGACUUCUUCUUGCCCUUCUUCCUCGCGUCGCGCUGAGCGGACGCCUCGGGAACGUCUUCCGGCUGGCGCCCCUGAGGCUGCUUGUCCUUUCGGAAAAUGGCCUCGACCGCCUCCUGACUAGAGGCGAACUUGGUGGCGAUGUCCAUCAGCUCGCUUGCCCUGGUGGGAGUCUUGCGACCCAGCUUGCUCGCCAGGUCGCGGCAAGUGGUGCCGGCGAGGAACGCGCCGAUGACAUCCGAGUCGGUGAUGUUGGGCAGCUCGGUGCGCUUGAAAGGGGAUUAGGCUUACACCUAGUUCCUAAAUAAUUUUGGUGGUUGAAUUGCCCAACACAAAUCUUUGGACUAACUAGUUUGCCCAAGUGUAUAGAUUAUACAGGUGUAAAAGGUUCACACUCAGCCAAUAAAAAGACCAAGUUAUGGAUUCAACAAAGGAGCAAAGGGGCAACCGAAGGCACCUCUGGUUUGGCGCACCGGACUGUCCGGUGUGCCACCGGACAGUGUCCGGUGCACCACCGGACAUGUCCGGUGCACCAGAGGACUCCAACGCGAACUCGCCACCUUCGGGAAUUUCCAGAGGCACUCGCGCUAUAAUUCACCGGACUGUCCGGUGUACACCGGACAGUGUCCGGUGCGCCAAGGGAGGUCGGCCUCAGGAACUCGCCAGCUUCGGGAAACUCCAACGGCUCGUCCGCUAUAAUUCACCGGACUGUCCGGUGUGCACCGGACUGUCCGGUGCGACUCCGGAGCAACGGCUAACUCCGCGCCAACGGCUACCUGCAGAGCAAUAAAUGCGUGCGCAGCGCGCGCAGGAGUCAGAAUCGCCCAUGCUGGCACACCGGACAUCAAACAGUACCUGUCCGGUGUGCACCGGACACCUAGGCGGGCCCACAAGUCAGAAGCUCCAACGGUCAGAAUCCAACAGCAGUGAUGACGUGGCAGGGGGCACCGGACUGUCCGGUGUGCACCGGACUGUCCGGUGCGCCAUCGAACAGACAGCCUCCCAACGGCCACUUUUGGUGGUUGGGGCUAUAAAUACCCCAACCACCCCACCAUUCAUUGCAUCCAAGUUUUCCACUUCCCAACUACUACAAGAGCUCUAGCAUUCAAUUCUAGACACACCAAAGAGAUCAAAUCCUCUCCAAUUCCACACAAAGCCCUAGUGACUAGUGAGAGUGAUUUGUCGUGUUCAUUUGAGCUCUUGCGCUUGGAUUGCUUUCUCUCUUUCAUUCUUUCUUGUGUUCAAUACUCACUUGUAACCAAAGCAAGAGACACCAAUUGUGUGGUGGUCCUUGUGGGGAGGUUUUGCUCCCGGUUGAUUUGAGAAGAGAAAGUUCACUCGGUCCGAGGGACCGUUUGAGAGAGGGAAGGGUUGAAAGAGACCCGGCCUUUGUGGCCUCCUCAACGGGGAGUAGGUUUGCGAGAGCCGAACCUCGGUAAAACAAAUCCGUGUGUCUCACUUCAUUAUUCGCUUGCGAUUUGUUUUGCGCCCUCUCUCGCGGACUCGUUUAUAUUUCUAACGCUAACCCGGCUUGUAGUUGUGUUUAUAUUUGUAAAUUUCAGUUUCGCCCUAUUCACCCCCCCUCUAGGCGACUAUCAAUUGGUAUCAGAGCCCGGUGCUUCAUUAGAGCCUAACCGCUCGAAGUGAUGUCGGGAGAUCACGCCAAGAAGGAGAUGGAGACCGGCGAAAAGCCCACUACAAGCCACGGGAGCACUUCAUCGGAAGAGUCCCGCACCAAGAGGAAGGAGAAGAAGAAGGACUCCUCCAAACGGAAGAAAAAAAAAGUCUUCCUCUUCUCACCACAAAGAGAAGAAGGAAAAAUCUUCUUCUCACAAACCGCAUCGGAAAGGGGAUAAGCACAAAAGGAUGAGGAAGGUGGUCUACUACGAGACCGACACUUCAUCAACAUCGACCUCCGACUCCGAUGCGCCCUCCGUCACUUCUAAGCGCCAAGAGCGCAAGAAGUAUAGUAAGAUCCCCCUACGCUACCCUCGCAUUUCCAAACAUACACCUUUACUUUCCGUCCCAUUAGGCAAACCACCAACUUUUGAUGGUGAAGAUUACGCUAGGUGGAGCGAUUUAAUGCAAUUUCAUCUAACCUCGCUCCACAAAAGCAUAUGGGAUGUUGUUGAGUUUGGCGCGCAGGUACCAUCCGUAGGGGAUGAAAACUAUGAUGAGGAUGAAGUGGCCCAAAUCGAGCACUUCAACUCUCAAGCAACAACAAUACUCCUCGCCUCUCUAAGUAGAGAGGAGUAUAACAAAGUACAAGGGUUGAAGAGCGCCAAGGAGAUUUGGGAUGUGCUCAAAACCGCGCACGAAGGAGACGAGCUCACCAAGAUCACCAAACGGGAAACGAUCGAGGGGGAGCUCGGUCGGUUCCGGCUUCGCAAAGGGGAGGAGCCACAACACAUGUACAACCGGCUCAAGACCUUGGUGAAUCAAGUGCGCAACCUCGGGAGCGUAAAAUGGGAUGACCACGAGAUGGUUAAGGUUAUUCUAAGAUCUCUUAUUUUCCUUAACCCUACUCAAGUUCAAUUAAUCCGUGGUAAUCCUAGAUAUACUAAAAUGACCCCCGAGGAAGUUAUCGGGAAUUUUGUGAGUUUUGAGUGCAUGAUCGAAGGCUCGAGGAAGAUCAACGAGCUUGAUGAUGCCACCACAUCCGAAGCUCAACCCGUUGCAUUCAAGGCAACGGAGGAGAAGAAGGAGGAGGCUACACCAAGUCGACAACCAAUAGACGCCUCCAAGCUCGACAAUGAGGAAAUGGCGCUCGUCAUCAAGAGCUUCCGCCAAAUCCUCAAGCAAAGGAGGGGGAAGGAUUACAAGUCCCGCUCCAAGAAGGUUUGCUACAAGUGUGGUAAGCCCGGUCAUUUUAUUGCUAAAUGUCCUAUAUCUAGUGACAGUGACCGAGGUGACGACAAGAAGGGGAGGCGAAAGGAGAAGAAGAAGUACUACAAGAAGAAGGGCGGCGAUGCCCAUGUUUGUCGGGAAUGAGAUUCCGACGAUAGCUCAAGCGACUCCUCCGACGACGAGGACGCCGCCAACAUCGCCGUCACCAAGGGACUCCUCUUCCCCAACGUCGGCCACAAGUGCCUCAUGGCAAAGGACGGCAAAAAGAAGGUUAAAUCUAAGUCCUCCACUAAAUAUGAAUCCUCUAGUGAUGACAAUGCUAGUGAUGAGGAAGAUAAUUUGCGUUCCCUUUUUGCCAACCUUAACAUAGCUCAAAAGGAAAAAUUAAAUGAAUUGGUUAGUGCUAUUCAUGAAAAGGAUGACCUUUUGGAUUCCCAAGAGGAUUGUCUAAUUAAAGAAAACAAAAAACAUGUUAAGGUUAAAAAGGCUUAUGCUCUAGAAGUAGAAAAAUGUGAAAAAUUAUCUAGUGAGCUAAGCACUUGCCGUGAGAUGAUUGACAACCUUAGAAAUGAAAAUGCUAGUUUAAAUGCUAAGGUUGAUUCUCAUGUUUGUAAUGUUUCAAUUCCCAAUCCUAGAGAUAAUAAUGAUGAUUUGCUUACUAGGAUUGAAGAAUUAAACAUUUCUCUUGCUAGCCUUAGAAUAGAGAAUGAAAAUUUGAUUGCUAAGGCUAAAGAUUUUGAUGUUUGCAAAGUUACAAUUGCCGAUCUUAGAGAUAAAAAUGAUAUUCUUCAUGCUAAGAUUGUUGAACUUAAUUCCUGCAAACCGUCUACAUCUACUAUUGAGCAUGUGUCUAUUUGUGAUAGAUGUAGAGAUAUUGAUGUUAAUGCUAUUCAUGAUCACAUGGCUUUAAUUAAACAACAAAAUGAUCAUAUAGCAAAAUUAGAUGCUAAAAUUGCCGAGCACAACUUAGAAAAUGAGAAAUUUAAAUUUGCUCGUAGCAUGCUUUAUAAUGGGAGACGCCCUGGCAUUAAGGAUGGCAUUGGCUUCCAAAGGGGAGACAAUGUCAAAAUUAGUGCCCCUCCUAAAAGAUUGUCAAAUUUUGUUAAGGGCAAGGCUCCCAUGCCUCAGGAUAACGAGGGUUACAUUUUGUACCCUGCCGGUUAUCCCGAGGACAAAAUUAGGAAAAUUCAUUCUAGGAAGUCUCACUCUGGCCCUAAUCAUGCUUUUAUGUAUAAGGGUGAAACAUCUAGUUCUAGGCAACCAACCCGUGCUAAGUUGCCUAGGAAGAAAACUCCUAAUGCAUCAAAUGAUCAUGCUAUUUCAUUUAAAACUUUUGAUGCAUCUUAUGUGCUUACAAGCAAAUCCGGCAAGGUAGUUGCCAAAUUUGUUGGGGGCAAACACAAGGGAUCAAAGACUUGUGUUUGGGUACCCAAAGUUCUUGUUUCUAAUGCCAAAGGACCCAAAACAGUUUGGGUACCUAAAGUCAAGAACUAAAUUUGUUUUGUAGGUUUAUGCAUCCGGGGGCUCAAGUUGGAUACUCGACAGCGGGUGCACAAACCACAUGACCGGGGAGAAAAGGAUGUUCUCCUCAUAUGAGAAAAACCAAGAUCCCCAACGAGCUAUCACAUUCGGGGAUGGAAAUCAAGGUUUGGUCAAAGGACUUGGUAAAAUUGCUAUAUCUCCUGACCAUUCUAUUUCCAAUGUUUUUCUUGUUGAUUCUUUAGAUUACAACUUGCUUUCUGUUUCCCAAUUAUGUCAAAUGGGCUACAACUGUCUUUUUACUAAUGUAGGUGUCACUGUCUUUAGAAGAAGUGAUGAUUCAAUAGCAUUUAAGGGUGUGUUAGAGGGUCAGCUAUACUUAGUAGAUUUUGAUAGAGCUGAACUCGACACAUGCUUAAUUGCUAAGACUAACAUGGGUUGGCUCUGGCACCGCCGACUAGCCCAUGUUGGGGUGAAGAAUCUUCAUAAGCUUCUAAAGGGAGAGCACAUUUUAGGAUUAACAAAUGUUCAUUUUGAGAAAGACAGGAUUUGUAGCGCAUGCCAGGCGGGGAAGCAAGUUGGAGUCCAUCAUCCACACAAGAACAUCAUGACGACCGACAGGCCGCUUGAGCUACUCCACAUGGAUCUUUUCGGCCCGAUUGCUUACAUAAGCAUCGGCGGGAGUAAGUAUUGUCUUGUAAUAGUGGAUGAUUAUUCUCGCUUCACUUGGGUAUUCUUUUUACAGGAAAAAUCUCAAACCCAAGAGACCUUAAAGGGAUUCUUGAGACGGGCUCAAAAUGAGUUCGGCUUAAGGAUCAAGAAAAUAAGAAGCGACAACGGGACGGAGUUCAAGAACUCACAAAUUGAAGGCUUCCUUGAGGAGGAGGGCAUCAAGCAUGAGUUCUCCUCUCCCUACACGCCACAACAAAAUGGUGUAGUGGAGAGAAAGAAUCGAACUCUAUUGGACAUGGCAAGAACCAUGCUUGAUGAGUACAAGACACCGGACCGGUUUUGGGCCGAAGCGGUCAACACCGCCUGCUACGCCAUCAACCGGUUAUAUCUUCACCGAAUCCUCAAGAAGACAUCAUAUGAACUCCUAACCGGUAAAAAGCCCAACAUCUCAUACUUUAGAGUUUUUGGUAGCAAAUGCUUUAUUCUUGUUAAAAGAGGUAGAAAAUCUAAAUUUGCUCCUAAAACUGUAGAAGGUUUUUUACUUGGUUAUGACUCAAACACAAGGGCAUAUAGGGUCUUUAACAAGUCCACUGAACUAGUUGAAGUCUCAUGUGACGUUGUGUUUGAUGAAACUAACGGCUCUCAAGUAGAGCAAGUUGAUCUUGAUGAGAUAGGUAAUGAAGAGGCUCCAUGCAUUGCACUAAGGAACAUGUCCAUUGGGGAUGUGUGUCCUAAGGAAUCCGAAGAGCCUCCAAGUGCACAAGAUCAACCGUCCUCCUCCACGCAAGCAUCUCCACCAACUCAAAAUGAGGAUGAAGCUCAAGUUGAUGAAGUAAAAGAUCAAGCAAAUGAGCCACCUCAAGAUGACGGCAAUGAUCAAGGGGGAGAUGCAAAUGAUCAAGACAAGGAGGAUGAAGAGCAAAGGCCGCCACACCCAAGAGUCCACCAAGCAAUCCAACGAGAUCACCCCGUCGACACCAUCCUCGGCGACAUUCAUAAGGGGGUAACCACUCGAUCUCGUGUUGCACAUUUUUGUGAACAUUACUCUUUUGUUUCCUCUAUUGAGCCACACAGGAUAGAGGAAGCACUUCAAGAUUCGGAUUGGAUAGUGGCGAUGCAAGAGGAGCUCAACAAUUUCACGAGGAACGAGGUAUGGCAUUUAGUUCCACGUCCUAACCAAAAUGUUGUAGGAACCAAAUGGGUCUUCCGCAACAAGCAAGAUGAGCAUGGUGUGGUGACAAGGAACAAAGCUCGACUCGUGGCCAAAGGGUAUUCACAAGUCGAAGGUUUGGAUUUCGGUGAAACCUAUGCACCCGUAGCUAGGCUUGAGUCAAUUCGCAUAUUAUUGGCCUAUGCUACUUACCAUGGCUUUAAGCUCCAUCAAAUGGACGUGAAAAGUGCCUUCCUCAACGGACCAAUCAAGGAAGAGGUCUAUGUUGAGCAACCUCCCGGCUUUGAAGACAGUGAGUACCCUAACCAUGUCUAUAGGCUCUCUAAGGCGCUUUAUGGGCUCAAGCAAGCCCCAAGAGCAUGGUAUGAAUGCCUAAGAGAUUUCCUUAUUAAUAAUGGCUUCAAAGUCGGCAAGGCCGAUCCUACACUCUUUACUAAAACUCUUGAAAAUGACUUGUUUAUAUGCCAAAUUUAUGUUGAUGAUAUUAUAUUUGGGUCUACUAACGAGUCUACAUGUGAAGAGUUUAGUAGGAUCAUGACACAGAAAUUCGAGAUGUCGAUGAUGGGGGAGUUGAAGUAUUUUCUAGGAUUCCAAGUCAAGCAACUCCAAGAGGGCACCUUCAUUAGCCAAACGAAGUACACUCAAGACAUUCUAACCAAGUUUGGAAUGAAGGAUGCCAAGCCCAUCAAGACACCCAUGGGAACCAAUGUGCAUCUCGACCUCGACACGGGAGGUAAAUCCAUCGAUCAAAAGGUAUACCGGUCGAUGAUUGGUUCAUUGCUUUAUUUAUGUGCAUCUCGACCGGACAUUAUGCUUUCCGUAUGCAUGUGUGCAAGAUUCCAAUCCGACCCUAAGGAAUCCCACCUUACGGCCGUAAAACGAAUCUUGAGAUAUUUAGCUUAUACUCCUAAGUUUGGGCUUUGGUACCCUCGGGGAUCCACUUUUGAUUUGAUUGGUUAUUCGGAUGCCGAUUGGGCGGGGUGCAAAAUUAAUAGAAAGAGCACAUUGGGGACUUGCCAGUUCUUGGGAAGAUCCUUGGUGUCUUGGGCUUCAAAGAAGCAAAAUUCGGUCGCUCUUUCCACCGCCGAAGCCGAGUACAUUGCCGCAGGUCAUUGUUGCGCGCAAUUGCUUUGGAUGAGGCAAACCCUGCGGGACUAUGGUUACAAAUUAACCAAAGUCCCUUUGCUAUGUGAUAAUGAGAGUGCAAUCAAAAUGGCCGACAAUCCUGUCGAGCAUAGCCGCACUAAGCACAUAGCCAUUCGGUAUCAUUUUCUUAGGGAUCACCAACAAAAGGGAGAUAUCGAGAUUUCUUAUAUUAACACUAAAGAUCAAUUAGCCGAUAUCUUUACCAAGCCUCUUGAUGAACGAUCUUUUACCAGACUUAGGCAUGAGCUCAAUAUUCUUGAUUCUAGAAAUUUCUUUUGCUAGCUUGCACACAUAGCUCAUUUGAAUACCUUUGAUCAUAUCUCUUUUAUAUGCUAUGACUAAUGUGUUUUCAAGUCUAUUUCAAACCAAGUCACAGGUAUAUUGAAAGGGACUUGGAGUCUUCGGCGAAAACAAAGGCUUCCACUCCGUAACUCAUACUUCGCCAUCACUCCAAGCAACUCUCUAUUCUUUGGGGGAGAAAUGAGCAUCAAAGAAAAGAACUUCGUCUUUGGUAUAAUCUUAACUCAUUUACUUAUGACCAAAGGAGAAGAUAGUACUUAAGAGGGCUCUAAUGAUUCCGUUUUUGGCGAUUCAUGCCAAAGGGGGAGAGAGUAUGAGCCCAAAGCAAAAGGACCGCACCACCACCAAUUUCAAAAACUUAGUGCUUUCCAAAAGUAUUUAUCAAUUGGUAUUCUAUGGUGUUCAAAAAGGGGAGAAAGUAGUAUUUCAAAAAUAGUAUAUCAAAACCCUCUUGAACACUAAGAGGUGAAUCUCUUUUAGGGGGAGUUUUGUUAAGUCAAAGGAAAAGCAUUUGAAACAGGGGGAGAAAAUUUCAAAUCUUGAAAAUGCUUUGCAAACUCUUAUUCAUUUACCUUUGACUAUUUGCAAAAGAUUUUUUGAAAUGGAUUUACAAAAGAAUUUGCAAAAACAAAACAUGUGGUGCAAACGUGGUCCAAAAUGUUAUAUAAGAAAGAAACAAUCCAUGCAUAUCUUGUAAGUAUUUAUAUUGGCUCAAUUCCAAGCAACCUUUAAACUUACAUUAUGCAAACUAGUUCAAUUAUGCACUUCUAUAUUUGCUUUGGUUUGUGUUGGCAUCAAUCACCAAAAAGGGGGAGAUUGAAAGGGGAUUAGGCUUACACCUAGUUCCUAAAUAAUUUUGGUGGUUGAAUUGCCCAACACAAAUCUUUGGACUAACUAGUUUGCCCAAGUGUAUAGAUUAUACAGGUGUAAAAGGUUCACACUCAGCCAAUAAAAAGACCAAGUUAUGGAUUCAACAAAGGAGCAAAGGGGCAACCGAAGGCACCUCUGGUUUGGCGCACCGGACUGUCCGGUGUGCCACCGGACAGUGUCCGGUGCACCACCGGACAUGUCCGGUGCACCAGAGGACUCCAACGCGAACUCGCCACCUUCGGGAAUUUCCAGAGGCACUCGCGCUAUAAUUCACCGGACUGUCCGGUGUACACCGAACAGUGUCCGGUGCGCCAAGGGAGGUCGGCCUCAGGAACUCGCCAGCUUCGGGAAACUCCAACGGCUCGUCCGCUAUAAUUCACCGGACUGUCCGGUGUGCACCGGACUGUCCGGUGCGACUCCGGAGCAACGGCUAACUCCGCGCCAACGGCUACCUGCAGAGCAAUAAAUGCGCGCGCAGCGCGCGCAGGAGUCAGAAUCGCCCAUGCUGGCACACCGGACAUCAAACAGUACCUGUCCGGUGUGCACCGGACACCCAGGCGGGCCCACAAGUCAGAAGCUCCAACGGUCAGAAUCCAACAGCAGUGAUGACGUGGCAGGGGGCACCGGACUGUCCGGUGUGCACCGGACUGUCCGGUGCGCCAUCGAACAGACAGCCUCCCAACGGCCACUUUUGGUGGUUGGGGCUAUAAAUACCCCAACCACCCCACCAUUCAUUGCAUCCAAGUUUUCCACUUCCCAACUACUACAAGAGCUCUAGCAUUCAAUUCUAGACACACCAAAGAGAUCAAAUCCUCUCCAAUUCCACACAAAGCCCUAGUGACUAGUGAGAGUGAUUUGUCGUGUUCAUUUGAGCUCUUGCGCUUGGAUUGCUUUCUCUCUUUCAUUCUUUCUUGUGUUCAAUACUCACUUGUAACCAAAGCAAGAGACACCAAUUGUGUGGUGGUCCUUGUGGGGAGGUUUUGCUCCCGGUUGAUUUGAGAAGAGAAAGUUCACUCGGUCCGAGGGACCGUUUGAGAGAGGGAAGGGUUGAAAGAGACCCGGCCUUUGUGGCCUCCUCAACGGGGAGUAGGUUUGCGAGAGCCGAACCUCGGUAAAACAAAUCCGUGUGUCUCACUUCAUUAUUCGCUUGCGAUUUGUUUUGCGCCCUCUCUCGCGGACUCGUUUAUAUUUCUAACGCUAACCCGGCUUGUAGUUGUGUUUAUAUUUGUAAAUUUCAGUUUCGCCCUAUUCACCCCCCCCCCCUCUAGGCGACUAUCAGCGCUGCUUCAAAAAUCGUCGGAUGUAGUCCCGCAGGGACUCUCCCGGCUGCUGGCGGCAGCUUCAGAGAUCCCAGGAGUUCCCAGGGCGCACGUAUGUGCCCUGGAAGUUGCCGGCGAAGGCUUUGACCAGGUCGUCCCAGUUGGAGGUCUGUGCAGGAGGCAGAUGCUCCAGCCAGGCUCGGGCGGCGUCGGAGAGGAACAUGGGAAGGUUGCGGAUGAUGAGGUUGUCAUCGUCCGUUCCACCCAGCUGGUAGGCCAGCCGGUAGUCCGAGAGCCAUAGUUCCGGCUUUGACUCCCUCGAGUACUUGGUGAUAGUAGUCGGGGUUCGGAACCGGGUCGGGAACGGCGCCCGUCGUAUGGCCCGACUGAAAGCUCGCGGACCAGGUGGUUCGGGCGAGGGGCUCCGAUCCUCCCCGCUGUCGUAGCGUCCCCCACGCCUGUGCUGGUAGCCUCGGCGCACCUUCUCGUCGAGGUGGGCUCGACGAUCGUGGCGGUGGUGCUCGUUGCCGAGGCCACCCGGGGCCGUAGGCGCUGUGUUCCGCGUGCGCCCGGUGUGGACCGAGGCUUCCCGUAUGAACCGGGAAGUCGCGGCUCGAUGCUCCGGGGGGUACCCCUGCCUUCGGGAGGCAGAGCUUUCAGCCCGUCGGACCGUGACAUCUUCUAGGAGAUUCUUGAGCUCUCCCUGGAUACGCCGCCCCUCGGUGGUGGAUGGUUCCGGCAUCGCUCGGAGUAGUAUUGCUGCUGCGGCCAGGUUCUGGCCGACCCCACUAGAAGCCGGGGGUAGCCUCGCCCUGGCAUCGUCGGCGAUGCGGUGCUGGACGUCCUGGGCCAGAUGACGCGCUUCUGCGGCCGGUGCCCGACCUGCCCACUCCUGCCCAAUAUUUUGCCGAAGCUUCACAAGUUGUCCUGCUUCUUCGUCGAGCCUGGCCUGCAUCUCGCGGAUUUGCUCGAGCUGUGCGUCCUGACCCCCCGCAGGGACUGGGACCACAGCUAGCUCCCGAAGGAUGUCAACGCGAGGCGCAGGCCUAGGGGGAUCACCGUCCUCUGGCAUACCAAGAUGGUUGCCUUCGUCGAGACCCCCCUAGAUCGACGUGAAAGCAUUCGUGACUUGGGCCACAGUCCUCGUCACCAAGGCUGUGGCUACUAUCGGAGCAAUCGGAGAGGCAGUAGUCACAUGCGGUCAUGAAGUACCGCAUGGCACUGGGGUCAUCGAGCCCGGAGAAAUCCCAACCAGAGUCAGGCUCGUCAUCUUCCUUAGAACCUAGGGGCCCGUAGGUCGAGACGGCCGUCAGUCGGUCCCAGGGUGACCGCAUAUGAUACCCCGGAGGGUUUGGGCAUGCCUUUACGAAAGCGUCCACCGAAGCGGGGUCGCUUGGUGGGUCGCAGCUGAAUUUAAAAGGCAUGGGAUGGGAAACGGACGGUACCUCUUGAUCGACGGGUGGUGGCGAAGUCGCGUCAGGGACGGACUGCACCGUUGUCUCAGGUACGAGGCUAACGCCCAGCAAGUUCUUCGCGAGCGUGCUGGCGUCGUCCGUCUGCUCGGGGUUGGCGUGUUGCGGGGAAACGACGCUCGUCUUCGUCUCAGACGCGAGGUCAACGCCCGAUGUGUCCCCCGCUGGGGCGCCGACGCCGUCGACUCGCUCGACAGCCGACGAGGUGCCGCCUCCUGCUUGGCCAUGCCUGCCCCGCCUCCUCCUCUGUCGGCGGGGAAGGUGACGGGACAGACCCGGAUGUUGCUCUUCCGCCACGUGGGGAAGACGUCGUCGAUUCCGCCACCGGUGGGCGGGCUGACGGCCGCCAUUGUCGUCGUCGCGCGGCGGAGGAAGGAGUAUCAUGUUGUAGCUGUCGUCGAGGGACAUGAACUCAAGACUCCCGAAACAGAGCAUCGUCCCGGGUUGGAGAGGUUGCUGGAGACUACCCAUCCGGAGCUUGACGGGAAGCUGUUCGUCAACACGCAGCAGGCCCCUACCUGGCGUGCCAACUUUCGGCGUUUCGACCCCGGGGGGUCCCUGGACCGACGAGUAAAUUGUCGCUGCGUGUCCCAGCCCGGAUGGGUCGGCGCGAGACGGAACAUAAAAGGGGGAAAACAGCGAGGGGAAACCGCGGCCUUCGUUUUGUCCUGCGCCCAGGGCGGAUGUGCUUGCAGUAGGGGGUUACAAGCGUUCGCGUGGGAGAGGGAGAGAGAGCGAGAGCCUCGUGUGCCAGCCCGUCCUCCCGCGCGGCCACCCUCGUGUACGAGAGCCUUGGACCUUCCUUUUAUAGACGUAAGGAGAGGGCCCAGGUGUACAAUGGGGGGUGUAGCAAUGUGCUAACGUGUCUAGCAGAGAGGAGCUAGAGCCCUAAGUACAUGCCGAUGUGGCUAUCGGAGAGGUGUUGCUGCCCUGUUCAUGUGAUGUCGUGCCCGUCGGAGGAGCGCCUAAGCCCUGUAGGAGCACAGCUGUCGGAGUUGUCAGGUCCUUGCUGACGUCUCCUUGCUUCCGUAAGGGGCUGAGAACCGCCGUCGUCAUGGAGCACGCGGGGUGCCAUCAGUACUUGUUUUACCGGGGCGAGCCAGAUGGGACGCCGGUCUUGUUCCCCGUAGCCUGAGCUAGCUAGGGGUAGGGUAAUGAUGGGCCCCCUGUGACGUGGUCGGUCCGAACCCGGGGUCGGGCGAGGCGGUGACUCCUCCGAGGUCGAGGCUGAGUCCGGGCCCGGGGGUCGGGCGAGGCGGAGACCGUCGUCCGAGGUCGAGGCUGAGUCCGAGCCCUGGGGUCGGGCGAGGCGGAGUCCGUCGUCCGGCGUCGAGGUUGAGUCCGAGCCCCGGGGUCGGGCGAGGCGAAGUCCGUCUUCCGGCGUCGAGGUUGAGCCCGAGCUCUGGGGUCGGGCGAGGCGGAGCUUCCUAUGGCGCCCGGGGCUGGACUUAGCUGUUGUCAGCCUCACUCUGUCGAGUGGCACAGCAGUCGAAGUAGGGCAGACGGCGCUGUUUUCCUGUUUGCCCGAGGUUGGGCUCGGGCGAGGCGAGAUCGUGUCCCUUGAGUGGACGGGGCCUUGACCUGAAUCGCGCCCAUCAGGCCUUUGUAGCUUUGUGCUGAUGGGGGUUACCAACUGAGAUUAGGAGUCUUGGGGGUACCCCUAAUUAUGGUCCCCGACAGUACCGAAAGAAGAGAAUCAAGUCUAAAGCUGCAGGAGGAAAGGUCCUCCGUUAAGAAAACUUUUACUGUUUAUUUGGGAGGGGUUUUUGCCUCCCAUGUUAUGUAAUAAUAAUACUCUACACUCUUAUAUUUUGUUCUGGUCUGUAACUAUAUAACUUUGUCUUACUUUUCAAUAAAGUAAGUUACUGUAACUGCUUCCGCAUUUUCGUAUCUCCGAUGUAUUGUAAUGUCUGUGUGACAGGUGAAACGCUCUUGGGAAAGGUAAGAAAUUUAGAUACCGAACUUGUCAAGUGAUCAGGUGCACCUGCAGGGUUAUCUGAAGUUUGUUGGACAAGGACAACUGUAGGUGGGCCUAAUGACUUGGGAGGUUCCGUCAUAGUGGUGGUUGUGGUGGCGGGGGACCCGAUGGUUGUGGUGGCGGAGGGCCGACGCGCCUCUGCGUGCCCUGGGCCUGGGAGUCGGUCUCCUCGGCCCCGCCAGCGGCCUUAUGACGCUUCUGAGAGCCGACCUCCUCGGUCCCACCGGGGGGUCCGAAACAAACGACCCGUCGGCGCGACGCAGCCGGCGCCGCCUCUCUUCCUCUGACACCUCGGCGCCGCCUCGGGCGGAGGAGCUGCUUGCGGCCCCUUUACCCUUAUCCAAGGGGCGGGGAGCCGUGGCGGAAGCGCUGGAAGCUCCGGCGGGGGCGCUGGGGGCCUUGCCGGUAGGCUAGGGGCCUCCGGCCGACGCACCGGGGAUUCGAAUCCCGCAGUGGGGGUCCCGGCCGCCGGUCUGAUGAACCGCCAUGCCGCUCUCAUCGAGGGUCGACAGUGAGGCCAACAUCGCCAUUCACAGCGCGAGGUCAUCACAGAGCGUUGGGAUGCCCUGGGGAAGUAUCAGGGAUUCAGGGAUAAAGGACUCACUAGUGAUCCCCUUCACCAGGACUUCCAGCCCCUCCCAGGACAGAUCGGUUCCCGGCCCACGCUGGAUCCUGCAGAUAUCGUUCGGGUCGGUGAACCAGCAGCUCAGGCGUGGCCUCUCCUGCAGCGGCGUGACCCAUCGCUUCAGGAAAUCACCGACCACAUGCAUAGAGGUCAGGACACCGGUCGCCAAGGUCUCGAUCCUGUCCAGCACGAGCAGGAGCUCUGGCGAUAGCGAUGGCUGGGUCCUCCAGAGCUUGCGGUCGAGGGUUGGCCCAUUGCUCGGUAGGACGAGGCGGUCGUUGGCGUCGGCGCUGACGAUCACCCAGUCGGCGCGUCAGUUCUCCCACCUUGCGCCGCCGAGGGUGGAGAUGUAGGACAUGGCCGAAUUCGGCCUCGUCUGAAAAUAGUAGGCACCAAGAUGGUCCCUAGCCUUCCCAGAUUUGACCAGCACGAAGAAAUGGUGGAAGAGGGAAGUGCAGGGGGCCACCCCCACGAACAUCUCGCAGAGGUGGGCAAAGAUGGCGUCUAGAGGAUGGAAUGGGGGGUGAGGUGCUGAAGCUAGAGCCCGAACUCCUCCAACAACAGCAGGAAGAAAGGCGAGAUCGGCAGCGCCAACCCGCAGGAGAGGUAGGAGAAGAGCACGAACUCCCCGGCAGCGAGGUCGCCGAGGGGAGUGGCGCCGGCGCGGAUCCUUCCGGCGAACGCUAGCGCGCUCCAACCGAGCAGGUUGCGCACCAGGUUGAGUGCCCCCUUGGACUGGAUGCGCUCGGGAUGGACUAGCGAGGCCAUGGCGACUGCGGCAGCGGAAAGCAGAGGAACGCGAAUGCAAAGGGGCGCGGAGAGCUCGAAGGCGAAAGGGCGUAGUGAGUGGAGAGAAUACGAAAGUGUAACUGCUACACGCGGGGUGAAUCCUUUUUCAAGGAAGACUCCCCCGCUCGCGCCCCGAGACGCCGCAGGAAAUCUCGCCCGACGCACACCAAAGCAACCCAGUCUAUGACACGAGGGCCCGGGUCCACAAGUCAUAUAGCUGGUGUGCUGGUCUCCGAGUGCAGAGAGAGCGAACCGCCGCGCACGCCCGAAAAGUAAAACCACCGCCCGUGGUUGCGCGCCUCUUCAUCUCCGCCGAAAACAAUGGUCCAGUCUAUGACAUGGGGGCCCAGGCCCACAAGUCAUACCCCUUAGGCGUCGGUUCCUUGGUGUAGAAAGAGCAAAUCGCCGCUCGCGCCAGUACUGCACCUCCUCGGGGCUGUUGCAGAAGAUAGAGGAGAUUUUUCAAAACCAAUGUAGCAGUAUUGAGGCGCCUCGCACAUGGCCUGGCGAAACCAUCAGGUGUGGGGGCCGCGGGUCAAUCAGCUGCGGGGACAGACGUAGUAGUUGGCGUGACCGAAGGCGGAUUGGUGGUGAUUACGUCAGCGAGCGCACGGAAGUGGCGCGCCAAUCGCCAAUCAAGCUUUGGCCCCACCUGCAGGCUCGUAUCCUCCCCUAAGGUGGGCCCGGGGGCCACUAUCGGUACCCUGAAACAGGGGUACCCCUUACUACAGUAUGAAGGCACGGUGCCCGCGGGGCUAUCUCUAGUCGCGUGGUAAACAGCACCCGACCCCACCACAUGGACGGCUCCGGGGUCGCCACGUGGCCAGAGAAGACGAUAUACCCCAAGAUAUCAACAAUGGGUCCGGACCCCCAUGGGAAGGUGCCGGACCUCUAUAUAUGCGGACCGGACCUCCGCGGGCACAAGCCGGACCCCUAGGAUGGGGUCCGGACCCCUCUGUGAGGGGUCCGGACCACUCUCAGCAGGGUCCCGGGAUUCUAGGACAAAGAAUACCCAGGCCUUAAUCAAGGCCAGGCGGGGGUCCGGAGCCAACACGCGUCCGGACCAUACCGUGUACGAUUCUGCUCCCCGCUCAGGCGGAGUCCCGAUGCUGCCACGUGGCCUACUGCCCGUGACGUAAGCCAGCGGGCGGAGCCUGACGUAGGGCCUCUGGGCCGUGCGGCCUCUGCAUUUAUUGCGGAUAAGGCGCGCCGCCUGUCAAUUCCACUGGCAGGUGAUGUGCCGCCUCGGCAGUUAAUGAGCCCUGUCCAUUCCACUGGCAGGCGAUGUGCCGCCUCAGCAUUUAAUGUGCCCUGUCCACUCCGCUGGCAGGCGGUGACCAGGCCAUCCAACAGGCGGCGUGCCUGUCCAUUCCAUUGGCGGGCAGUAUGCCUAUGCUGCGGCGUACACUAUGCUCAUCAUCACUCGCGCGUUACCGAGGAAACAACGCGGGAUAUCAAUACUAUAUGCACUACGGACAUUAUGGCGCUCGGAGAUCGCCCGGGCGUUGCAGGCAUUAGUAAUUUCCUUCCAUUUUGCCCCUGGGCCCACAUGUCGGGGCUCAGCAUCCUUGUACAUGCCCCCUUGAGCUAUAAAAGGGAGAUUACACGACGUUACAAGGCAAGCUCACUUAGACUCUCAGACUCACAAGUUCAUACAAGCUCCCAAGCUCAAUACAGCACACAGUAGAGUAGGGUAUUACGCUCCGGCGGCCCGAACCACUCUAAACCCUUGUGUGUUAUUGUGUUCUUCCCGAUUCCAUCUAGCAGGCAAAACGCUUAGGCCCCUCCUCAUCUUAGGAUUUAGGGCGGGUGCGUUCCGCCACCCGGCCGAAGAAUUUCCUCUCUGACAGCAUCAAUCACCAAAAAUAGGGAGAUUGAAAGGGAAAUAGGCUUAAUCAUUUCCUAUAAUUGAUUUUGGUGGUUGACGUCCAACACAAACCACGUGGACUAACUAGUUUGCCUAGAUGUCAUUUAUCUCAGGUGCAUAAGGUUCAACACAAACCAAGAAAGAAUUCCAGUUGGGGACUCAAAUAAAUUUGGAGCAAGACAUGAGAGUGUGCUGCCACUGGUGCACCAGACACUGUCCGGUGCACCGGGCCCGCGCGCAAGCAAACAGGCCACUCUCGGGAACUUCUCAGCCGCGCUCUGCUGUAAUUCACCGGACUGUCCGGUAAGCCAACGGAGCAACGACUAUCUGGCGCCAACGAUCGACUGUCGAAAGUAAACAGUGAUGAACAGUGCGCGACAGAAGUCAGAGCAGAGAAGUCAGAGUGCACCGGACAUGUCCGGUAUUGCACCGAAUUGUUCGGUGCAGCUAUAGGACAAGGGUUCCAACGGUCAACUCGCUCCAAACCCAAACGGGCGUGCUGACGUGGCACGCACCGGACAAUGAACAAUGGCUGUAUGGUGCACCACCGCACUGUCCGGUGUGCCCAUCGCUAGCAAACUCAGCCAAUGGCUAGGAAGUGGUUGGAGGCUAUAAAUACCUCCAACCACCUCUUUCAAUGACAUCCAAAUAUUAUGAAUAUCACAUUCAUUGCAAGAGCAAAGACAACCACUGCAAAGACACAACCAAAGCAUUCAAUCCUCUUCAAGUCCCAAAAUCAACUCAACCACUUAGUGACUUGAGAGAGAGAGUUUUUGUGUUUAUUUGUUGCUCUUGUUGCUUGGAUUGCUUUCUCCUUCCCCAUUCUUAUUCUGUUAAGUGCUUUGUAAAGCUAGAAAGAGACACAUAAGUGUGUGGUGAUCCUUGCGGGGUCUUAGUGACCCAAGUGAUUAAGGAGAAGGCUCAUCCGGUCUAAGUGACCGCUUGAGAGAGGGAAAUGGUUGAAAUAGACCCGGCCUUUGUGGCCUCCUCAACGGGGACUAGGUUCUUUAGAACAGAACCUCGGUAAAACAAAUCAUCGUGUUCACUUGUGUUAAUUUCAUUUGAUUUGUUUUCCCUCUUUCCCCUCUCUAACGUUUCCUUGCUAAUAUUGUUUUGAGCUUGCUCCCAAAGUCAUACAUAUCCAUUUGAGCAACUCAGAGCAAGAGAAACGAUCUUCCACACUCGGAUUUUAAUUCUAACGCUAACCCCGGCCUUAGCGCAAGUUUAAGUUUAUAAAUUUCAGGUUUCACCUAUUCACCUCCUUUAGGCGACUUUCAGCCGUCUUCUUCGCAGCAGACUUAGAUCUCGCCUCCCGGGAGGGACCCCAUCGAGGAAGAGAGAUCCUAUGGUGUGUCUUGGCGUCGACAAGCCACACAAGACGCCUCUAGUCAACGUAGAGCCGAAGAGAUGUGAAGAUUCGAGAUAGAGGAAGGCUAAACUUGGUUAAAUUAGAGCUACUUCUAAUGCAUAAGGUAAAACGAUAAGUAGAGUUGAUUGGAUCGAUUGUGGAGGUUCAAAUUGACCGUAUCCUCUUAUCUAUAUAAAGGGGAGAUCUGAACUCAUUACAAGUCGAUUUUCGAGUUAAUUCCGUAAAUUUAGCUAACAAGUCUAAAAAAUCUAAACCCUAACUGAUUCUUGGCAUGGACAGAUGGUUCACGCUGUGGACAGAUCCAACCGCCGCCAGUCUCUCGGGACCGAACUAUCCGCUAGGAUAUUUUUUAUGCAUUUGACAAAGGCGUCGCUGCAUAAAUCAGACCACAACAAGACAUAUAUCAUCAUAGGAGAGUGCCCGUGCGUUGCAACGGGAACGUAUAGAACCACGAUAAACUAUGUACAAAUGUGUGUUAUACUUUUAUAGGUCAGCGCACGUGCGUUGCAACGGAGACAUAUAAUAUCUCGAUAACUUAUAUAUGCACAUGUGUUAUAUAUACAAAAUAUGUCUUAUAUUGUUAUAGGUAUAUGCCCAUGCGUUGCUAUGGAAUCAAUAUGAUAAAAAUUAUAGGAACUACAUAAUCUAGUUUAUCACUUAUCAGUAUACAAUAUCAAAUAACUUCAGGAGGUCAACUUCCUGACGCAAUGACGCUUGCCACAAGUUUAUCUGUUUUUGAUUAAAAGAAUUAGGAAAGGUCCACCUAACUGUUCUGGUUGCUCAGUGUCUUGUGGAGUCGAGGCAGAUACUUGUUCCGAAUCCAAACAAGAUGUGAAACUGCCAAACAUUCACUUGGUCUGCUCAUAUUUUGGCACACGAAGAUGUUCCGGAAUAAUAACAUGCUCCACCUCAUGCAAGUUAGUUUGUGAAAUUUUUUCAGACAAUUCGUUUACAUUCAGUCUGUUGGCACUUUCACAGUUGCUAGCUGAAGGAGAUGUAGCAUCAGCUAUACUGUUAUCUGCAUCGAUGGUCGGUGACUUCUUUGGCGAUUUUGGCUUCCACUCCUUAAUAGGGUGUAUUACUGAAGAUAAAAUGUAAUUUUAUCAGAUUGUUUACCUAAUAUAUAAUGAAUAAAGAAAAACUAUAAAGCCAGACAUCAAGUGGCAAAUAUAAUUUUUUAAACUUAGCAAUUCUGUGGUAACACAGAACAUUUCCAGAAAGUGCAUUCUAAGUUGCAAAUCCAUUUUGCCAAUUAACAAGUAUUUCAGUGAAUAGUCAGUCACAUGAGAAUAAAUCUUAGGGUAGCUAUAUAGAUCUUCAUACAAAGCAAAAAGUAACAUACAGUUAAAACAAAAGGUAAGUUAAAAUGAAGUUAAACAUGAGGUCCACCAUUUUUUAUAUAUAAGGGGGAAAAGGAAUUGCCCAGGGCUGAAACCCUCACAACACAAGGUGGAGAUAAAUGUACAUGGAAACACAAAAAAAGCACAAUAUGUCGAUUCCUGGAACACAAUAGUUAUAUGCCCGUUCGUUGUUACGGAAUCAAUAUGAUAAAAAUCAUAGAAACUACAUAAUCUAGUUUAUCACUUAUCAGUAUACAAUAUCAAAUAACUUCAGGAGGUCAACUUCCUGACGCAAUGACGCUUGCCACAAGUUUAUCUGUUUUUGAUUAAAAGAAUUGGUACAUCAGUUCUAACAAGCACAUCAGCAGUCAAUCUACGCACCGCCGACCCCGUCCGUACUGGUGAUAUGGCAGCGACAGCGGCAGGGUUCCAACUUCCAACAAGUCAGUGCUCCUAGUCCUAGCAUAGCCUGCCCUCCCUACUCAUGCUUAACUACAUCAGCAUUUAGAUCUAGAACAUAAACUUGAGGUCCGCCUCUGUAAGCUUCGACAUGGCAUCCGGCGAGUCCCCCAUGGUGCUGGAGAAAGAGAAAUAGGCAGGGCAGCAUAGCAUCAGCAUUCACAGAACAGCGACACUCAAAUAAAAAUUAGUAUGCAUUAUUGGAUGGACGAUGGAGGAGGUCUAGCUGUUACCCUUUAAACACCAGCUGCUUCUUCUGUUGCAGUUGCAGUAUGCGCUCUUCAACCGUGUCCUUUAUCACAAACCUAGUGCUCCUGCCCAACCACAACCGGAAGGUAGUUAGAAAGGAGAGGGAUGUUGCACCAGGGAAAACAUUUCGAUUGAUUCAACUAAUCAGCAUUGCGAGCUCUACUCAACUUGAUUGGCUUGAACUGCCCAAUUCGGUGGAUACGGUCCUGCGCUUGGUUCUCGACCGCUGGAUUCCACCAAGGGUCCAUCAGGAACACCUAUAAUCCAGCAAGGUAUGGACCCACUAUCAGAAAAAUAAAUUGUCUCCUCCCCCUGUAGAGUUUACUGCAAGUUUAAGAAAUUUUUGCUGUGCAAAAGUUGGCAAAGAAAUAAGGUUGGCUAAGCUCACAUGAGAUGCUACAGUGAGAUUCAGCGCGACUCCUCCAGCUUUUAAGCUCAUCAGGAAGACCCUGUAGUCUGCAUCAUGGGUGAAGAUGUCUAUGGCUCUUCCCUUUUCGGUGAUGUUCAUGGCUCCAUUCAGCUGGACACACUUAAUGUCGGACUGCCAAAUCAUUGUAAAUUAGUUGGACUAUCAACAGACAACGGCACAUUAAGACAAACAAACUAUUGAUGCUUACCCUCCCAAGGAAAACUGAAUCAAAUCCAAGAAUGACGUGAACUGGCUGAAGACAAUCCCUUUGGCAGAACCAUCGUGCUCAAUCAUGUUUCUUAUCUCCUCCCUCUGCAAAAUAGGGAGAAAGCAUCAGGCAUAAGUAAAACCCAUCACAUCCACUAUUGGUGUAAUACUCUUCAGUUGAGUUUGAGGUUGUAUAUGUAGCCAUAAUGUCCUGUAUAGACUAAACUUCCAAGAAACAUAAAAAUAUACAGUUGACACAUGAUGUGGGACUAAUGUGUGAAAUCACGUGUGCUUGUGGUUGUGGAUCUCCAUCUCGCCAUUUGAUCCAAAUGCCAUAACCUCGAGGCUUCUUUGCAUAAUUAUGCCGAACCUCAGUUGAUGGCCUUUUCUCAUCCUUGGGAUUUAGCUCAGAAACACACUUUUGGAUAGGUCCAAGUGAAUACUCCUUCUGAAGCUUAUACUCUUCGAUACACUUUAUCACAGCCCUUAAAGCGAGCAGCACCCUAGAUUUUGGGUCAUCCUAAAAAUUGGAUUCAAGUCACAAGACAAAUAUGUUGAGUUAUAAUAUAACAUUAGAAGUCAUACAUAAAAGAAUUACAAAUCCGAGCAGAAGAUUUAAUAUAAGAAAAGACUUAUUUCACAUCAGCAUUGAUAACAUUGUGGUCAUCAUCCCACAAUGCAAAAGUCAGUUGUGAGGUACAGUCGAAGCGCCUAACAACACAUGCAGUAACAUUCACAGACAGCACACCAACCAUUAUAUGAUGAGAGCAAUAUAACAUUUCCCGUGAAAAAAAUUGAAGGUAGAGAUAAAAUAAAUUUCAUGAAAUUAAAGAUGGGCUCUCAAUGGUCAAUAUUAUCAAACAUCUAAAUACUUAUAUUUGACCAAAGAAAACAAACAUAAGAUUAAAUUUGGGAUUUUAAAACAAUCACAAUAAUAUACAAGGAUGUCAUCAUGUUACUGAAAGUAACCAUAAGAUUAUAUUAGGACUUCAUAAAAAUACAAUAAUACAGGAGGAGAUCCUUCUUGUACUGAAAAUGCUGGAUUAGCACAACUGAGUGGAAAUGAUAGUUCAGUUAGGCGGGUGGGGGUGCCUCCUCCACGUCGCGUGCAGUCGCUACCGCCCGCCGCAAGCAGAGCUAGGGUUUCCGUGGAGGGGCGGUGCAGAUGAGGCGGGCGGUUGGUGCGGGUGGGGAGGGGGAGGGGACGGGCAUCAUGGACAGGGAAGGAGCGCGUGCGGCUGGAUGGCAUAGACAAUAGAAACGGACGGUUCAGGUAGAUGGGAGGCACAACGGUAGAACGGCAGAACGAGGGGAGGCAGACUACUAUUGCUUACUUAAUAAGUAGUAGAGAUAGAUGACCUUCUAUCCUAAGUGUAGACAAGCAAACAUGCACAAUCCUGAGGGUAACUCGUAUCUUUUACACUAAAGCCAAUGAAGAAAAUAACGAUAUAUAUACCAAAUGGUUUGUGAUGGAAACAUACACCACAUCAGAGAACAAAGGGGAUCGAAUAUGUGUAUUGAGUUGUUGUUGACUUACCAUCUGCCGCUCAUCUUCUCUAUGCAUUUGGCACCAUCUUUCCUGUCUUUGAAUCUUACCAAUAUGACACCUUGUGGAUGAUUUUCACAAACCUGCAAGCAGCAAAACAAUAAGCAUCUUAAUCAAUGUAACUGUGGCGGUUUAGUGGAGAACAGCAACAGGAACAGUUAAGCAAAAUUAUGGCUGACCCAUGCCGAUUUGGCUUAUUUUUCUUUAGUAUAAAAUAUGUGCCUCAUCAUUGUUACUGAAACGGUGAGAAGUUUCCUUUGGAAAACGGUUGGUCAGAUCUGUUUUCCAGACAAGUUCACAAAAAAACUAUAUAUCCGGGGGUUAGGUGUACCUUGACAUUAUCCACCAGACCAAACUUGAUGCAUUCCUCUCUAACAUCAGCCUCAAGCUCAAAAAGAAGCUCUUCAUCAGCCUGCGGGAUAUUAUCGGUGAGAAUCCAAUAAGAACGAAAAUAAAGCUGCUAUGAAGCAUGAACCUCAUAUGAGCAACCUGAAUGAACCAAUGGGCAACCAAGUACAACAAGAGCUGUCUUAGAUCAAAAGAACACAUUUUGCAGGAGGCGUCAAGCAUAUUUCAGCUACUUACUCUCAGCUCAACAGGAGUGAACAUGUGCCUUAAAAUUACUGUAGCAGGAAUCAUCAGCUUCUUAUCGUCAUGCCCACCUAGUUAGAGGAAAUUGUCAAGAAAACAAAUGAAAUAAGACCCUAUUCUUGAAUCAACUGUAUAAUUUAAAGCAACUGUCAAAAAACAACAGUCCAAAUUACCCCAUCCAAGCAUUUUGUCCUCAACCUUCUUUAUCUUCCUUUUCUUUUGCUUGUCAGUUUUCUUUGAAACGAAAACAUCACCUAAAACAUGUACAUAUGCGAUGGCAUCAGUGACAGCUGACAAGUUCUGUAGCUGAUGUAUUUGAUUUUGGCAUCACGAAACAAUACCUUUCUGCUCAAAUUUGGCUGGACUUACAGACAUAUGAGUCUUACCACCAGGACAGAAUGGUGUCCCAUCCAACAAUAGAACCGCUAAAGCUACAGAAGGCUCCUGAAUCAUUGGAAAAAGAAGGCACGUGAAAAAGAAAUGCAUAAUGAGUCCAAAUAAUCUGAGCACGUUAACAAGGUGAUACCUUGAAAUAUGUCACCAAGGCAUCACCCUUCUUCCUGCCGGUUUCUCUAUCAGUAUAAAUCUUCACUCGUGGCUUUUUAGUCUCUGGGUCCUGUAUUAUAAAUUAUCAGCAUUUAAAGGUGUCUAAAUGCUUUGAUGUUCAGGAAAGAACUAUAAAUGCCACAGCACAACCGUAUGCUUUUAUAACAUAAUAUUAAUAUAAGAGAAACAAUAGUACCUGCUCAAAAUAAAAUAUCACAUAAAUGUUGUUAUCUUUUCAGUUUAUAAGGCAUCCACAACAACAAAUAUCAUAUCCAUCUAUGAUGACCAAUGGAAAGUUGUACCAAUAUCUAGUAUUAUAGCGCAUGCUGCAAGGACAGCUAAAAUUUGCUAAAUGCUUGGUUAGACAGUAAAAUACAUAAUUGAUGAGUUGAACAGUGCAAUAAUGAACAGCCUUGACAUGAUUAAUUUAAGGUCCCAAGAUUCUGAUAAGUUAGCAUAGUUCCUUUGCCAGUAUUCCAAUUAGUUGUGUUCUCAGAUCGCAACUAUAAUUAGUCCAAAUACUGACAACUAAUUCUUUCCACGAGUGAGAAACAUCAAAACAACAUCAAGAAUGAAUGUUACAGCACAACAAUUUUGUCUUUGCAACAUAGCAGACUAAAAGUAUACCUCCUUUAUUAUUUCGCACUUGGAAAAUACCUCCACAAUCUGCAAAAGAAAUCCAGCAUCACAAGUGCAGAACAAGUACUUUUUAAAUAACCAAAUAAUUAAGCAUUUGCUACAUGGUCAUUAAACAAAAUUAUCUCUAUAAGAGAAAUGAAAUGUAGAGUUAGUUGGUAGAAGCAAUUUACCUCCUCCACCGUGACAUCAUCAGGCAAACCAGUUACAUAGACAUGUGUGUUUACUUUGAGAUCAAACCAACUGUCCGGAGGUUUGUUAGCUUCCUACCACAAAAGUUCAAUAGGUUACUACUAACUCCAGCAGCUUUAUCAUAAAAUAGUCAAUUGACUAUAAAACUGGACAUGGAACCUUUUGGUUCAAAUAGGAAGAGAGCACCCCAACUGAAACAGAAAUACAAACGAGCAGGGACAUGAUGGUAGAAUACAACUCACAUGUAAUGCUCGUUGGCGAAAACAUAGAAUCUCCGGGGAAACAGAAGUUCAGGCUCCAUUAGGCGGCAAAACAUGUGCGAGCGGACCUGUGCCACUAUCGUAGUCGGGGCCGAGGACUGGCAAGGCGCCACUGCGAAGUACAAAUAUAUAGCAUAGUUAGCCCUCUAAAAUACUUUAGAACCAAAAUCUCACAAAAUGAAAACACUGGCCUAACCGAGGCACAGGUUACAGCAGACAUCUGAAGAUAUUUCCAGGCCCUAAACACAGAUGGCAUGGCAUCAUGCUUUGAGAAACACGAAUUUUGUUCCGCGGUGCCAUUACCGUUGGCGCUCGCUGCCGGCAACGGCAUGCCUAGCCCCAGCCCCGCGGCGGUGAGCUUGGCAUGGAUGCGGGGGCGAGCUUGACAUGGAUGCGGCGGCGAGCUUGGCAUAUAAGUAGUUCUUCUACAACAGUACAAAAACAUCAAUACCAAGUGUCAAAAGAAUUGUACAACAAUGGUUGAGGAAAGAACAAAAGCAACAGAAUUGUUGCGGGGCCUCUCAUGUAUUUGUGUGUGCCCAGCAGCCCUAGAAGGAUAACGCAUAAUUAAAGUUCAUACACACACAUGUAUAUACAAACCGUCAUUGGUUUAUCUAGGUUCGCAUCAAUAGAAAUUCAGCACAGUGGUCCUAAGCAAGGCCUAUAUGUAGCACUCUUAAAUCUUAAUGGUACAUCUGUGCAGAUCACCCACACAAAAAUGUACUCUCAGCUUCUAGAUUCUAAUGUAUCAUGAUUACUACUGUGCUUUCUACAGACUGGCAGUCCCAGUGCAAGUAAACUGGCAGUAAAUUACAUUUUAUAUAAUAAAAGACAUAGUUUGAUGAUGAAAAGCUUUCUGCUGUCCACCAUGCACUAUAGGUACAACAAAAUCGACUAAAAAGUUGCAGUAGCAACGCAAACAAGUGAAUCAAGUAUUAAGUAUACUACAGGUUCCCAAGUCUCAAUCAAUACACUAAAGUGCUAAUCAGCAUGGAGUAACCAAUAAAUACAUUCGUUGGGACAAAAACAAGAAGACAUAAGCACACUUACCCUCGUGAAAACCCUGAGCAGCAGAGCCAGGACAGGUCUGCACACAAGAGAAAAUGUUACCAGCAGGAUUAGUCAGCAUUCACAUUCCUCUGGACGCAAGCAAAAUCUAACCUAAUGCUGUGGAGUCGCACAUCAGUGUCCAGCUACUUGUGUGAGCGCAAUCCACCACAAGGAGCAUCGCGAGAUUCACAUUCCACAGUACAAGCCUUACACCGGGAGCAAGGGGGGCCAGGGGGUGUAAGAACUGACCUUCUCGCGGUCGAUUGGUUCGGGGCGGAGGCGCGCCAUCGGGGGCGAACCACGGUGCUGCAUGCGAGACUUACCGAACCCCGAAAAACAGGGUGCUCGAUGACGACAUCAAUCUGGGGUGACCUAAAGGAGCCCGAGAAGCCGUCGCGGGGUAUUCCUGUUCCUACCGGCAGCAGGGGAGGAGAAAUCCGUGGGCGCGCGGUUGGAGCUCCUGGGCAUCGCGCAAUCGCCAACUCGUUGUACCCGAAGGCGUCGACGACGCAGUCGAAGUCGGUGGCUGGCGCGAGCGACGUCGCCAGGUGGGUGUUUUCGUUUACCUAUCCCACCUAGAUCUGGUAGGAGUAGCGAGGUUUGGGAGGAGGACAUACCGGGAUCGAGGCGUAGAGGUGGCGCUCCGGCGGUGACCAUGGCGAGGGGGAGGGUGCGCCCUGCGGCGAAGGUGGAGGCGAUGGGAGGUCAUGGCGGCGCGAUCGUCGUUGUCGGGGGCCGUGAGGCAUCUAUCGCGGCAGGGGCAGGGCCGCAGGGGGCGAGCAGCGCGGUAGAGAGAGGAGAGGAACGUGCGGGGGAAGGUUAGGGAUUGGGGUGCGGUCGUGCGGUGGAGGGGAAUGGAGCGUGAGAGACGCAGACACACGAUAGGAUACGGACGGUCUAGAUUGAUGGACGACAGAACAGCAGAACGAGUGGAGGCAGACUACUAUUGCUUAGUUAGUAAGUAGUAGAGAUUUCUUCCAAAUGAAAAUCCACGCAAGAGACAAAACAACCAAGAAGGCCUAUGUACAUCUGCAGCGGGCGGCCCAACUUUCGCGGCCCAUCUGCCCUGGACAACAAUUCAACAACCCUAGCCCCAUCCGACGGCCACGAGAAUUCCAUCGCCGCGGUAUUAAAAAGUCCCUCCCACGCCGCCGCCACCUAAACCUCCUCACUCCUCAGACUCCUCUCCGCACAUACCCUCCCUACCUCGCCGUCGCCGUCGCAUCUGCCAUGGGUGAGUUCUUGGCCCUACCGCUGAUGCCCUCUCCGAUUCGCAUGUGUGGGGCUUUACGGUAUGUUGCACCGUUUCUCGCUGUGGCGCAGGGGCGUACAAGUACGUCUCGGAGUUAUGGAGAAGGAAGCAAUCCGACGUGAUGCGGUUCGUUCAACGCGUGCGCUGUUGGGAGUACAGGCAGCAGCCGGCCAUCGUCCGCCUCACAAGGCCCACCCGCCCCGACAAGGCCCGCCGCCUCGGCUUCAAGGCCAAGCAGGUAGAUCUUCUCACGUGCAGAUCCCAUUGUCGCGUGCCAACUUUGAUGGCGAUGGAUUUGUGGGCAGGGGGGGGGGGUCCAGGGAUUGCCGAAGAGCUAUAGUAAUAUGCUGGUUGUCUUAUGUUUUAAAGCCUUUCUGCAAGCCUGGUGUGUAGUGUAGCUGUAUAUUUUCUUGUGAUUAUGCCAGUCUUCGUGGACGAAAUGAAGGCUUGAGCAGUUUCUUCCAUUGGACACAUUUUGUAGUGAUGGUUUUGCGAUGAGUUUAGUCUCUGCUGAGAGUGAGUUUGUGGUAUGGUAGGUUUGAUUUUGUAAAUAGUUAAUUUGAGCUUCCUGCCUAUGGUACUAUUGCUUAUCAUUGCCACUUAACUAGUCACUGCAUAGUCUUUAUGCUUUCCAUGAAGCUGGAUGGUUUAUUUGACACAUGUUCUCUAAUAGUUUCACUUGUCAGUAGAAAUGAACAGCUUGUACUUGUCUGUAAUGCAUUGAAUUACUUUGCUUUGAAAAUUCGAGUAGCUGCUGGGUGCCCGGGUCUGAACCUUGUGUUAUUUUUGUUCAGGGGUAUGUUGUUUACCGCGUCCGUGUGAGGCGUGGUGGCAGGAAGAGGCCUGUGCCGAAGGGUAUUGUCUAUGGCAAGCCCAAGCACCAGGGUAUCACCCAGCUCAAGUUCCAGAGGAACAAGAGAUCUGUUGCUGAGGAACGGGCUGGACGAAAGCUUGGUGGACUCAGGGUUCUCAACUCCUACUGGGUGAAUGAGGUAUACUUGAAUUGAGUCGAGAUUAUAACAAGAUAGCAUGAGGAUUUUCAUCCUAGUUAGUACUGAUGCCUUAUCUCGCUCUUGUUACUGAACAACAGGAUAGCACCUACAAGUACUUUGAGAUCAUCCUGGUUGAUGUGGCCCACACUGCCAUCCGCAACGACCCAAGAAUCAACUGGCUAUGCAAUCCUGUGCACAAGCAUCGUGAGCUCCGUGGUCUCACCUCUGCAGGCAAGAAGUUCCGUGGCCUGCGUGGCAAGGGCCACACUCACCACAAGAACAGGCCGUCGAGGAGGGCCACCUGGAAGCGCAACCAGACCCUGUCCCUCCGCCGCUACCGUUGAGCACACACAUCUUGAAUUCUUGAUGCUCUGCUACCGUGGAACCCGC
rnacentral:lncRNA from 1 species